GAGCUCUUGAGGCUGCUUAUCACCAAGCAUUCGGGAAACAAAUCUCUCUGUCUGAGCAGCAGCUCGUGGACUGCGCUGGGGCUUUCAACAACUUUGGAUGUAGUGGUGGACUGCCAUCCCAAGCCUUUGAGUACGUCAAGUACAACGGUGGCCUUGAUACCGAGGAAGCAUAUCCUUAUACUGCAGUGGAUGGUAGCUGCAAAUUCUCGGCUGAUAAUGUUGGUGUCCAAGUGCUCGACUCUGUUAACAUCACCUUGGUAAGUUUUGUGGACUAUCUGUAGAUUUAGCGAAAAUUAAAGGAAAAAGAAAAGAAAUUGCACAAAGAUAGAUUCAAAUUGCUGAUCUGUUUAUAUUUGCAUACAUGGUGGAUUCAGGGUGCUGAGGAUGAACUAAAGCAUGCAGUUGCCUUCGUCCGGCCAGUGAGUGUGGCAUUCCAGGUCGUGAAAGACUUCAGAUUGUACAAGUCGGGUGUCUACACGAGCGAUACAUGCGGUAGCACUUCCAUGGUGAGCAUUUGCUAAUAUAAUGAAAGGAGCACUAUCGCCAUCUCGAUCAUGUCUGAAGGAUGCUAGUGUGUAGGGAUUAGAGAGCCUUCUAUAUGUCGAUAAAUCUCAACCAUGACAUUUACUUGAGUACCUAUCUUGUCGAGAAUAAGUUUUGCAUGCAAGGCGAUGUUCAUGCUCUCGUCUAAUGUAAACUGAAUGUCCUAUAUUAGGAUGUGAACCAUGCUGUUCUCGCUGUUGGUUAUGGAGUUGAAGAUGGUGUUCCGUUCUGGCUCAUCAAGAAUUCCUGGGGAGCAGACUGGGGUGACCACGGAUACUUCAAGAUGGAGAUGGGAAAGAACAUGUGUGGUAAGUCCCCUCCUAUAUAAAAUUCUUUGAUUUUAGUAGUAUUAACCAAAAUAUACGCUUUUGAAAUUCUCGCAGUCUUUCAGUUCAUGUCCAUUCAUUCUUUGAUUAAUUUCCUAGUAAGUUACUCCGUGCUCAUCUAAUGUUCUUAAAUUGCAGGAGUCGCUACUUGUGCAUCAUACCCUGUUGUGGCCUAGAUUGUUUCCAGAGGAUCAAUGGGUUCGUGUGCCAGGUAAUUCGAGAUAUAUAUAUUUCGCAUGAAGAAUUGCUCCGCCCUGAGUUGGAAUGCUAUAGUGUUAGCACAAAAGGGUUUAGCUUAGUGCAAAAAAUAAUCAUCAGGACAGCUGCAACUCCGUAUGGUUAUUGUUAUAUGAACAAAGACCUUGUAAAUACCUUUCUAUGUUUGUGUGGCAUGGAACGCUAUCUUUGCAAGAAUAACGCAUCAAAUUCCCACCAACGCUGUGUUUCUGGGAAAGGAAGAAACGUAUUGCUUACAUUCAUUAUGAACCCGACUUUUGGCAAAUCAAAUUCUCGGCAAAGCUACGCCUUCCCGAGUGAAUGAAUUAGUUCUGCAAUUGUAUCAAAAGGAUUCUCCUAGAUAAAAAACUCGCUAACAAAAGUCAGUCUCCCUGAAUUGUUUUGCAUUCAACGUGUAUACGACUGCUAAACUCGACGGAAAAGGCCCUCGACUCGUCGUCAAAUCAUCAAAGACAAACCAUUGAUUAAUGCCCUUAAAUGGAUUUAUAUAUCCGAUGCUAAACAGGAAAGAUCUAUUCAGUAGAUUUCAUGAUCCCAAAAUUUUCUCAGAUCUUGAUAUAAAUUAAUGGAAUGUCAUGCCAUUUGGACUUCAAAAAUGCAUUGCAGAAUUUAAGAGGAUUAUAAAUUAUAUUUUCAAUCCAUAUUCUCAAUUCAUGGUCUAUAUUGAUGAUGUUUUUAUUUAUUCUUCAAGUAUUGAUCACCAUUUCAAACACAUAUCUAUUUUCAUAAAAAUAGUUAGAAACAAUGGAUUGGUGGUUUCCCCUACCUAAGUAUCACUUUUUCAAAUGAAAAUCAGAUUUCCUGCCAGUGAAUUAUUAUUCUAAUCGAAAUAUCUAUAAUAUUAAAGGAUUCCAAAUGAAAUCAAAGACAAAACCCAACUACAAAAAUUGUCGUGAAGUCUGGAUUAUGUCCUGGAUUUCUUCUCAAAUAUUAACGUCACUUGUAAACAUUACCAAUAAAAAACCCCCCAAACGGUAAUCCAUUCACACAAAUAUUAUUAAAUAGUUCAAAGAACACAUCAAAAAGACUCCAUGUCUUCAUCUGGCAGACCCAUCUGCAUUUAAAAGAAUAAAAAAGGAUGCUUUAGAGGUAUGAUGCGAAGGUAUUCUCAAACAAAUUAAAAACAAUAAAGACAGACAAAAAAAAAAAAAAAUCUCCUCUAAAUAUUGGAAUGGUACCCAACCAUAUACACGUAGAGCCUAUCUUUGGCUUGUCACUGAUGUUUAGAUUAAGUAUGUAACGUGAAACCAUACUUCUACAUUGCACUAUAAUGGCCAACGUAAUAAAUAGAAGGAAAAUUUAGGAUGUCACACUAGUGUUGAUCUUGAAACAUUAAGCUUCUUCUUCAUUUUUCCAUCUUCCUCCCCCAUCAAAUGUGUCCUUGACAAAAAUUUCGCAUUUUUAUUUGCUCUUAUGCGAUUGUUUGGGCCGUUAUCCAGCGGAACGGGCUAGAUUUCUAGCGGGCUCAUGUCUCUAACUACAUUGAUUUUAUCAUCUUAGGGCCUAUUUGAAUUAUGGACAAAAGCCGAUGAUGAUAUUGAUCUUACUAUUUAUAAUUUGGGAGGAACUACUUUGUCGAGAUUGAUAGCGAGGUUUUUUUUUUAAAAUAAUAUGGUCGUGAAGAAAAUUUUCAUUUCAUAUCAAAGAGGUACAUAAUUUCAAGACAAAGAUGCAAUCUCACAAAGCAAGUAAAUCUGAAAAGCAAAUCAACUCAGUACAACUUGUAGAGACUAGCUCAUUCCGCAAAAAAGGAUCUAUUAUAGCAUCUAAGCACAAUUAGUGGCCGAUUACUGAAUCUCACAUUAUUAUUAGUGAUGAUCACAUACCAAGAAAUCCCUUUAUAGUAGCUACAGUUUUGCUAAAAGGCAGUACGUGCCUAGGUUUAGCCUCCCUAGCACCAUCACCAUAUAAAGACCACAACAAUACCAAAAGGUAGAAAGACCGUUGAAAACUUAAAAAUAAGCCAAUUGCCGAAGGCAACAACAAAGGAGCCUUGGAGACUUGAGGAGUACUUGACUAUCUGGAAGCAAGCACCUGAAGUCAGAGUGAGCAAGCAAAUCCAGAUAGAGCACAUUCUUCUGAGGUACUCGCUCUUCGAUCUUCAAAGCUAACUUCUAUGGAGGAUGUCGAUUGCAUCAUCCAUGAAAUCAACAAAGAAAUUUGAGAGAGAGAGAGAGGUCCCUUAAGGGAAAUUCUAAGACAAACACUCGAGUGGAAUUCUAAAUAAUAGAAACAAUUCACAAGUAGGAAUGAUCAUCGAUCACUUUACCAACCCAUGUAAGCCCUCAAAGUUUCUAUUUUUGUGGGAAAAUUACCAAAAAAAAGUCAUCCUAUUAUACUUGUUGACACCUAAUUUGUGUUUUCAAGUACAUAAUUUUUUUUUAAAUUAACUAAUUAAUUAAUAUUGAAAAAAAGGUGGAAGGGGGGCCUUUUUCUUUCCUUCCCCGCGCGGCCCGGCCCCAGCCUUCUCCGCUCCUCCAGCCAUCCUCGCGCCCAAAGACCUGCAGAAAAGAAGAGGGAGCAGGGAGAAAAGACAGGGGAGCAGGGGCAGAAGAGGGAAAGCAGGGGGGGUGCAGAGAGAGGGGACCUGAGAUUGGACGUGUGAGAGAGAAAAAAUAAUAAAAGAAGAAGAAUAAGGGCUUCUUCUUGGGGCGUCGCCGCUGCUGCUGACACCAGCAACCGGAGCUCCGCCCCGCCUCAACCCGACGCCAGUACAGCACCUGCAGCCGCGAGCACCGCCAUGCCAGCAACUCGAGCCCCCUCGCCGCACCACCGCAGCUGCUGUUUCGCGAUCGCCGGAGCUCUGAACGCCGUCGCCGUUGCAUCCCUCAGCCAAGCCGACGCCCUGCUCGUCGCCGCGCCCGUCGCCGCGCCACCAUUGCUGCUGUCACCCAGCUCGAAGCCACGAGCGCCACUGCUGCCGCGCCUCCGCCCGCCAGUCACCGCGCCUCUGCCCGACUCCAGCAACCCACGUCGCCGCAACUGCCCGUCGCCGCACCUCCGCACCACCGUUGCUAUUGUCGCGCAGCUCGAAGCCGCGAGCACCACCGCAACCACGCCUCCGUCUCGACUCCAUCCCCAACGUAGCCGUCCCUGUUGCGGCCCGAUUUCAUCAGUAUCACCUCCGACGCAGCCGCUGCCUGUCCUUGCUGUGCCGCUGCCAUUCCGCCGUCCCCGACGACUGUCGCCUUGUCUGGGUCCCCCGCUGUGCUCAGCCAGCCUCGUCGCAGCACCAGCCCCAAGUCACCACGGAAUCCUAACGCCAUCGCUGCACCAAGCCACCGCCACCGUGCCGUCACCCAUCGCGUCCCCAUCGUUGCUGGGUCGCCGCUGGCCGGCGUCCCGACCAUUCCCCCUCGGCGCCGCAAAGAAGCCUUGGAGUAGAAGGCACAAACCGGGUCAAAAGAGCUGGCCGGGUUUUGGCCGAUCCGGGCUUGUUUGUUCUUCGGGCAGGCUCCGUCUGGGCUGAAGCAAGGCCUUUGGACCGGUUUAAUAUUAAUUUUUUUUUUCCAAGCUUAGUUUAUUUAGGUUUCUUUUUUUCAAAUGGACUCUUUUUUUAGCUGAACUAUGCCCAUAGUUCAGGCCCAGCCUUGCUGCGGCCUAACAAGUUAGGUUAGACUCGGAGGCUAACUGGCCCUCCCCCAACCGAACCUAGGUUCCGUCUCUAACCAAACCUGACCCGCAUCGGCUGGGUUGAACCCAGGUCGGGUUAGACCGGACCCGACUCGGUUUGCCUAAUUUUUUUUCCAUAAUUAAAAAAAAAAUUCAAAAAUUAAAAAAAUACAGGGUUUGGUUAGGAAUUACUAUGUCUUGCAUUCUUAGUGUAAUUAGGCCUUUAUUUACUCGUAUAUCGAUUAUGUUGCAGGUUUAAUUUACAUAUUUAAUUAUGUUUGUGAUUGUUUAGCUACAUAUGCUAAUUUCACUGCAAUUAGGAAUUUGAUUGCUAAUAGUCACUUUAAUGAUUACGUACCCACAUGAUCACUUUACAUGUUAGUGAAUAAGUAUAAAAUCAAUCCAAAUUACCUAACAAAAACUCUUUUUAAAAUGAACAAGAUUAGGUACUAAAAUGACACUAAUUGAUUAAUUAGUGUAAUCAAGUCCUCAAUCCUAGAUACUUUGGUUACGUAGGAAGUGAGGUACACUCACAUGUUUCACUUGAUUUCUAACUGACUCCAAUAGGCUAGUAGCGACUCCUUUUUGCAAAAUCCUUAAAAAUUAUUGAAUAUCACGUGAGAUAUGGAUUUGGGAGAGUCUGCAUCUAAUCCUAGGCCUUAGGUUCAUCUUUUAGGCAAUAUCUCUAAACUUAUUCCCUCCCCUGAUGGGUAGAUCGUGAUAGCUUGGCAACUCUACUAGGGACUAAAUCUAUCUUGUUUAAAAAUAAUUUUUGUUUGGCAGCAAGAAUACUGGGUAUGUCUCUAACGUGAGAAUGUUUUUGCAAUUGAGAGUUAUAAGGGGAGGAAUGACUAUUAAUCCCUUGUCUUGUAGGUGUGGAGUUGUAAAUAAACGUUUAUGUGUUGAGCUUAAGUAGUGUUUGUUUAUAGACUAUCGUGUAUGUAUUCCUUGCAUUGCACUACACCAUGACACACUAUCUGCCGUUGGACCUAGGCUGCAUAGGAUCACUUAAGAUAGUGUUAAGGUGGAUACUAUUCCGACUACAACCAUGUAGUAUGAGUUGCCCAUCUCAACCUCGAAACUUCUUUCUUGAUAUCAAAGGUCCUCACUCCGGUUUGCAACCAUGCAACAUGGGUCGAUUUCUUGACGAAGCCAGAGUUAUGGGUAACAUGACCUAGCCGCGAUUUUGUUGGUUCGGUCCAGUGAUCUCAUGGCUCCAUUUUGAAACGUAUAUAUAAAGUCGCCCCUCAUUGUAAGUAUCAUUCUUCUUUUUCUCGUUUUUUUAAUUGAAUUUUCAUUUAGUAAUUUGCGGAGACCAAUCGAAUGUUCUAAGUUAUGUAGGCUUAUAAUUGAAAAAAAUUAGCAAUCAUUCUUGAUAAUUGAACAUUGAAUGCAAGUUCUAAACACUUUGAUUUGACCCUAUUGAACACAUAUGGUUUUGUUUACAUUUCUAGUUAUGGGCUUAAAAUCACAUUUCGAAAAAAAAAAUCAAGUUGCGAUUACAUAUUAGGGCACAAAAAUUAAAAUUGCAUUUUUAAUCAAAUUCUCUCAUUCUCACAUUUUGGGACUGAAAUGCAAAUCACAUUGUGUACAAAUUUCUUAAGAUAAAAGUCACUUCAUUUUUCUAGGAGUAAAAUCACAAAUCAAUCUUUCAAAAAAUCAAUGUCACUUUUGCAUAUGAAACUUCUUGAGUAGAGUGGACAAUAGCUAUCGAUCGAUUUUUUAAUGAUGCCCCUUCUCUUAUGACUAAUCUUGGUGAAAUACCAAAAUCCCAUAAUAGGGACUAUGGGGCAUGUACCAUCGCCUUGAUUUUGUUGUAAGAAGUGACCUCAUUGAGAGAUCAUUUUCUCAUUCACAUACUAACAUUGUUGUCUUUUUGCAGGUUAUGCGCGAUGCUCCUUGACAUUCUUGUGUUCGACCACAUAGAGAAGUGAAUUCUAGAGCUAGGACGAGAGUUGAUUUUUAUUCUUAUCUAUGCAAGAGUUUAUUGUAUUUUAUCAUUGUUUUUAUUCUUGUUAAUAAUCAUAUUUUCCAUUUUGGGUUUUGAUUGUGAAUCCAAUUGAUGCUUUUGUAAAUCACGCGACUCACAAUUUGUUUAAUGAUGGAAUUCAAUUUAAGGAAAAUCAUCCUUUUAAAAACAAACUCAGAAGUGUUUCAAACAAACCUUUGCGUUUACCUUCAAAAUGUUUUGAAAAUGAAUGUCAAGAAAGCUUGGCUUAAGGCCCUCUCUUCGCGUGGUCACUUUCUUAGGUAAAAUGAGGAGUUUAUUUAAGAUUGGCAUUUGCCCCUUCUAAAUGAUAAAAAUAUAGGCUCAUGGAACUCGAUGAGCAAGCAUGCGUCAAGGUUUCGUCGGCGCAAUCUUCCAUAGAGGCAGAAUGAAGUUGAAUUCCGUUUUUGGAAGUUUCUUUAUUUGGAGAUGCCUUAGGUGCCAAAAUAGCCCAUUGAUCUCGUUUCUUUUGCAUGAUGAGACAAACGAGGGGAGUUGCCUAGUAUCCAAAAGGCAAAUUUGAAGGAAGAGUAAAUUGUUUCUGCCAUGACUUUUUUUUUUUCCAUUGUCAAGAAGAUAUCAAGAGUACCAAGCUUCGUAAUAUUCCAACAAACGCGAUAGAGCAUUAUUAAGUCAUGUUUAUCUUAAACAAAGAAAUAUUCAAAGGAAACAGAGGGGCAAUAUUAUCCAUUCCUCCAUAAGAGAUACCUUGGGAUGUUGAUCGCCAGACUUUGGAAAAUGAUAUAUUUCGUUCCUAAACUUGAUUUUCUUUAACUUAAAAAAUGACAUAUCAUUUUCUUUGGUACAAGAUAGACUUGAACAAAAGAAAGGUUUGUCAAAUAAAGAGUAGGAGAGCGAUGUUUGAUUUAGAGAAAAAACUCUCAUUCCCCCCACUAAUGAAGGAGAUAAAUGGGGAAAAAUGUUGCACCUUGACUGUAGAAGCAGCGCCUUCCAUCAAGGAAUCAUGCUAAGACCUGACUAUCCAUUUUGGCAUAAAGGGAUGUGUAUAGUUCCUAAAUGAUUCCUAAUCUUUUCUUUGUAGGCAAUAAAUGGGAAGACAUCAAACACUUAAAGGCAAAUACAAGUGAAGGGUAACGUCGAAUUACCAAUUAUCCACAAGGGUGAAUCCAAGAAAUGUUAGCACCCAAAGGAUAAAAGUGAGUGAAUUGUAUUAAUAUAUCGUUUACAACAUUUCAAUCCCUAAAGAUUUGUACACUAACAUAUUCUUUCACAUUCUUUACAAAGUUACCGAGUCACCAUGCCUUAGGUAAGUACCCUUCUUCUCAUUUUUUUUUUUUUAAAUGGAGAAUUUCCAUUACAAAAAAGAACCUUUGGCACUUUCCUAAAAACAAGAACAAAAAUAAAUAAUUGAGAAAAGAAAAAAAAAAUUUCUACAAACUUUUUAAACAUCAUUUUUAUCUCAAAAUUGUUUUCUCGUUUUGUGAGUUAUUCAUUAUGAAUCAAAUUUCCCUAUGGAGAUUGAUCUACUCAGAUGAUCUCAACAAAGUGAAAGGUGAAACAUUAAUUAUGUUAAACAAAAAGUGUUUAGGAGGAAGAAAGGUAAGCCAUUUCCAAACACCUCAUUCAAACACUUUUGAAAGUUGAGUGAAAAGCAACCUUAUCUUAGGACGAAUGAUUCAUUCGCAUUAAGUGCAAAGAUCAAAAUGAUAAAGGCGUUUCAUUCAUCAAUCCUAAGUAUUGCACUAAUCUCUUGCUACCCCUAUGGGCCAAAUAAAGAUGAUCUUUCAAAGUACCCCUGUCAAGAAUGAUCCUAUAUUGGGGUAACAUAGAAGGUUACGAUCGUGUUGUAGAGCGAAUGAUUGAGAAAAAUUAUAUUACUUUCACUUGUAUCAAUCUUCUGGUGAUAGCUUCAGAGGAAUUCUCAUCAGAGCUUGACUCAUCCCAAUGUGAAGAAUAGCAUUUCCUUUGCUACCCAAACACUAAUACCUGUUGCUUUAACCAAUUUGGGCCUGAUUGUUCAUUUUUGAAUCCUGAGCGGUGAUCAUCUCCCUUCACCAGGGCAAGGCAUAAGAAUUUACCAAAUACAAUUGAUAGUUAUGAGAAAACGUGAAAAGUAUCUCGAAAGUCAUAAGAGCUCCAAAAGUUCAAAGAGCAAAAAGUUCGACAAGUUAGGGGGGCAUGAAAAAGUAGUGUGCCUAGUAAAAGUAAGGCUAAUGCUCGUAAAAAAAAAAAAAAAGAGCCAAAAGGCUACAUCUUAUAUGAAAGAAAAAUGAUCAAAGUCCAAGUGCUUGCGGUAAAAAAAAAAUCAUAAAUGCAAAAGAAAUUAGAGAAAGGAGCAAAGCUCCCAUGCAAAAAUGAUUAGUCAAGGGACUUUCGAGAUGUGCUGUAUUUCAAAAGCCAAAUGAUUUCAAAAGAUUGAGUGACUUGGUCAUGAUGCCAUGAUGAUCACCGACUCUUAAAAGCCUCCUUGAAAAUUUUAAGUCUUUUGAGCCUCUCCUGAGCCAACAUUAUAACCCUCUGCCAAAGUCUCUUCUAAUUGGGAUGGUUCGAGUGAAAAUGAGAAUGCCACAAAGAAGUUACUGCUUGAAGGAGUUGAAACAAUUCUAUCUUGUCUUAUCUUCUAAGUUCUCGACUUGUAAACUCGACGAAGAUAGCAACAAAUGUUCAUUUACUGGCCUUAAAGCAAUAAUCUCUUUGUGUAAGCCCUAAUCGAGCCUAUAUUGCGGUCCUUUCAAAAGAUUUUUUUGAUCGAUCAGAUUGUGCUCAUUGUUAAUGUUUCUGAAAGCCUUCGACAUAAGUUAUGUGAAAUACCCUCAGCAACCAAUUAUCUCCCACAUGAAUAGAUGAGAUCGAGCAACCACUUUAUCGAGAGUAUAUGAGAAACCCUUUUUGACUAAGAAGUACUAGUUUGGCAUGCUUAAUAAGCCUUUGUCACGAGUUUUAGCCGUUCUGAUAAAAACUUGACUUCUAGAGAAUUUGAUGAUUAAUGAUACAUCCCCGAGAAAAAUGACAAUUCUGCGCCACAUGAUGCUGAUUGACAUCUACAAAUGUUCAUUGGUUUUCCUCAAAUCAUGCAUUUUCAACCCGGUCGAAACUCGUUGUUACACGGUGAGACCUCAUUUCUUUCCUUUUUCUUAUAACAUGACGUGCUUCUGUAACCCAGGAUCUUUCUUUUUUCUUAUGACACGGUGUGCUUUUGUAGCCCGGGGUAUUUCUUUUUUUUUUUUUUUUUAUGACACUGCAUGCUUUUUGUAGUUUUGAGUCUCUCUUUCUUCUUAUAACACGACGUGCUUCUGUAGUCCAGGGUCUUCCUUUUUCUUAUGACACGACAUGCUUUUGUAGGCCGAAGUCUCUCUUUCUUCCUAUGACAUGACGUGCUUCUGUAGCCUGGGGUCUUCAUUUUUCUUAUGACAUAGCGUGCUUUUAUAGCAUAGAGUCUCUCUUUCUUCUUAUGAUAUGGCGUGCUUCUGUAGCCCUUGGUCUUCCUUCUUCUUAUGACACCGCUUGGUUUUGUAGCCCGGAGUCUCUCUUUCUUCCUAUAACACGGCGUGCUUCUAUAGCCCAAGGUCUCUCUUUCAUCCUAUGACAUGGCGUGCUUUUGUAACCUGGGGUCUUUCCUUCUUCUUAUGACAUAGCGUGCUUCUAUAACCCGAGGUCUCUCUUUCUUCUUAUGAUAUGGUGUGCUUCUGUAACCUGGGGUCUUCCUUCUUCUUAUGAGAUGGCAUACUUUUGUAGCCUUGAGUCUCUCUUUCUUCUUAUGACACGACGUGCUUCUAUAGCUCAGGGUCUUCAUUCUUCUUAUGACACGGUGUGCUUUUGUAGCCCAGAGUCUCUAUUUCUUCUUAUGACACAGCGUGUUUCUGUAGCCCGGGGUCUUCCUUCUUCUUAUGACACGACGUGCUUUUGUAGCCCGAAGUGUCUUUCUUCCUAUGAUAUGGCGUGCUUCUAUAGCUUGAGGUCUCUAUUUCUUCCUAUGACACGGUGUGCUUCUGUAGCUUGGGGUCUCUCUUUCUUCUUAUGACACAACGUGCUUUUAUAACCCGGGGUCUUACCUUCUUCUUAUGACACGAUGUGCUUCCGUAACUCGGCAGCUUUCUUUCUUCUUAUGACACGUGUGCUUUUGUAACCUGGGGUCUUCAUUCUUUUUAUGGCACGGCGUGCUUUUGUAACCCGAAGUCUCUCUCUCUCUCUCUCUCUCUCUCUCUCUUUAUGACACAGCAUGCUUCUGUAGCCUGGGGUCUUCCUUCUUCUUAUGACACGGCAUGCUUUUAUAGCUCGGAGUCUCUCUUUCUUCCUAUGACACAGCAUGCUUCUGUAACUCGAGGUCUCUCUUUCUUCUUAUAACAUAGUGUGAUUCUAUAGCUCGGGGUCUCUCUUUCUUUCUACGACACGACGUACUUCUAUAGCCUGGGGUCAUUCUUCCUCUUAUUGACACAACACACUGUCGCGACCCGAUCUCGCCGCCCCUCGAAAUGUCAAAGGUGGGAAAAGGUCGGGUUUAGGGGUACUUUGAUCACGAGAGUUCCCUCAUGAGAUCGCGAGCUCUCCCAAGCUCAUACCCCGCACGAUAACGGGUUUAUUUAUACGAUCUAGGUAUUUAACAACCUCAAAAAAUAGACAAGAGUCGCCACUAGCCUUAUUCUUUGGGGGUCGACUCGAAAACCCAAUCGAGGGUCGGGAGAGUUCCCUCGAUUCCUAUACAACUAGAUAUCUAUGUUCAAGGACUUGGGUUACGCUAAUACUUCUAUUAGCACCCUUUCGAUACCUAAAUAGUAUGUUGUGUUUUUCCUAACAUGUUUAUGCAUUUCUUUCUACAUUUUCGAGAUCAUCAAUUCUAUAUUAAGUGAUCAUGCGUGGUGGAUUACUUUCAUUCUAUUUUAUUUCUAAAAAAAUGAAAAGAAAACAAUCAAUGAAAUUGAAAUUACAAGACAUCAACUAAACAAUCAAGAAAAGCAAUAAACCUAAUCAUGCAAUUCUAAAAAUAUAAAAGAGAAAACAAUUGGGAAAAAAAGGAAACCCGCAACUCGUCGGGUUUUAUACAAUGCAUGGAACCCGAGACAUAUGUUGGGAAAAACAAAUAUUACAUAAUAAAGAUUGGAGUGGAUAUCGACCUCCACCACUUUCACGCUUUAUCCAUGUUCAGGAUCCUAUUCUAAACCUAGUCCAAGAAACUAAUAACUAGGUACAUACAAAUGAGAGAAACAAACAUGCAUAUCAAAACAACCAAAAAACAAGACAUCUUUUGUGUUCAGAAAUGGUGACUAAAGUCAUGAAGUCCCUAAAUCAAAUUCUAGGUGAUAUCCCAAGGUUCAGCAUUGUUAUGUGCCGCACCUAAAUCAUUCAUCUAAUGAUCACAUGCAAAGCAUAUAAGAUGACAAGCAUCCAAGCCAUAUAACCUUGGUUCUUAGUUAAUCAAACAAAUGAAUGAGCUGACAAAGGAUCACUUACUAAAAAAUAUGCAUUUUUGAACAUGUGAAAUUGACAAGAGACUUGAACACGUGAUAUCAUUGUCCCAUGGGCAAAUAAGCUAAGACAAAUUCCAUCUAAUCUAUGCUUAAUCCACAACUUCCAGCAUGCAAUCAGAAUUGUAACAGAGCACACGAGACUGCAAAUUGUGAUUGUUUGAUGACAAAUUGCCAUGAAAUUGAAGCCAUAUUUUCUCACAAGCAUGUAUGAGUCUACUUGAUCAAAAUGGCAUCAAUCCAUAACCAAACUAGCCUCAUUAGUGUGAUUGUACACAACAUCUAGAAUGAUCUCAAUGCCAACACCAUGCAAAGCUUUUACCAUUCCUUUGAAUUACCGAGAAGCAUUAACAGGUCCACCACCAGCACUAACAUAACAACUCAUGGGAGAGAAGAAAUUUAUGGCAGAAUAUUCCCAUGUAUUAAUCUUGGAAAUUCAUGCAUCGUGAACCAGGUCACUAAGUAAAUGAUAUAAUUGGGAUGUAAGAAUACAACAUUUCACGGACAUUGAAGCAUAAGAGAACAUAAACUCUUGAAAGCAAAGGGAAAUAAUACAUGGUAGCAAAAUCUUGCGAACAGAUAAAAUCCCACCCAGGUUAUAUGGCAACAAAGGAAGUUUGCUUCUCUGUGUUAUAAAAAGCUUUGCUAUCUAACAUCAGUUAACACAGCAAAUGCAUGCAUGAACAACAAACAUCAAAUGUACGUGAUCCGCAUUUGACCCACUAAAAGCACACAUGAUAACAACAAAUCACAGCAACAUAACAGUCAAGAAUACUACCAUCACUCCUCAGUAGUAAACAACUUCACUGAUGGCUAAUGCCCUCUUAAUACUACUCAUAGACAAACUAAGAGUAAACUCAUUUUCUUACUUCCCCAACUCAACAUGAAAAGAUAGUUUGUAAGAAUUCUAAACUUCGGAUGUUGUACAGUCUCACCUUCAUGUUAACAGGGCAUUGAAGUAGCUCAAUAACAAAGAUGUGAAUGGCGGAUGAAAAAGAAGAAACACAAGUAAUGAAAACAACUAAAUGCAGAGAGUCCAUAGUCAUUGAUUGUGGCCUUGUCAACCACUGUCAGUAAACUUCUAUUUGAAGAGGCAAGCUCUCACUCGAUCGCUGGCCACACCACAUACAUAGCGAUGACACAUCAGAAUGAUACGGACAGGGGAAAAUGAGAUAUAAUAGAGAAAUCUAAGCAUACAAGCAACGAUUCCAACACCAAUUUCCAUCCCUGUACGAUACAUCAAUCAUUCGUCUCAAUUACAUAGCAUGGAACACAGCUUAAUCAAAUAUCUACUCAGCUCAAGAUCAAAUCUGAACCGGAGCCUAAACAGAUCCUCUAAAUCCAUCAAUCAAUAACAACGGCGACAAUAGCAAUGCCUAAACAAACGACAUUUACCGGGAGAAACUUGAUAAACUUGUUCUUCCCCACCUGGUUGAACCAGAGAUAGAGCGAUUGAGAGAGAGAGAGGUAGAUAACCUUGAAUGAACGGCGAAGGAUCAAAGCUGUUGCUGCCAACGACGCGGUCUUAAGCCUUAAACUCCAAGCUCCUCGAUCGGCCGUUCCAUUAGGUCAAAUCCGGCGCGCAAGACAGAGUCGAGAGAAAAUGUUCGAGUUAGAGGGAGCGAAUGGGAGAGAGAAACUAGACACCAAAAACUUAACGGAUCAAGAGAGAGAAAGAGAGCUCAUCGAUCUGGCGAGUUUGAUCCAGAGAGAUUCGGGUCUGGCGAGCCUCUGUACUAGAAAACCGAGAGCGAUUGAGAGCCUCCCUUGUGAUACCCGACCAUCGGUCUUCGAUUUCCAAGGGUGAUCCAUCGAACUAGAUUUGUCGCCGUCGUCACUACGGCUGCCGUCAGCCUGGGAUCGAGUAAGAUCCGGCAAGUAAAGAACCAGAUUCUGCGAGCAGAGAACCGCUGGUGUCAUUGCCGUUGCUGUAACCGCCACCGUCUUCGCCGAUGUCGCUGCAAUUGAGUGAACCAGAGAGAGAAUCCGAAAAAGAGGGACGAAGGAAAGGGAAGCUUCGUUCAGUGAGGGGAUUUGCUGCGUGCUAGAGAUUUCAAGAAUCGAACAGAGCCAAGCCGGGACCUCGACGGAGAACCGCUGGAGACGGAAGCGAAAGCUCCCUCUGGUAGAUAGCAAGCGAGGCUAGGGUUUCAAGAUCCGCCAUAGAAGCUCCAGUAGUUACCGAGAGAGAGAAUCCAGAGAGUCUCUAAGAGAGAGAGAGAGAGAGAGAGAGAGAGAGAGAGAGAGAGAGAGAGAGAGAGAGAGAGAGAGAGAGAGAGAGAGUUCACGGAGAGUAGAGAGAGCCUUCGGAGAGUAGUGAGAGCCUCCUUUCCCGCUAGUGUUCCCCGAUUCCCUUUUCUAUCAUUUUUUUUCCUUUUCUCUCAUUUUUCUUUAUUUCUCUCAUUUUUCUUUUUCUUUUUCGUUUUCCUUAUUUGUAAUUUUUUUCUCUUUUCAUUUCAUUUUUUUUCUUUUGCUUUUUAUUUUUGCAAAAAGGAUGUUUAAAAUGUCGACAAAAAAUCGGGUUUCAACACAUACUUCCAUAGCUUGACUUGAUGCAAGCCUAUGCAGUCAGGGUCUCUUUACUGUCAAAAUAAUUUAGAUCUCUUCUGUUUUUUAAGACAACUUCUUCGAGGCUACAUUCAAAAAAGGGCAGCUCUUGACAUCUAACUUGUGUUAUUAAGUACAUAAAAAAAUUAAUUUUUUUAAUGAACUAAUUAAUUAAUAUUUAAAAAAAAAACAUGGAAGGGGCCAGGUAAGGCUAGAUCUAGCUUUGGCCCAGCCUAGCCCACCUUUUUCUUUCCUUCCCCGCGUGGCUCGGCCCCAGCCUUCUCCGCUCCUCUAGCCAUCUUCGCGACCAAAGACCUGUAGAAAAAAAAGAGAGCAGGGAGAAAAGACAGGGGAGCAAGGGUAGAAGGGGGAGAGCAAUGGGGGUGUAGAGAGAGGGAACGUGUGAGAGAGGAAAAAAAAUAAGAGAGAAGAAAUUAAAAAAUAUAAAAGAAGAAGAGCAGGGGCUUCUUCUGGGGGGAGGACCCGCUCAGCACCCUCUUCCUUCUGGGGGGAGCUCUAAAUGUGGACCCCCGCACUCACUGCCAUUGCUACCGAUGCUAGCAGCCGGAGCUCCGCCACACCUCAACUCAACGCCGGUACAACACCUGCAGCCACAAGCACCGCCACACCAUUAGCCUAAGCCCCCUCGCCGCACCACCACAACUACUGUUUCGUGAUCACUGAAGCUCCGAACGCCGUCGCCGUUGCAUCCCUUAGCCAAGCUGACACCCUACCCAUCGCCGCGCCCGUCACUGUGCCACCAUUGUUGCUGUUGCCCAGCUCGAAGCCGCGAGCACCAUUGAUGCUAUGCCUUCGUUCGCUUGUUGCUGUGCCUCUGCCCAACGCUUGCAACCUGCGUUGCCGCAGCUGCCCAUCAUCGCACCUCCGCGCCACCGACACUACUGUCACCUAGAACGAAGCCACAAGUGCCACUGCUGCCGCGCCUCCGUCUCAACUCUAUCCCCGACGCAAUUGUCCUUGUUGCGGCUCGACUCCGUCGAUAUUGCCACUGACGUAGCCGCUGCCUGUCCCUGUUGUGCCGUUGCCAUUAUGCAUCCUUGACGACUAUCGUUGUAUUUGUGUCCCCCAUUGUGCCAAGCUAGCCCCAUCACAGCACCAGCUCCGAGCCACCACGGGAUCCUAAUGCCAUCGCUGCACCAAGCCACCACCACCACCAUGCCAUCGCCUGUCGCGUCCCCACCGUUAUUGAGUCGUUGCUUGACGGCGUCUUGACCAUCCCCCUCGACACCACAAAGAAGCCCUGGAGAAGAAGGCAUAAACUGUGUCAAAAGAGUCGGGCUAGGUGCAAUCAAUCGGGUAGGGUUUUGGCUAAUCCGGGCUUCUUUGUUCUUCGGGCAAGCCGCGUCUAGGCUGAAGCAAGGCCUUUGGGCCAGUUUAAUAUUAGAUUUUUUUUUUUGGUGUUAGGCCAAGCUUAGUUUAUUUAGGUUUCUUUUUUUCGGAUGGACUCUUUUUUGAGCUGGACUGGGCCCGUAGUUUAGGACCGGACUUGACCCACGUCGAUCAGGCCGAACCCGAGUCGGGUUAGACCAGACCCUACCCGAUUCGCCAAAAUAUAUAUAUAUAUAUAUAUAUAUAUAUAUAUAUAUAUAUAUUGAAAAAAUUAAUUAAAAAAUACAGGGUUUGGUUAGGAAUUUCUAUGUCUUGCCUUUUUAGUGUAAUUAUGCCUUUAUUUACAUGCAUAUCGAUUAUGUCACAGGUUUAAUUUACAUAUUAAAUUAUGUUUGUGAUUGUUUAGCUACAUGUGCUAAUUUCACUACAAUUAAGAGUUUGAUUUCUAAUAAUCACUUUAACGAUUGUGUACCCGCAUGAUCACAUCACAUGUUAGUGGAUAAGUAUAAAAUCAAUCCAAACUACCCGACAAAAACCUUUUUAAAAUGAACAAGAUUAGGUACCGAAAGGGCACUAAUUGAUUAAUUAGUGUAAUCAAGUCCCUAACCCUAGAUUCUCUGGUUACGUAGGAAGUGAGGUAUACUCACAUGCCUCACUUGGUUUCUAGCCGACCCCAAUAGGCUAGUGGCAACUCUUUUUUACAAAAUCUUUAAAAAUUCCCGAAUGUCACACGAGGUAUGGGCUUGGGAGAGCCCGCGUCUAAUCAUGGGCCUUAGGUUCAUCCUUUAGGCAAUACCCCUAAACCCGUUUCCUCUCCCGAGAGGUAGGUUGCGACAGCACUUGCAUCAAUUCAAUUUUAAACAUUAUAAUGAUUUGCUAGACUCUAGUACAUCCUUUCGGUCAAUAUUGACUGGAAAACACUAAUGUGGCAAUCCAAUGAAUAUUAGAUGUUCUAUGUGGUUGUUCUAUGUGGUGCAUGAGUGCUAACAUUAUUUUUUGAAAAAUUUCUAGGUCCUUUUUUUUUUUCAUUUGUCUAUUUUUUUUUCUCUACUUUUGGCUGUCUGAGGUUUCAAGCAAUGACAACAAGGGUUGGGCAAGGGUUGGCAGGGGAUGACCUUACCCAAGGAGGGCCACCCUAACCAAGCCCUCACAAGGCCGUUGUGACAUCUUAGAAUGUCACAUGCGACACGUAUCCUUUCCAUUUAUACUUAUAAUUAUAAUUACGCAUGUGGAAGCACAAAACUUUUUUUUCACAACAUCCCUUACUAGAAGAUCAAACAAGUUCAGUAAUAUGCAUGUCUUCAACUUUAUACAAAUACCAGUAGUUUAAUCACAACAAAAUGCAUAGUCUUGGGAAAUGUCCAGUGACCUAACACCACUACUCUUACACUAAACCAAAAGCAAGUCUAAACAUUAACCAAGCCACCAUCUAACUCAAGAAUCGAUGCCUCAAGCAUCAUAUCGUCCUCUCCAUCGACAUGUUUAGGGGACCACGAUACAAAUCUGAAGAAAAUAAUAAUAAUAAGGGGAGAGCCGAAGUCUAGCAAACAAAAUCUCUUAGUUUAAGGUAGGAGAUCAACUUACCACUAAACCCGGCACCAACCAACAACAUGAGUUCAAGCAAUACAAAAUAAACAUGUAUGACAAGUGUGGAAAGAAUGCAUUAUCUUUCUAUAAAUGAUAUGCUGAUGGAAACAAAAACAUAACAUAGCAUAAGUUCAAUCAUUCAAAAGCAAGUAAAUGGCAUAUUAUUUUAUGAUGCACCGGUAUCACCAAUAUCUCACCACUAUACACAUCGAAGAUUUAUUCUUUACUCGAGACCAAUAUUACAUGACAGUAACCAUUCAAAUGCAAGCAAAUGGAAUAAUAUUUUAUGAUGCAUGGUUACCACUAAUGAGACAACAUACGAAUGUACGCAAACGGAUGAUCAAGACUUAUUAAGGAAGAUGAAUAAUGAUCGUUGUUUUAAAAUCAUUAGACCUACAAGUAGGAGGGUUUUAUGUUCCAAUAGAAAUGCUUCAAGUGACCCUCAAUAAGUAGUUAGGGUGCAAAUGGCCUAAUAAGAUUGGCUACAAGAAAAUAUCUCUAGAGAGCUCCUUCUUGGCCGGGCAAAAGAUUGAGUCACGACGGCAUUAAAUGACUAAGGUUAAAAGAGGUGAUGUAAGGUACGCCCUCAAAGCUAAAUUAGGCUCAAUUUCACUAAGAGAAUGUGGCUAAAGAUGAUUGGUGGAAAAAUGGAGAGAGAAGGAGAACUACUUCUUGGCCAAUUAAAAAUGAAUAGAUAAGAGUUAGGCUUAUCAAGAGCUGGUUAAGGUUAAAAAAGAUGAUGUACUAAAUAAUAUAAAUACUAAGCUAGGUUCAAUGUCUUUAGGAACAUAUGGGUUAAUAUCAUUAGUAGAAAAUGAGGAGAGAUAUGUGCAAUUUAGAGAAUGGCUAACAGCUCAACUAUGGGCUUCUAAACUAGACAAGUUACCGAAAUGUUUAUUAAAUGAGUGCAUAAACAGGGAAACCAGUGUUUAGUCAAAACAUUAAUAAACCAGAAAAUAUUUUGAAUCCACUAAUAUUAUUAGUGAACAAUACGAAUGUUAAGAAAAUUUCAAUUCGAUAAAUUUAAAACUUGAAAAAUCGCCAAAUAUGUUACUUGGAGCAUAUCAAUUCCCGUUUACAAUAAUUUGGUGGUGAAUAAAUUACCAUCAUUUUAUAUUAUCAAGUACAUGUCGACAUCUAUCAAUUUACUUUUAACAAAUCAACCUCCGAGCAAUUACGGUCUCGAAGAAAUCAUCCUAGUACCUUCCACACCCCACAAAAUUGAUGGCCUUCAUCCAUAUCCGAAAUUCCAAACUAAAUAAUACUUACUUUAUAUCCUAAAUUCUAUCAACAAAGAUGGAAAAUUCUGAAUGUCACAAUUGCCCUCGCCCAACCCUCACGAGGCCACCCUCAUUGGCUAAAAGCGAAGGACGGCCUCACUCGGGCAAGGGUCGUCCUUGCUAGCCAAACAUGAGGCCAAAUGCGAGGCCGACCUUUAACAUAUCUGGACGAGGGUCACUAGGCCAUCGGUGGCCGUAAUAAUGAGAAAAAGACUAGAAAAAAUAAAUUCAAAAAAAUAAAAAAUAAAAAAUUGUAAAAAUUGUCUAAGUUUGAGCCGGCGGUGCUACAUGGGAUAGCCGAUAUUUGCUUCAACGAUUUCUAGUUAAAAUGAACCGAUAAACUUUAUUGAUAAAUUAUCAAAAGUUUUAGGACUAAAUUGACCAAAUAAUGAGAUUUAGGACUAAACUAGUAUGAGUGUGAUAGGCUUAUGUUUUAUUUAUCUUUUGAAAUUAUAUGAUACUGUGUCUUGUGAGGCUUAACGGGACCUUACUUGUUACCUUUUCCUCUUGUUUAACUCUGUGCUCAUGAACUGUGGUGUUAGGAAUUUUUGGGUUUAUCUUAGCCCGCACAUGUCAUUUUCCUUCGCCUAAUAAAUUGAAUUGUCGUUUUCUUUUUCCUGUUCUGGAGAAGCCUAUUUAAAAUCUAGGAUAACGCUCAAUUUAUCUCAUGAAUAUGGUAAGAUGCCAUCAAGAUCCAAAUGAACAAUCCAAACACGACAUUAUUUGUAUUUGAUAACAUGGAAUAUUCGAUGACGUGGACUACGAAGAUAGCCUUCAUAUGGUAUUCAAUAGAGGGACACACAUCGGGGGCUCACGACGUGAUAAUGCUAGUGUUUAUCUAAAGAUUCUUCCCGUAGGGAGCAUUAUUUCCGAUGAUAAAGACAAGGUGUCUCCCUCUUUAGCCAGCCAAAGGUAGGUUUCGUCGACCCAUCCCAACGUUAAACUUCCAGGAAACCUCACUGAUGGGGACAACAUCAUUCAUGCGUUGAAUGUUAUCCUCACUCAUCGUUAAUAAUGCAAGUAGUGGAAUACUGUCGCACGCACGAGGCGGCGUGAUUCGGUCGUGGGCACUGAAUAUGUGACAUGACAAGAGUAAAGAGACAGAUCAGUCGUGGUUGAUGAUGACUCGGCCACUUCGUUGUACCAACAUGCGCACCUACACUCCCCAGUGAGUGACCACAACGAUUUUAGAACAAGAGUAGUUAAAUCUAAUUCGAUCUGAAAUAAAGUAGUGUUCACAUUUAUUAUUAUCUUUAACCGGAUUCCUUCUAUUUAUUUCGCGGCUUCUAGAUGAAUGUGUCGGAGCCUUUCAAAGUCAAAAAAUGGGAAAAUAUAAAGAUUCCCUGUCUCCAUGACUUUUCUUGUAGGACCAUCUCAAGAGAGCUCAAUUCCAUCUGCAAGUCUAGAUUUUUGACCGAUCCUUGGAUUCCCUGGGCCAAGAAAACGAAAGAGAAAAUGAUCCUUUUGCGAAGACUUGGACUUCUGAGUUGACCUGCUCUUGUUGUUAUCAAGUUCGAUAUUAUGGGAUCAAAGAAUCGGGCGAGGUCGACUGCUCGAACUCGAUUUCCAAAGUAAAAUUCUCGGAACAAUACUGAGCUCAAGCUUGAUUCGAUAUGGCAUUUUCUUUUCUUGCGUGUAGCUCCACUCAAUCAAGUAACAGCAAAUUCCAAGCUAAUGUGAGACUAGGCUUUGGAUUACUUUCCUGUCGAACUCGUAGAAACCAUCACGUGAAGACGUGUACCUUGUUGUGAUCCUUGCAUAAAGUAUCAUGCUUGCAUGUGUAUGGCCUUCAAAAUUUUGCCCAUGGACGAUCUUGGACUUCAAAUUUUUUAUGUCGUGACACGUUGGACAAUACAAUCUGUCAGAAGGUGAUUGAUUCCAUAUCAUCGCCCUCCAUACGCAUUGGCAAAAACAAGCAACAAAAGAGAGAAAAUCGCCUGUUCUUUGCCUUUCGCUCGCACUCGUGAGACACAGACCCAAUCGGGUUCACACACGAGAUGAGCCGUAAUUGGGCCGUUGCCUGCUCGGUGUCUUUCUUGACUUACUGUCGUUUCUACGUAAGUAUAAAGAUCCCUGUCCAUCUCCGCUCAGUUCACUCAGUUCCAUCUCCGAACGCCCACACAGUUCGUGGAAACCACAGGGAGAGAGAGAGAGAGAGAGAGAGAGAGAGAGAGAGAGAGAGAGAGAGAGAGAGAGAAUGGCUGGUGCUAGAUUUCUGUGUUCCUUCCUCCUCCUCUUGACCGCUUGCUCCGCCACAGCAGCUGCCUUCCAGGGCGUCCUCCAUCCUCCAAACCGUUGGCCACGGCCGUCCCGCCCUCUCCUUCGUAGACUUUGCCAGCAGGUUAGAUAUCAACACCCCACUUAUAAAAGAAUAAUGCAAAAUAUAGAGUUGUGGAUGUUAGACAAUGAAAAGUACAUGAACCUAUGAAUUUUAUUAGAUGGUUGUCUAAGUUAAAAUAUCAGAUAUAUAAAAUCAAUGACAUCAAUUUAAUUUUAGUUUGGACAAGUGAUCCAAAAAAAUGCGAGAGUGGAUAAAGAGAGAAUUAGUUAACAUCAGCGUGACUGUGUCAAGGCUACUAUGUAAGCUACCCAAUAGGAGGCUGUCAUCGCGAUAGGAGAAUACCGUCAAGAAAAGGCCUAUUUUGAUGUUAGACAGUAAAAAAUACAUGAUCCUAAUUACAUGCACGACCUUACUGAAAAUCAAGAAAUAUUCUUGUUAACACUCAUCUGGGUGUGUUCUUGGCUUGUAAAUUCCCCUCUGUUGUCUAUAAAAGAUUGUUGACCUUUUCGAUUGUUGUCGUUUAUCCGCGUUGUUGAUGUUUGGUUUAGGUACGAGAAGAGGUACGAGACAGCGGAGGAGAUCAAGUUGAGGUUCGAUAAUUACAGGGAGAAUCUCAAGCUCAUUCGAUCCACCAACCAGAAGGGCUUGCCUUACACUCUCGCUGUUAAUCGUACGUGGCAGUUCUUGACAUUUUCUCCUUUUCUAUUGGUCAUGGUCGUUUUGGCUUGUUUUAUAACCUGAAGCCGAAGAGAUGGUAUAUUUAAGCUGCAAGAAAAUUAUCCAAAAAGUCCUAAACCUAUUCUACUUUUGUCAAUUCAGUUUUAAGCCUUUCAAUUUUGCCAAUUGAGUCUUAAAUCUUUCAACAUUUUGCCAAUUGAAUUCAUUCAGUCAAUUUUGAUCGGAAUUUACUGACGUGGAUGUCGACCAUCCUACAUGGCACUGCCGGCAUUGGCGUGGACAAAAAUUUAUUUAUUUCUUUUUUUCAAUUUAUUUAUUUUUAAUUCUUUUUUUCUCCUUUUUUUUUUCCUUUUCUUCCUCUAGUCGGUUGCCUAGUCUCUAGCGACCGCCCAGAGGCCAUGACUGGCGAGAGUUAGCCUCCCCGGCCUUGAGCAAGGUCACCCUCGCUGGGAUCUGGCAAGGGGCGACCUUGUUGUCCUCGAGUGGGGCUCACCCUUGCUAGAGGCUAGCAAGGGUCGGCCUCGCGGGGCCCUGGCAAGGCUCGACCUCGCCAGACUUGGCGAGGGCAAGCCUCGCUCAAGGCCAAUGAGGUCGCCCAAAAAAAGAGAGAAAGAGAGAGAAAAGAAAAAGAAAAAAGAGAGAGAGAGAGAAAAGAAAAAAGAUAAAUUAAAUACAUAAAAAUAAUUUUAAAAUUCGAAAAAAAAUUAAAAAAUUAAAAAGAAAUUGUCCACGUCAGCAAAUUAUAAUCAAAAUUGAUCGAAUAAACUCAAUUGGCAAAAAGUGAAAAAAUUUAUGACUCAAUUAGUAAAAUUGAAAAGUUUAAGACUAAAUUCACAAAAGUACUCAGGAAUUUUUGGAUAAUUUUUCCUUUUAGUUGUUGACACUGUCAUCGCUGAGUUGAUUUGUGCUUAAUGGGUUGACAGAGUAUGCUGACUGGAGCUGGGAGGAGUUCAAGACGCACAGACUGGGAGCUUCUCAAGACUGCUCUGCCACCACCAAGGGCAGCCACAAGCUCACCGACGCUGUUCUUCCCAAAACGGUAUUUUUCACAGCGAUGCCUCAAUCGGAAGCUUUCCGCUCGUAUUAUCCUUCGGUCAAUGAGAAAAAACUACUUGAUUUAGACUAGCAGCUGUACUGCUUUUAGCUGUGUGGUGUCUUCUUCUGUAUCGACUGGCAAUUUUCUCUGCUAAAUUACAGCAAAAUAGUUACUCAGCUACCACUAGCUGCCUUGCGUCGGCAUCAUAUUUUGGGUGCGUGUGUUUUACGAAAAACUCAAUAAUAUACAAAUUUUCUUUCUCCAGUAAAAUAUUUUCUUGGAAUACAGUUAAUUUUUAUUUAUUUAUUUAGUGAUAUAUAAUCAAGAACGUUUUCUGUUGAUUGGAUAUUAUUGGAAAAUAAUUUCAAUCUCACAACUCUAUUUCAUGCCAAAAAAAUUCAAACUUGUAAAAUUUUAAAAUUCGAAUUUUUAAUUAUUUUAUUUCUCUUAUUUUAUUUUAUUUUUAAAAUUUGGAAUUUUUAAUUUUCUUUUUUCUCAUUUAUUUUUCUUUUCUUUCAUUCAUUUUUUUCCCUUCCUCCGCCCUACCAACUGACGACGGCCAUAGCUUUGCCUCGCUAUGACUGGGCGAGCCGCAAGUUUGUCGGUCUCGAUGGAGCACGGCUCGCCUGACCGAGGUGAGCUCGGGCUCGCCUGGUUCGGUUAAGCUGCAAGCACACUAACCUCAACGAAGCUUAGGUUGCCGAGCUUAGGCUCACCUAGAUUGGUCAAGUUGAGCUUGCCAGCCUUGAUGAAGCUCGGGCUCGCCUAGAUUAGCUGAGCCCCGAGCUCACCGACCUUAGCUGAGCUCAGGCUCACUUGGUUCAACCGAGUCAUGAGCUUGCCAGUCUUGGCCAAGCUCGAGCUCACCUAGAUUGAUCGAGCCUUGAGCUCGCUAGCCCAUGUCUUGGCUAGUUGCUGACAGUGGAGGAAGAAUGAGGAAGAAGGAGGAAGAAAAAGAGAAAAGAAGAAAAAAGAAAAGAUAAAGAUAAAGAAACUAAAAAAAUAAAAAAAUCAGUUUUUUUUAGAAAUUCCUAUAAAUUAGAUUUUUUCUAAAUAUUUUUAUAAAAAUAAAAUUUUCAUUAACCAAGGGGUCUAAGAUUAGGAAAUUUUUUUGGAAAAUAUUUUCCAGUUUUUUCAAAGGAAAAAUUGUUUUCUUGAACUUAAAUUUUGGUAGGAAUACAUUUUUCGUUGACUAGGAAAAUAUUUUUCCAUUAAUUCAUUUUCCUAAGCGAAUCAAACACCUGGGGUUCCCGGAAACAAACAUACUCUUUGUUUUCUUUGAAACAUUCAAACUCAAUGACAAAAAUCCAUUAGCUCCAUCCAUGACGACUGAACUUUCUUGUCCUCGCUUUUACUGAUUGAAAGUGCUUACUGAAACAACUUAUUCUCUCUCUUCCAUCUCAAGGUUUCGGCACUUUUCAUGAGAUCCAAGACUAGAUUGCUUAUUACUGUAGAAUCUACUAGCUGAUCAUUGAAGUGCGAGACCUGUGUCAAUAUUAGAUCUUUUUUUUUCUUCCAAUCCUUCAUAUUGCAGAAAGACUGGAGAAAAGAGGGCAUUGUAAGCCCAGUUAAAAAUCAAGGCGGCUGUGGAUCUUGCUGGAGUUUCAGGUUUUUCUUUGUUCUCCUUCUCUUCUCUUAGAUUUAUAUUUGUUACUCACAUUAGUACGUAACACACUUAUUAACUUGGCAACUCAUUGGGAUGUCAUUACGCUAGACUGCUAGUGACCUCUAAUUUGCACUUUUGCAGCGCCACUGGAGCUCUCGAGGCUGCUUAUCACCAAGCACACGGGAAAGGAAUCUCUCUGUCUGAGCAGCAGCUCGUGGACUGCGCUACGGCUUUCAACAACUUUGGAUGCGAUGGCGGGUUGCCGUCACAAGCCUUCGAGUACAUCAAGUACAACGGUGGCCUUGAGACCGAGGAAGCUUAUCCUUAUACUGCACGAAAUGGUACCUGCAAAUUCUCGGCUGGCAGGGUCGCUGUCAAAGUUGUCGACUCUGUCAACAUCUCUAUGGUAAGUUUCAUGGGCAAUCUGUAGAGUUAACCAAAAGAAAAGGAGAAGAAAAGGAAAAAAAGGCUCCGCAAAUUUCAUAAAGAUAGUUUCAAAUUGCCUUUAUGUUUAUAUUUGCAAUGCAUGGUGGAUUCAGGGUGCUGAGGAUGAACUGAAGCAUGCAGUUGGCAUGGUCCGGCCAGUCAGUGUGGCAUUCCAGGCCAUGGAUGUCUUCCAGCACUACAAGUCGGGUGUCUUCACCAGCGAUGCAUGUGGUAGCACUUCCAUGGUGAGCAUUUCCAAAUAAAAAGGAAAGGAACACUAUCUCCAUCUCAAUCAUGCUCAAAGGAUGCUAGUGCGUAGGAUUCAUGAAGCUUUCUAAACAUCUGUAAAAUUAAUUAGGGAUUCCUCUAGGAUAAUUUUCAUUGUUAGAAAUAGUUUAAUAAUUCUGUCCAUAUCUCUUAAGAUAGCACAUAUAUUGUAUGAAUAUCACAGGCGAAUGACACGUAUAUUGCACGUAUAUCUCCAUUUGAUUGUGCAUAUUUUGUUAAGAUAAAGCCUAAAAAUAGGUUGUUGUAUUCUUUUUAAAUAUAUACAUUAAAAUAUGGGUUAAGAAUAGCACAACUACCAUAACCUUGUUAAGACACUCACUUGAGUGCCACAAAUUUGAAAAAUUGAGUACUUGAAUGCUAUUGGCGAUUUACCUCGUUGGAAAAUCCGCUAGUCAUUUUGCAUGACUUCACCGACACUGACACAGACAUUAAACAUCUACUGGAGAUAAUUAGAGAUUUCUCCAGUAUAAUUUCCAUCGUUGGAGAAAUUUUAAUAAUUUUGUUCAUUAUUUAUAUCUCUCAAGAUAUUGCAUGAAUACUGUCGCCAAAUGGCAUGGACAUUGCACAUCUAUCUCCCUUUGAUUGUGCAUAUUUUGUUUGAGAUAUUAUUUUAGAAUAGUUGUCUAUAAAGCCUAUAAAUAAUUUGUUUCACUCUUCAUUAAUAUAUAUCGAAAUACACGCAAAUUCCACAUUUCUAUUUUCCACAUUAUUAUUCUUAAUUACAUCGAUAAUCUCUACCGCGACAUUUAAUUUGAGCAUCUAUCUUGUCAAGAUUUAUAUAAUUCGAUUCCUUACUGCUAAUGAAGUUUUUCAUGAUAGGCGAUACUCAUGCUCGUGCCUAAUGAAAACUGAAUGUAUUGUAUCAGGAUGUGAACCAUGCUGUUGUUGCUGUCGGUUAUGGAGUUGAAAACGGUGUUCCAUACUGGCUUAUCAAGAAUUCCUGGGGAGAGAGCUGGGGCAACAAAGGAUACUUCAAGAUGGAGAUGGGGAAGAACAUGUGUGGUAAGUUCCCCCUUUUGGUUUUCGUAGAACUACUAGAACAAAACGGUGCUAGGAUAACUAUGCUUUUGAAAUUCUUGCUGUUGUUUUAGUCCAUAUCCAUUCCUUUUAUGCUUGACUUUCUACUAAGUUGCUCCGUCCUCGUCUAUCGAUCUUAAAUUGCAGGUGUCGCUACUUGUGCAUCAUACCCUGUUGUAGCCUAGAUUGUUUUUAGAGAACCUAAUGGUCUCGUGCGUCACGUGAUUCGAGACAUAUUUGCUUCACCUCAAGGUUGAGUACUGUAAUGUAGCAUAGAAGGGUUUAUGCUUUAGCGUACAAAAAAAUCUUCAGGACAAUUGUAAUUCCAUAUGUUUACUGUUAUGUCAACGAAGACCUUAUAAAUUUCAGUCUAUGUUUGCGUGGCAUGAAACUCUAUCGUUGCAAGAAUAACGCAUUACUGCAAAGGAAAAUAUGAUUCUUCCACCAUUAAAACAGCAUGGGAAUGAAGGGGCAAAAUUUCACUCAAACUAAACGCUUUCGCUUAUUUGCUCGGUAGAGAUUGAUGCACGGUCUUACACACAUGCUAACACUCACCAUGCGAUGUUUAGAUAGCCUAGGAGAUGUGAUACUAUCUUGAUUGCACCAGAAGAGACAGUAGCCAACAUCUUUUAUUCGCAGGGCAAAUUACACAUGCAAAAAGAUAAGCAAAAGUUCAUAGUUCGAUUAGCCACCAUUCAUAUCCUCAUUCCUUAACAUGCUAAUUCGAAUUACAUCGUAUUUGCACAUGUUGCACAACAGUAAUUCUUUUUCCUUUUCUUUUUGGUCAUCCAUUACGGUAAUUGCUUGUCCUAGUGGUGCCUGAAACACUAUAAGGCUCUCAAAUUGCAAUCAUCACGGGUCUCUUUUUCUUGCAUUUGUCAUUUCCCAUGAGCUUGAUCGACUGGAGUUACAGCUCAGGAGAGAGAAGCUCAUGAUAUAUGCCUCAUUCUUUCUCCAGAGAAACAAGAAUAGUACCAAAGACUUUCCAAUUUAAUAUGUUCCUAGAGUGAUUAAUAACAGAGCAUGCAAAUGUGGGGGAUAAUUGUUUAAAACGUCUUUAAUCUAUUGUAUGAGACUCAAUUCAAUUCUAACGUCUCAAACAUUUUGAUAAUUUGCCAAAUAUAGCUAUUCUAACCAAUUUAGACUAGCAAUUGCUGACAUAGAUGCCAGCCUUCCUACAUGAAACAGCUAUUAAGAUAGUCGGCACUAAUGUGAACAAAUUUUAUAAAUUUUUCUACAUUUUUUUCUAUCUUUUUCCCUUUUUGUGUUUUUUUAUUCCUUUUUUUUUUCUAUUUCCCUCUGUCGAUCUGGCCAAGGCGAUGGUUGACAAAGAUUGUUGCCACAAGUGAGGGCUGGGAUGCUCUCGUCAACAACCCCCCCAGCCCCCCCCCCCAGGCCUUUGCCAGACACAAUGAAGGCAAGAUAAAGUAUAAAAAAAAAGUCUUAAACUCAUUGCAUUGAUAUCAAUAUAAUUUUAAAUAUUUCAAUUGGACUAAUGUAGUUAUAUACGUAUUCACACUAGUAUCAAUUGAGUUUAUUCUGCCAAUUUACAUCGGAAAUUGCUCACGUGGACACCUAUCCUACAUUGCACGGAUGACACUGAGUAGACUUUUUAUAAUUUUUUAAUAAUUUUUUGAAUUUAUUUAUUUCUUUUUCCUUUCAUUUUUUUUCUGAAAAAAAUUUUAAAUUUUUUCUACAUUAGUGUUAUUCAUGUUACAUCGAACAUCCGGCAUUCACGUCAAUAAUUUCAUACCUAAAUUAAUCGAAUGAACUCAAUUGAUAUCAAUGUGAAAAUGUUUAAAAUUUUGGUCCAAUUAAUUUUUUUUAAAAUGAAUUAAUAGUAAUGCGAUAGGUUUAGAACCUUUUUUCAUACUUUUAUGAUUAAUUCAAUCGAUAUCAAUGUGAAAAUGUUUAGGACUUUGCUCCAAUUAAAAAAUUUAAAAAUGAACUAAUAUUAAAGUAAUAGGUUUAGAACCUUUUAUAUACUUUUCUCAUACCCAAGAGACGAAUAUUUUCUCCAAAAUUAAACCUGAAGAGCUUGGCGUUUAACAACCUGGAGUAAGCCUCGUUCCUUCCUACCGAAACCGGCGACCUUUACUUGAUGAGCGACGCGCGGACCCCUGGAGUGCCUUAACUUUGGCCAAAGGGACACUUAAGUGCCAUAACUUACGAAAGGUACACUUAAGUGCCAAAAUCGAAGUAAAAGGGAUCACUUGAGUGCCAAUCCGGCCAAAAUAUCGAUGUGGCACUUUUCCGGCGAACCGAGUCCAAAACGACACUGUUUUGCACACUGACGUGGCCAAAAUGGCGUCGUUUUGUUAUUUUUAUAUAUUUUAACUAAAUUUAAUUUUACAUUUAAUUAAAUUUAAUUUUUUUAAUUUUUUUACCACGUCAGCCCAAAACAACGCCGUUUUGGCCACGUCAGCGUGCAAAACGACGUCGUUUUGAGCGCACUUCGCUGGAAAAACGUCACGUUGGCGUUUUGGCCGGAGUGGCACUCAAGUGAUCUGUUUUUCUUCGAAUGUGGUACUUAAGUGUACCUUUCGUAAGUUAUGACACUUAAGUGUCCCUUUGGCCAAAGUUAUGGCACUUGAAGCGUUCUUUUGCCCUCAAUGAGCCCCUAAAGUGGAGACCCUCGAAGAUCUUUUCUUGUGCAGGACAGAACAAAAAAGCCCUCUUCUUGCCUCGCGGAGAAAGGUUUUUUCUAGUGUCUCUACGUGAAAAGGAAGAUUAGCAACCAGCAAUGGAUCGUGUGGCCCUCCGACGAGGGCCGGCAAGGGCAUCACAGCCUUCGCCUGUGGCCAGCCACCACCACCAGCCAUUCCCGAGCCGCAACUACUAACGGAGAUUAGCUAACAUUCAUAUCCUUACAGAAAUUGACUUACAGCAAAAUAUUGGGUUAAAGUCCGUACAUGAAUAUCCUUCGUGAUAUCUUCCCAUUCAACAAUAGGUAAGGGUGUAAUGGCCCUGUUGGUGCGUGCAAACCUCAAAAGCUCUCAAAUCGCGAUCUUCAUUCUCUUUUCAUCUAUUAUGUCAUAUUCCACUCGAUCUAUCGAUCAAAAUAAAUUACAGCUCGGGAAUAGAGAGCAAGAGACUGUUCAAAUAUGCCUCAUUCUUUUACCCCAGGAAAAAGAAUUGUACCAAACCUUUGCUAAUUUAAUAACUUCCUAGAGUGAUAUAAAAUGUAGUCAACAAAAGAAUAUAAAUUGUUGGAUCCUUUCCCUUCUAGCUUACGAUGAAACAUAACCCAAAAAUCGAUCCCUUCGCUAGACCUUGCUAAAAUUUCUCCUCCUUUGUAUAUUAAUGGGAGACCGACAAAUUAUUUUGGAUGAUAAAAAACAACGGUUAUUUACAUUUAAAAUGAGCAGAGGAUUGAAGGAUCUGGAAAGCUAAUGACCCAUUAAGGCCUUGCAAUAGCAGCUGUGUUUCAUUUUUCCUGAGGGCAUUGUUCAUUACUGAUCAUCUCACUCUUUAGUGAUGCAUAAGCCAGAGACUUUCGACUUGGAUGCUAGAAGUCUCCAUUUUGGACUUCUGAUCCAUGGGGACAUCUAGAUAGCUAUCAAAAUCUCUCUACUAUACAAGAAACAACUCCAGUUCUCUGCAUAAUUGAGCUGUGAUGCCAGGUAUUACCUCCCGAGUCCUGAUGUUGCUGUACUGGAUGUGCAUAAGCUCUUCACAACAUCAAAACACUUUUCAUGCCCCAGGACAGAUUGAGCUACCUCCCAGCCUGAGAACCAACAAAGAUGAAAACAAAGCCAGUAAGCACGUCCACUCUAAAAAACUGAUGGACAUUAUUCUGCAAAUCCUACUGUGUAUUUCAUUCUUCAUAAAAACAAGUGUGCAAUCAUCGAUGCAAUAAGUAAAGACAUUAUUUUCUAGACAAAGAAAAACAUCAGCACCUUGUAAGAGUUUUCCUAAUAUGGGCUACAUUAAUUAAUAUUGUAAUUUACUGCUUUAUGGUUAUUGUAAAAUGGGAUUGGUCUAAGGUGAGAUAGAAGGUUUCUUAAUUAAUCUAAUAUGAGACUGGUUAGUGUGGAUCGAAUUGAACCUGGCUCGUAAUGAGGGGGUCUUAUUGGAAACUCUAUAAAUAGUGCUAAAAUCUCUCCUCUAACUCUAAUUCUCACAUGUAUCAUCACAUAAGGAGCGUUAACCUAACACUAAAGGGUGAGGGGGCCGCCUCAUUGAGCCAAUGAUACGGAGGGAAAUAGAGGAUAAGGAUUUGCGCGUGAAAUAUCAAUUUUCCACUUCCGCUUCAAGUACGAUAGAUCCCAAAACAUGUGCGUUAAUCUUUCUACUCAAUUAUGCAUGUUCUUGUUCGAGUUAUGGAGAUCUUGGGAUUGCAUAAUUUGUAUCCAACAUGUGGUAUCAAAGCAACGAUAACCCUAGAACUCGAACGCAUAAAAUUUUUGCCAUAAUUUGUGAUUUUCGUGAUUUUUUGUUCAAUAAAAGUAAAAUUAAAUCACAAAUUCGUAUUGGGCUCGACGAGACAAGUAGAUCUAUUGGUGGCGCAUCAUCGGGGGAGGCCGCAUGUGCCCCCACGUGAUGCCACGCGCAGUCAGGGCGUCGAAGACAUGCCCCACGCGCAGUCACGCUUCUUCACGCGCCCCCACACACGUAGACUGACAUCACUAUGAUGUUAGCGACUGGACCUGACUCGACUUAUUGACCCGACCCGACCUGUUGACCUAACUCGACCCGGUCAAUCGUUGACUAAACCGGUCAAUCGGUCGGACCACUACUAGUUGAACCGGUUUUGACUAGUCAAGAUACGCUCGCGCAUGAGCUCCAUGCGCAACACACUCAGGCAGCACGUGUGAGCUUGUGGAGCGUUCGAUCGGUGCGUGGCUGGUGGCGUUGGGUUCGUAUGAUCAUUCUCUAUCUUAUGGUGUAUUUAUUGUACAUGUUUAAUGAUUUUAAUGGAUGUGAAAAUACAUAUGAAACCCUAAAUACGUAUGUUUUUAGUGUAUUUUUGCGUAUUUUUCUUGUAUUUUUUUGUGAUUUUGAAAAUACAAGUGUUGGGUUACAGGUAUGUUAUCACAUAAACAUUAUAAAUGUGUGAUUCAUUAAUAAAAAAAAAAUUAAACUUUAUUGUGAACUAAAGCUAGCUUAAUGAGAUACAAUCAUUAUGGGAUAGUAAUUAAAUUAUGUGUUGAGGUGAUGAUAAACAAUUAAAGUUAUGAAACUUUUGUUGCUCAAGCAUACUUCUUUAUACACAUCUUGAUGUAUUUUUGUUUCUUUUAGUAAUGUUUGAAUGAUGGACGUCUUAAGGACUCGUGACCAAACUGAUUGUACUAAUUAAUACAUUUGCUAGAUGUAGGUAAUGCAUGUCAAUUAAGUUAUUACAUAUUAUAUCUAAUCUCAUCUGGUCACUCGUUAAUGUCUAUCAAGUUGAACAUUUUUUUUUUUUAUGGUUAAGAAAUAUGACAACAUUUACACAGAACAAUAGUAUCUACUGUUGUAGUUUAGAUACUUGAUACCGUGGUUUGACUCAAUUUAUAGGCCAUUAGUUGAUGUAAUGAUAUUUGUUACUUAAAAUUGGCUAAUAAAUCAGCUGUUGGCUUUGGAGUCAUGUUUGCCUUAUGAAACUUACGAGCGAUAGUGGAUUAGCUGUCAGGCUUGUCGAUAUGGUGUACCAUGUAUUGCUAAUGAUGUUAACUUGUGAUAGAUCCUAUAGAUCAGUAUUCUUUUUAUGUUGUUUUGGUAACUUGUAAUCUGAGUGCACAAGAGACGCUUUCUUAUAUGUUAUGAGGAGUUGAUUUUCUUGGAUGAAUGAAGCGUAAUUAGCAUGAUAUGUGAUUUUGGUGAUUUACUGCCCCUAUCACUAAAGUUAAAACCACACACACACACACACACACACACACACACACACACACACACAUAUAGUGCACACACACACACAUAUAGUGUAUAUGAGUAGUAAGGUUUAUAUCCCUAGUAUGAGAGAGUUUCAAGAAUUCAAUUGCUUGAUUGAAUUUGAGAAAUUUCGGUCUUGUGUAUUGAUUGGGAUGUCACUUGGCCUAAUGCGUAGUCACUCCCAAAGGAGAUAAUUGUGUAUUAAUUCAUGGAGGGAUACAUGAUGGUAUGGUGGAGGAGUGACUAAUCCUAGUGGUUCAUAUGCCUAAAGGUGAUGAAUUCAUGAAAAUUGGAAUAUAUUCUGAUAACCGCUAUCAUGUGAGAGUGUAUGAUUGCAUAUCAUAUAUUCUGCCCAAAUGUGAUUAUGUGGUUAUGCGUGCGACUCUCUGGAUGUGUAUUUAUACGUCAAGUUACACGGUGCUCAUAUGAUACUAAUUAUAUACAUUGCUUGUUUUUUCAGUCACAUUUUCUGUAAUUAAUAACUCUAUUAUUAUUGAGAUUUUUACUGCUUCAAAUUUUAAGUUAUGGACAUAUGAUUUGUUGCUUGGGAAAAGAGUAAUAGAAUUUGCUUACUAUCCAUGAAGCAUUCCAUUCAUGAGCACUUGAAAAGUGGUUUACCAACUGACUGCACUGCUAAAAGAUGAUAAAAGCCUUAGUGGCUUGAAUUAUAUCUAAUCUAAUAUCGAAAUUAGGACACAUCUACAAAGAUUGUGUUUAAGUCAUAAUGGCAUAUAUAUCUCGUAUAUGGUUGAAGAGGUUGUUUCCAAAUUUUUUUUAUUUAAAGAAUAAUCUCACACAUGUCUAAAGAAAGAGUAGAAAAGUUGACAAUGUUGAUAUUAUGUCUACUCUUAACGGUUAUCUAAAGACUUCUAUAGAUUAUUGUUGAAGUAAAAUUACCGAGGUAAAAAAUAAAUCGAUUAGAAUUAGUCUUAAAGGUUGUCAUGCUUAAUAGUGACCGUGAGUAUUUUGGCAAGUAUGACAAUAUGGAAUAAAUUUUGGGGUGGUAACUUAAUUUACUAUGUUUGAAAAUCCUGACAAAAGAUUUAGCUGAAAGGCAUAAUUGCACCAUAAUUAGUAUAGUGAUGAGUAAGACUAAUUUAUUCGGUCUACUGUGGGCUGAUAUUUUGAAAGUAACAUUUUCACAUACAUACAAAACAUGUUUCUUACCAAAGUUGUUCCAUGAACUUCUUUUGAAUUAUAAUUUUUAUAGAUUGGACAUAAUUUUAACUUGGAUCAUAUUAAAUUUAGAGAUGUCAUGCAGAAGUGAGAUUAUCUAAUCCAAUUUUUAGUGCAUUGGAAUUUAGAUUUACUUGGAAUUAUUUUGUAUCUUACCCAUAUUAUUCAAAGGGGUAUUGAUUUUAUGACCCUAAUGAAGGUACAAGAAUUAUGGAAUCACAUAUAAUAAAGUUUCUAGAGUUCGACUUGUUGUAGAUGAUAAUUACUCUCAUAUUAUUAAGGAUAAUAGUACAAUGGAGGUUAUUGUGUCUUUGCCUAUACAGACAAUUGUGGAAAGAUUGCUGAAAACUUAAAAAUAAGCCAAUUGCCAAAGGCAGCAACAAAGGAGCCUUGGAGACUUGUGGAGUACUCGACUAUCUAGAAGCAAGCACCCGAAGUCGGAGUGAGCAAGCAAAUCCAGAUACUUUUGAGACACUCACACUUCAAUCUUCAGAGCUAACUUCCAUGGAGGAUGUUGACUGCAUCGUCCAUGAAAUCAACAAAGAAAUUUGAGAGAGAGAGAGAGAGAGAGGUCCCUAGGGGAAAUCCUAAGAGAGACACUCGAGUGGAAUUCUAACUGAUAGAAAAGGUUCACGAGUAGGAAUGAUCAUCGAUCACUUUACCAAACCAUGUAAGCCCUUGAAGUUUCUAAUUUUGUGGGAAAAUUACCAAAAAAGUUAUCCUAUCGCACUUGCAUCAAUUCAAUUUUAAACAUUCUAAUGAUUCGUUAGUACAUCCUUUCAGUCAAUAUUGAUUGGAAAACACUAAUGCGGCAAUCCAAUCAAUAUUAGUUGUUCUAUGUGGCUGUUCUAUGUGGUGUGUGAGUGCUAACACUAACAAAAAAAAUUAAACAUUUCAAGGUCAUGUUUUUUUUCUUUUGUCUAUUUUUUUUUCUUUACUUUCUACUGGUGUCCGGUUUCAAGCAAUGGCAACAAGGGUUAACCAAGCCACCAUCUAACUCAAAAAUUGAUGGCCUCAAGCAUCGUAUCGUCCUCUCCAUCAACAUGUUUAGGGGAUCACGAUACAAAUCUGAAAAAAUAUAAUAAUAACAAUAAUAAGGGGAGAGCUAAAGUCCAGCAAACAAAAUCUCUUAGUUUAAGGUAGGAGAUCAACUUACCACUAAACCCGGUACCAACCAACAACAUGAGUUCAAGCAAUACAAAAUAAACAUGUAUGACAAGUGUGGAAAUAAUGCAUUAUCUUUCUAUAAAUGAUAUGAUGACGGAAACAAAAAAAUAACAUGGCAUAAGAUCAAUCAUUCAAAAGCAAGUAAAUGGCAUAUUAUUUUAUGAUGCACCGGUAUCACCAAUGUCUCACCACUAUACACAUCGAAGAUCUAUUCUUUACUCGAGACCAAUAUUACAUAAUAGUAACCACUCAAAUGCAAGCAAAUGGAAUAAUAUUUUAUGAUGCGUGGUUACCACUAAUGAGACAACAUACAAAUGUACGCAUACGCAUGAUCAAGACUUAUUAAAGAAAGAUGAAUAAUGAUCGUUGUUUUAAAAUCAUUAGAACUACAAGUAGGAGGGUUUGUAUGUUCCAAUAGAAAUGCUUCAAGUGACCCUCAAUAAGUAGUUAGGGUGCAAAUGGCCUAAUAAGAUUGGCUACAAGAAAAUAUCUCUAGAGAGCUCCUUCUUGGCCGGGUAAAAGAUUGAGUCACGAGGGCAUCAAAUGACUAAGGUUAAAAGAGGUGAUGUAAGGUAUGACCUCAAAGUUAUAUUAGGCUCAAUGUCACUAAGAGAAUGUGGCUAAAGAUGAUUGGUGGAAAAACGGAGAGAGAAGGAGAACUACUUAUUGGCCAAUUAAAAAUGAAUAGAUAAGAGUUAGGCUUAUCAAGAGCAUUAAUUGGUUAAGGUAAAAAAAGAUGAUGUACUAAAUGAUAUGAAUACUAAGCUAGGUUCAAUGUCUUUAGGAACAUGUGGGUUAAUAUCAUUAGUAGAAAAUGAGGAGAGAUAUGUGCAAUUUAGAGAAUGGCUAACGGCUCAACUAUGGGCUUCUAAACUAGACAAGUUACCGAAAUGUUUAUUAAUUAAGUGCAUAAACAGGGAAACCAGUGUUUAGUCAAAACAUUAAUAAACCAGAAAAUAUUUUGAAUCCACUAAUAUUAUUAGUGAACAAUACGAAUGCUAAGAAAAUUUCAAUUCGAUAAAUUUAAAACUUGAAAAAUUGCCAAAUAUGUUACUUGGAGCAUAUCAAUUCCCGUUUACAAUAAUUUGGUGGUUAAUAAAUUACCAUCAUUUUAUAUUAUCAAGUACAUGUCGACAUCUAUCAAUUUACUUUUAAUAAAUCCACCUCCGAGCAAUUACGGUCUCGAAAAAAUCGUCCUAGUACCUUCCACACCCCACAAAAUUGAUGGCCUUCAUCCAUAUCCGAAAUUCUAGACUAAAUAAUACUUAACUUUUAUCCUAAAUUUUAUCAACAAAGAUGGAAAAUUCUAAAUGUCACAAUCGUCCUCGCCCAACCCUCACGAGGCCACCCUCAUUGGCCAAAAGCGAAGGACAGCCUCACUCAGGCAAGGGUCGUCCUCGCUAGCCAAACAUGAGGCCAAAUGCGAGGCCAACCUUUACCAAAUCUAGGCGAGGGUCACUAGGCCCUCGAUGGCUGUAAUAAUGAGAAAAAGACUAGAAAAAAUUAAUUAAAAAAACAAUAAAAAAAUUGUUAAAAUUGUCUAAGUUUGAACCGGCGGUGCUACAUGGGAUAGCCGUUUUUUGCUUCAAUGAUUUUUAGUUAAAAUUAACUGAUAAACUAUAUUGAUAAAUUAUCAAAAGUUUUAGGACUAAAUUGACCAAAUCAUGAGAUUUAGGACUAAACUAGUAUGAGUGCAAUAGGCUUAUGUUUUAUUUAUCUUUCAAAAUUAUUUGAUACUGUGUCUUGUGAGGCUUAACGGGACCUUACUUGUUUCACCUAAAAAGGUAGGUUUUUCCUCUUGUUUAACUCUGUGCUCAUGAACUGUGGUGUUAAGAAUUUUUGGGGUUUAUCUUAGCCCGCACAUGUCAUUUUCCUUCGCCUAAUAAAUUAAAUUGUUGUUUUUUAUUUCUGUUAUGGAGAAGCCUAUUUAAAAUCUAGGAUAACGCUCAAUUUAUCUCAUGAAUAUGGUAAGAUGCCAUCAAGAUCCAAAUGAACGAUCCAAACGCGACAUUAUUUGUAUUUGAUAACAUGGAAUAUUUGAUGACGUGGACUACGAAGAUAGCCUUCAUAUGGUAUUCAAUAGGGGAACACACAUCGGGGGCUCGCGAAGUGAUAAUGCUUGUGUUUAUGUAAAGAUUCUUCACGUAGGGGGGCAUUAUUUCCGAUGAUAAAGACAAGGUGUCUCCCUCUUUGGCCAGCCAAAAGUAGGUUUCAGUCGACCCAUACCAACGUUAAACUUCCAGGAAACCUCACUGAUGGGGACAACAUCAUAUCAUUCAUUGAAUGUUAUCCUCACUCGUCGUUAAUAAUGCAAGUAGUGGAAUACUGCUGCACGCACGAAGCGGCGUGAUUCGGUCGUGGGCACUGAAUAUGUGACAUGACAAGGGUAAAGAGACAGCUCGGUCUUGGUUGACGAUGACUUGGCCACUUUGGACCAACAUGCGCACCUACACUCCCCAGUGAGUGACCACAACGAUUUUAGAAAAAGAGCAGUUAAAUCUAAUUCGAUCUGAAAUAAAGUAGUGUUUAGAUUUAUUAUUAUCUUUAAUCGGAUUCCUUCUAUUUAUUUCGCGGCUUCUAGAUGAAUGUGUCGGAGCCGUUCAAAGUCAAAAAAUGGGAAAAUAUUAAGAUUCCCUGUCUCCAUGAAUUUUCUUGUAGGACCAUCUCAAGAGGGCUCAAUUCCAUCUGCAACUCUAUAUUUUUGAGCGAUUCUUAGAUUCCCUGGGCCAAGAAAACGAAAGAGAAAAUGAUCCUUUUGCAAAGACUUGGAAUUCACAACAUGAGCUGACCUCCUCUUGUUGUAAUCAAGUUCAAUAUGAUGGGAUCGAAGAAUCGGGCGAGGUCGACUGCUCGAACUUGAUUUCCAACAUAAUAUUCUCGGCAUAAUAAUGAGCUCGAGCUCGAUACGAUAUGGCAUAUUCUUUUCUUGCGUGUAGCUCCACUCAAUCAUGUAAGAGUGAAUUCUAAGCUAAUGUGAGACUCGGCUUUGGAUUACUUUUCUGUCGAACUUGUAGAAACCAUCUCGUGAAGACGUGUACCUUGUCGUAAUCCUUGCAUAAAAUAUCUUGCAUGCAUGUGUAUGGCCUUCAAGAUUUUUCCCCAUGGACGAUCUUGGACUUCAAAUUUUUUAUGUUGUGGCACGUUGGACAAUACUAUCUGUCAGAAGGUGAUUGAUUCCAUGUCAUCGCCCUCCAUACGCAAUGGAAAAAACAAGCAACAAAAGAGAAAAAAUCGCCUGUUCUUUUCCUUUCGUUCGGACUGUGAGACACAGACCCAAUCGGGUUUACACACGUGAUGACCCCUAAUCGGGCCAUUGCCUGCUCGGUGUCUUUCUUGACUUACUGUUGCUUCUACUUAAGUAUAAAGAUCCCCGUUCAUCUCCGCUCAGUUCACUCAGUACCAUCUCCGAACGCCCACACAGUUUGUGGAAACCACAGGGAGAGAGAGAGAGAGAGAGAAUGGCUGGUGCUAGAUUUCUGUGUUCCUUCCUCCUCGUCGUGACCGCUUGCUCCGCCGCAGCAGCUGGCUUCGAGGGCGCUGACCUUGAGUCCUCCAUCCUCCAAACCGUCGGCCACACCCGUCCCGCCCUCUCCUUCGUAGACUUCGCCCGCGGGUUAGAUAUCAACACCCCACUUAGAAAAGAAUAAUGCAAAAAAUAGAGUUGUGGAUGUUAGACAAUGAAGAGUACAUGAACCUAUAAAUUUUAUUAGAUGAUUGUCUAAGUUAAAAUAUCGGAUAUGUACAAUCAAUGACAUCAAUUUUAGUUUGGAGAAGAGAUCCAAAAAAUGCGAGAGUCUAUAAAGAGAAUAAGCCGAUGUCAGUGUGACCGUGCAAGCUAUUUGAUAGAAGGUUGUUGUCGCAAUAGGAGAGCGCUAUCAAGAAAAAGCCUAUUUUAUUAUUAAAAAACAAAAAAUGCAUGAUCCUAAUUACAUGCAUGACCUUAUUGAAAAUCAAGAAGUAUUCGUGUUGUCUCUAACACUCAUCUGGGUGUGUUCUUGAUUUGUAAAUUCGCCUUUGUUAUCUAUAAAAGAUUGUUAACCUUUUCGAUUGUUGUCGUUUAUCCGCGUUGUUGGUGUUUGGUUUAGGCACGGGAAGACUUACAAGACAGCGGAGGAGAUCAAGUUGAGGUUCGAUAAUUACAGGGAGAAUCUCAAGCUCAUUCGAUCCACCAACCAGAAGGGCUUGCCUUACACUCUCGCUGUUAAUCGUACGUGGCAGUUCUUGACAUUUUCUCCUUGUCUAUUUCUUGUUUUAGACCUGAAGAUCAAUUCGGUCAUAGUCGUUUCGACUUGUUUCGUAACCCGAAGCCCAAGAGAUGGUCUAUUUUAGCUGUUGCUGCUGUCGUCGUUGAGUUUGAUUUGUGCUUGAUGGGUGGACAGAGUAUGCUGACUGGAGCUGGGAGGAGUUCAAGACGCACAGACUGGGAGCUUCUCAAGACUGCUCUGCCACCACCAAGGGCAGCCACAAGCUCACCGACGAUGUUCUUCCCGAAACGGUAUUUUUCACGGCGAUGCCUCAAUCGGAAGCUUUCCGCUCGUAUCAUCCUUCGUUCAAUGAGAUAAAACUACUUUGAUUUAGACUAGCAGCUGUACUGCUUUUAGCUGUGUGGUGUCUUCUGUAUCGACUGGCAAUUUUCUCUGCCAAAUUACAGCAAAAUAGUUACUCAGCUGCCACUAGGUGCCUCGCGUCGGCAUCAUAUUUUCGGGUGCGUGUUUUACGAAAAACUCAAUAAUAUAAAAAAUUGCUUUCUGGUAAAAUAUUUUCUAGGAAUACAAUUAAUUUUUCUUUAUUUAGUGAUAUAUAAUCAAGAAUGUUUUCUAUUGUUUGGAUAUUACUAGAAAAGAAAAUGAUUUCACAACUUUAUUUCAUGCCAAAAAAAAAUUGAACUUAUAAAUUUUUAAAAUUCGAAUUUUUAAUCAUUUUAUUUCUCUCUUUUUUAUUUUUCUUUUUUAAAAUUGGAAUUUAUAAUAUUCUUUUUUCUCAUUUAUUUUUCUUUUCUUUCCUUCUCUUUUUCGCCCUUCCUCCACCACUACCGGCCGACAACGGCCAUAGCUCCGCCUCGCCGGGAGCUUGCAAGCCGCGGGUUUGUCAAUCUCGACAAAGCGCAGCUUGCCCAACCUUGGUGAACUCGGGCUCGCCUAGUUUGACUAAGCUGCAAGCACAUCAACUUGCAUAGAGCUUAGGUUGGCGAGCUUAGGCUCACCAAGAUUGGCCAAGCCGCGAGUUCACCGGCUUUGACGAAGCUCGAGCUCACCUAGAUCAGCCGAGCCUUGAGCUCGCCAACCUUAGCCAAGCUCGGGCUCACUUGGUUCGACUGAGCCGUGAGCUAGCCGGUCUUGGCCAAGCUCGGGCUCACUUGGAUCGGUCGAGCCUCGAGCUCACUAGCCUGUGUCUUGGCGAGUUGCCGACGAUGGAGGAAGAAAAAGAGAAAAGAAGAAAAAAGAAAAAGAAAAUAAAUGGUAAUAAAAAUCAAAUAUUUUAAAAUUAGAUUUUUAAAAAAAUAUAUUUUUAAUAAAAAUAAAAUUUUCAUUACCAAGGGCUCUAAGAUUAGGAAAACAUUUUGGAAAACGUUUUCCGGUUCUUUCAAAGGGAAAAUCGUUUUCUUGAAUUUAAAUUUUGGUAGGAAAACAUCUUUCGUUGACUAAGAAAAUAUUUUCCGUUGGUUCAUUUUUCUAAGCGAAUCAAACCCCAAAAAAUGGGGUUUCGCAAAACAAACGCACUCUUCGUUUUCUUUGAAACAUUCCUAUAUAAUUGAGUUAUAAUGAAAAAAAUCCAUUAGCUCCAUCCAUGACGACUGAACUUUCUUGUCCUCGCUUUUACAAAUUGAAAGUGCUUGCUGAAACAACUUACUCUUUCUCUCCCCAUCUCAAGGUUUUGGCACUUUUCUUGAGAUCUAGGACUAGAUUGCUGAUUACUGUAGAAUCUACUAGCUGAUCAUUGAAGUGUGAGACCUAUGUCAAUAUUAGAUCUUUAUUUUCUUCCAAUCCAUCAUAUUUACAGAAAGACUGGAGAGAAAAGGGCAUUGUAAGCCCAGUUAAAGAUCAAGGCGGCUGUGGAUCUUGCUGGAGUUUCAGGUUUUUUUUUUCUUCUUCUUCUCCUUCUCUCCUCUUCGAUUUAUAUUUGUUACUCUCCCUAGUACGUGACAAACUUAUUAACUUGGCAACUCAUUGAGAUGCCAUGAUGCUGGAGUGCUAGUGACCUCUAAUUUGCACUUUUGUAGCGCAACUGGAGCUCUCGAGGCUGCUUAUCACCAAGCACACGGGAAAGGAAUCUCUCUGUCUGAGCAGCAGCUCGUGGACUGCGCUACGGCUUUCAACAACUUUGGAUGCGGUGGCGGGUUGCCGUCGCAAGCCUUCGAGUACAUCAAGUACAACGGUGGCCUUGAGACCGAGGAAGCUUAUCCUUACACUGCACGAAAUGGUACCUGCAAAUUCUCGGCUGGCAAGGUCGCUGUCAAAGUUGUCGACUCUGUCAACAUCUCUAUGGUAAGUUCAUGGGCAAUCUGUAGAGUUAGCCCAAAGAAAGGAGAAGUAAAGGAAAAAAAAGCUCCGGAAAUUUCAUAAAUAUAGCUUCAAAUUGCCUAUAUGUUUAUAUUUGCAAUGCAUGGUGGAUUCAGGGUGCUGAGGAUGAACUUAAGCAUGCAGUUGGCCUGGUCCGGCCAGUCAGUGUGGCAUUCCAGGUCACGGAUGGCUUCCAGCUCUACGAGUCGGGUGUGUUCACCAGCGAUGCAUGUGGUAGCACUUCCAUGGUGAGCAUUUCCAAAUAAAAUGAAAGGAACUGUAUCUCCAUCUCAAUCAUGUUUGAAGGAUGCCGAUGCGUAGGAUUCAUGAAGCUUUCUAAACAUACGUUGGAAUUAAUUAGGGAUUCCUAUAGGAUAAUUUCCAUUGUUAGAAAUAAUUUAAUAAUUUUGUCCAUAUCUCUUAAGAUGGCACAUUUAUUGCAUGAAUAUCGUAGGCAAAUGACACGUAUAUUGCACAUAUAUCUCCAUUUGAUUGUGUAUAUUUUGAUUAAGAUAAAGCCUAAAAAUAGGUUUUUGUAUUCUUCAUUAAUAUCCACAUCCAAAUAUGGGUUAAGAAUAGCACAACUACCAUAACUUUGGUACGGCCCUCACUUGAGCGCCACAAAUUUGAAAAAUUGAGUACUUGAAUGCCAUCACCGAUUUACCUCGUCAGAAAAUCCACUAGUCAUCUUGCAUGACUUCGCCAACACUAACAUGAACACUAAACAUCUGCUGGAGAUUAUUAGAGAUUUCUCUAGUAUAAUUUCCAUCGUUAGAGAAAUUUUAAUAAUUUUGUUGAUUAUUUAUAUCUCUCAAGAUAUUGCGCGAAUACUGCAGGCAAAUGACACAUAUAUUGCACGUCUAUCUCCCUUUGAUUGUGCAUAUUUUGAUUGAGAUAUUAUUUUAGAAUAGUUAUCGAAUAAAGCCUAUAAAUAAUUUGUUUCACUCUUCAUUAAUAUAUAUCAAAAUACACGCAAAUUCCACAUUUCUAUUUUCCAUAUUAUUAUUCUUAAUUACAUUGAUAACCGUGACAUUUAAUUUGAGCAUCUAUCUUGUCAGGAUCCGUAUAAUUUGAUUCCUUACUGCAAAUGAAGUUUUGCAUAAAAGACGAUACUCAUGCUCGUGCCUAAUGAAAACUGAAUGUAUUGUAUCAGGAUGUGAACCAUGCUGUUGUUGCUAUCGGUUAUGGAGUUGAGAACGGUGUUCCAUACUGGCUUAUCAAGAAUUCCUGGGGAGAGAGCUGGGGCGACAAAGGAUACUUCAAGAUGGAGAUGGGGAAGAACAUGUGUGGUAAGUUCCCUCUUUUGGUUUUGGUAGAACCACUAGAACAAAACGGUGCUAGGAUAACUAUGCUUUUGAAAUUCUCGCAGUUGCUUUAGUCCAUGUCCAUUCCUUCUAUGCUUGACUUUCUUCUAAGUUACUCCGUCCUCAUCUAUCUAUCGAUCUUAAAUUGCAGGUGUCGCUACUUGUGCAUCAUACCCUGUUGUGGCCUAGAUUGUUUUUAGAGAACCUAUGGACGCAUGCACCAAGUGAUUCGAGACAUAAUUGCUCCACCUCAAGGUUGAGUACUGUAAUGUAGCAUGGAAGGGUCUAUGCUUUAGCAUACAAAAAUAAUCUUCGGGACAAUUGUAAUUCCAUAUGGUUACUAUUAUGUCAACGAAGACCUUAUAAAUUCCAAUCUAUGUUUGCAUGGCAUGAAACCCUUUCGUUGCAAGAAUAACACAUUGCUGCAAAGGAAAAUAUGAUUCUUCCGCCAUUAAAACGGCAUGGAAUUGAAGGGGCAAAUUUCACUGAACGCUUUCGCUUAUUUACUUAGUAGAGAUUGAAUGCACAGUCUUACACACAUGCUAACACUCGCCAUGCGAUGUUUAGAUAGCCUAGGAGAGGUGAUACUAUCUUUGAUUGCACCAGAAGAGACAGUAGCCAACAUCUUUUAUUCGCAGGGCAAAUUACACAUGCAAAGAUACGCAAAAGUUCAUAGUUCAAUUAGCCGCCAUUCAUAUCCUCAUUCCUUAACAUGCUAAUUAGAACAUUGUAUUGUGCACAUGUUGCACAACAGUAAUUCUUUUUCUUUUUCUUUUUGGUCGUGUGUUACAGUAAUUGCUUGUCCUAUUGGUGCUUGAUGUUGGAGUAUAAUACACGGAAACAAUAGAAUUUUGCAAUUUUUGUCAACGCAAAAUCACCAAAAAAAUAAAAGAGAAAUAAUAAAGACACCAAAAAUUUACGUAGUUCGGUCUGAGUAUCGGUACUUACGUACACAAGGAGAGCCAGCAUCAAAUAAUCCACUAUAAUCGGAGAAUUAGAAUUGACAAUUACUUACACGCUCGAGUGUUUCCCACACCUAAAUUUAAUCCAAAACCCAAAAUGUUUAUAAAUAAACAACUUACUUAGAUAUAAACUCACUGCACAAAAUUACUACAUGUUCAAGUUCAAAGUAAAAUGCUCUACAUACGCUAAAACCAAGAACGCCAAUGUUCGUCUCUGCCUUGUGUACGUGCGGCUUGACGUUCAUCUUUAUUGUGCGAUGCUCUUAUGGACGCGUGACUCCUUAGACCGUGCGGCAUUCACUUUUCCACAUAAAAGAAACCCUAGCCUUUUCAUAUUAUGUGCCUAGAGUCAAAACUUUGACUCUGGGCCCCACUUGGGAUCCUUUCUUCAAAAUUCCUAUUUAGCUCCUACAGAUAAAGAAGAAACCAUUGCUCCUUUUUUUUUUGUUUUUUAUUCUAUUUUAUUUCCUCUUUUGUAAACUUUCAUGGAGUCCAAUGAAUCUCCUUCUGUUAACCAAAGACAUCUAAGACCCGAAAAGAAUUUCGAAUUUCUUUUCCUAUGUGUAAUCUUGAAUAUUAUCAGAAAAAAUCUUCAUGAACAACCAUGUAAAAAUUUUAUUCAAGCAGAUCGCAUUUCGCAAACGCUCAAACUCGAGACAUAAUUUAACAUUUCUCCACCUUGGCUCAAUGUUUGAAACUAAGUUAUAGUGCUCAUCAUACAUGCCACUCUCCCAAUACCCCGAUAGACACUCACUCUUCACAGACGUCAAUAAAGCUCAAGCAAAGCUUGAGCUUCGCCAAAGGAACAUACUUAGUCAUCAUGUUUGCCGAGUUAUCUACUGUAGCAAUCUUUUUAACAAUAAUAUUACCCUUAACUAAGACAUCUCGGAUGAGAUGAUACCUUAUGUUAAUAUGCUUCAUUCACUCGUAAUAAACUAGAUUAUAUGCCAAAUAUAUUGCACCUUAGUUAUCACAGUGUAUAUCCACACAUUUCUAUUCUAACCCAAAGUCUGAGAGCAAACUUUGUAACCAUAUCACCUAUUACGCUAUAAAGGUUAGUGUCAUGUACUCUACCUCAGUCGAAGACAAGGCAAUGUGAUUCUAUAAGGACGCUUUCCAACUAACUACACUACCUGCUAGCAUAAACACUGUCGCAACCAAAAAUUCAGGUGCACCACCUAGGGUUUAGGAUAAUGGACUACUAAGUCUUAAACUUAGCUCGGGCUCUCCCAAGCUCAUACCAAUUCGCGACUUUGGUUCAAGUUUUUAACAUGCAAAUGGAUUUUAUUUAGAAGUCGCCACUAAUCAAUUUAUGGUAUGCCAAUUAGACACCUAAGUAAAAUAAUAAAAGAAUUAUUUUACUCUUACGAACCAGAGAUUUUUAGUAAAGGGACUUGAUUACACUAGAUUUUUCUAAUACCCUUUCAGUACCAUUCUUUUUAUUUUUAAAAAACAUUUUUGCAGGCAGCUUAGAUUUGUUUUAACCUAAAUUACUAUCAUGCAAUAGGAUGAUCACACGGAUGCUCAACCAUUAUUUAACAUUGAACAAAAUAAAUUGCACCAAAGGAAUUCAACACACUAAAGCAAACAAUUUUUUGGGGUUUUCUUGAAACUAGAACUUUAUCAUAAAACAUGUAUUUAAAUUAUAUGACAUAAUUUCUUUACCAAAAAAAAAAACUAUAUAACAUAAUUUUACUAACAAGCUAAUACUAAUUAAAUGAACCUAACAUGCAAACUAAUUGACAUGCACCUAAUAUUUUUGUAUCUUUCUUUAUUAAAAUUCGGAAUUAAUAAAAACCCUAAUUAAACUAUCUAAAAUGAAUAAUUUUCUAAUAUGUUUUAGGGGUUAACUUGAUUUAAACCCUAUCCUAUCUUAGAAAACUAUUUUUUUUUAAAGAAAAAUGAGAUUAUCUAAAUGUGCAAACAUUAUUUAAGAGUCUAUCUAUAAAAAAGUUCAAUCUUAAUCCAUUCCAAAAAUUAUCUAAAGGUGCAAUCCUAAAAAUGCAAUCCUAAUUUACUAAACCAACAACUCCAAUGCAAGAUUUGAUUUUUUUUUUUUUACAUUAUUUUAGUGUUUUUCUAAGACAAGCAAUUAUCGGAUAAACAUUACAUCUAAACAAUCGAGAUAUUCAACAAAUGAAUUAUUAAACUAAUCGGAAAAAAAAUAACCUGUAGUCUCACAGGUCAAAUUAACGAUUACUCUAACCCUAAACAUCACGACAAAAAGUUCAAAAUAAUUAAAAAUCUUAUUUGAAGUCUUACGGAUCAAAUUAAUAAUUAUAAUGAUUUAACAAUUAAAAUACUAUCAAAAUGCCCAAAAAAUUAAUAUAAUUAAGAAAUGAUCCAACGUCUUACGGAUCAAAUUAAUAAUUACAAUAAUUUUGGGCAAAACCCUGCGGAUAAUGCCUACAAUAUUUGUAAAAUGAACAUCAUUAUCCAAUGUUCUAAUUUAAAUAACUAAACUUAAAAUAACAAAAAAUAACAUAAAAUUAAUAAAAUUAAAUUUAAAAAUAAACUACCUAAGGGGGACUCAACACAACAAGAGAAGGUGCGAUGCGUUGACUAGUGGGCGGACCAGCAGCAUCAAUGGGAGAACAGGUCGCGGGCGUAGGCAUGGGAUGGUGGAGCUGUAGAUGUUGGUUGGGCAUCACUCGGACAGAGGGUAGCACAACCAGGGGCUGUUGGGCAUCAGAGGGCAGCACGACGACCUGCAAAAGGAAUAGAGAACAGAAGUGGUAGCGGAGGAGUCGAACGUGGGCUGCUUGGAGGCGCUUGCGCUGUGACCAGCAGCGACAAACGGCAAAGGAGGCGUUAAUGGCUGACGACCAGAGAAGAGCGACGCUAGGGCAGCAAGCAGAGAGAGUGUUGGGCGCUGGUGCAGUGGCGAGUGACACUCGGGUGGCAACGUCAGUGGCUAGCUAUGAGCAUCGGGCACCAGGCGUGACAACAAUGGUGCGCGGUGUAGAGGUGCUGCAAGGUCAACGGGUGGACACACAAGCAGAGGGAGGCACGGUGAUGGACAGCGGCGCAGCAACGGGCGAGCAUCGGAUGGAGCAGGGACAGUGGCGUGGCGUCAGACGAAGGUAGAGGCGCGGUCGUUGAAGCUCUGGCAUUCGGCGCUACCGAUGCAGAAACAAAGACGUGGAGGUUGCUGGGUUGCGGGCGAAGGUCACUAGUGAAGGGACUCGAAACGGCGGUGACUAGCGGCCUGACAAUUGGUUUGGAUUUGCUGGUGUCGGGCACAAGGAAGCACAAGUUGCUGGCAUUGGCAACAGUGGUGGCACAGCGGCGACAGGAGCUAUGCAGGCGCGCAGAGGUGCAGCCGCGAGUGCAAGUGUUGGGGGUGGUGGUGCAAAGGCACGGCGAUCAAUGGCAACGAACGAGUGAGCUGCUACGGGGUCAGUGCUCGUGGGUCGCAGACGGAGGUGAGGCUAAGGUGUUGCUGGUGCGGUGGCUGGCGCAAGUGGCAAAGACACCCACGCAAGGAAGACAAAUUGUUUGUUGCUUUUUCUCUUUUUUUUUUUUCUCACCUGUCACAAGUCCCUCUCUGUCUCCUCUCUGUUGUUGACUUUUCCCUUUUCUUGAUAGAGAAAGAAAAGAGAAAUGGUUUUCUCUUUGACCAAGACGGACAAAGGCUUUUUCUUGCACGAAUUUUGUCUCGAAAAUUUUUUUGGUUCCGAAUUCACUCACCUAGUCACGAAAAAAGUGGCUCUCUUUUAUAAUGAUUCCAAACAGCCACUUUCCAUGGCAACAUUCGAGUUUCCAUCUUCCGUUGCAUUAAUUCAUGGCUACAAAUCGGAACAUGAUUUCGCGAUCAACUCAAUCUUGCUUCAAUUCCUUCCAUUUUAUAAAAAUUCUUUCUCUUUACUCACCCGAUUUCCUUAUUGCUUCCGCAUUUAUCAAAAUCUGAAUAUUCAUGUGUUGUGCUACCGCUUAUCAAGCUAGUCAAGGAUAAAGUGCUCACUUUUAAGAAUGUCCCUGCUACCUCGAGGAACAAAAGACUUCAAAGAGGUUGGGGCUUUGACCCCUCGGUCUUCAUCCAGUAGCCUUAGUUUCCGCAAGCUUCUUGGGUUGUGCUACCACUUCCUCACCUCCUUUGGCUCUCCGUUCUUUGACCCUUCUUUUUUAUUGUGUGUCGAGGUUCAGUGGAGCCGUUUUGUGUUCAGUGCCUCUGCGUAGGCUGGUUUCCUUUGGUCUUUCUUGCCCUUACUACUUUGUGUCGGCUCCCUUCCGCUCUUUCUGUCUUACAGUUAGAGUGUAAGUUUUUGGUGCCAUCUUUGUGUAUUUUUUGUCCAAAGCUCAAUAUAUAUUCUUACCUUUUACCAACAAAAAAAAAAUCUGAAUAUUCAUCAGAAUUUCCAACUUCCAUGCAUAAUCAAUCAAAUUAAUUAUUUAUUUAUUUAUUUGCUCUGAUGCAAUUUUUAUUAUUCUUAUUUUUUUAUUAUAUUUUUUAGGGGUUAAAAUUAAUCUCUAAUUUUUAUGCAAUAAAUCAAUGACUGGGUCAUCAAAAUUUAGGUGUCAACAGAUACCCCUCUUUGAAUGUGAGCUUGUAGAGGUUGCUUUCAAAGAUAAAUUGAGACCUAAAUUUUGAUCAAGCACAUGCACUGAAUGACCUUCAAAUUUUUUUUUUUUGUUGGAAAAUGAAUUCCUCUCUUUUCUAUUUCUCUUUUUUUUUUUUAAGACAAUUUAUGUGAUGCAUGGAAAUAUCAAUAAAAACGGUAAAAGGAACCUACCUAGAAUAACUUACCUUUAAGGAGGGUAGAGUAAUUCAAGAUAGUGGAUGUUACAUGUCCAAGACCCGUACCUUUCUAUGGUCACCCAGAAUAAUAAUGAGGCUUUGUAAGGAGACUGCUUUCCUAGGAUCCGUACCUUUCUACGGUUGCCCAGUAUGACAGUUUUUUAGUUGUCUAGGACCCGAAUCUUUCUUCAGUCACCUUGACGAAAAAAAAAUGGUUUUUCAAGACCUGUACCUUUCUACGAUUGCCUGAAUGGGAAAUAGAUAUUUUCUAGGACCCGUACCAUUCUACAGUCACCUAAACAGGAAACAACUUUCCAAGACCCGUACAUUUCUACAGUUGCUUGAAUCAGACUAAAUCCGGGGAAAAAUCUUUGGGGAACAGCUCAAUCGAGUCAAGUGUCGAUACUUGAAAAGGAAUUCAUGUGCAAUGACAAGUAUUUAAGGUAUGGAUAGAGGUAUACUUACAUGGUGACAUCUAUGAUCCUUAGGAAUAUGUCUCUUGUAAAGCCAAAUUAAUGAGGUAACUAUAGGCUAUGAAAGCACACCAUGUCGAUGAAGGGGAACUUUGAGCUACAGAAGCACGCCGAUUUAAUAGAGAGACUUUGGGCUACAGAAGCAUGUCGGGUCAUAUCAAAGGACACCGGGCUAUGGAAGCAUGCCGAGUCGAUGAAAGGGACUCUGGGCUAUGAAAGCACGCUAGGUCAAUAUAAAGGACACCGGGCUAUGAAAGCACGUCGGGUCGAUGAAAGGGACUCUAAGCUACGAAAGCAUGCCAAGUCAAUAUAAAGGACACCGGGUUACGGAAGCACACCGGGUCGAUGAAAGGGACUCUGGGCUACGAAAGCAAGCCAGGUCAAUCUAAAAGACGCCGGAUUACGGAAGCAUGAUGGGUCGAUGAAAGGGACUCUAGGCUACAAAAGCACGCCAAGUCAAUAUAAAGGACACCAGGCUAUGGAAGCACACCCGAUCAAUGAAAAGGACUUUAGGCUAUGAAAGCACGCUAGGUCAAUUUAAAGGACACCGAGUUAUGGAAGCACGCCAAGUUGAUGAAAGGGACUCUGAGCUACAAAAGCAUGCUAGGUCAAUUUAAAGGACACCGGGCUACGAAAGCACGCUGGGUCGAUGAAAGGAACUCUGGGCUACGAAAGCUCGCCAAGUUAAUAUAAAGAACACUGGGCUACAGAAGCACACCAGGUCGAUGAAAAGGACUCUGGGCUACGAAAGUCCGCCAGGUCAAUAUAAAGGACGCCGGGCUACGAAAGCACACUGGGUCAAUGAAAUGGACUUUGGGCUACAAAAGUAUGCCAGGUCAAUUUAAAGGACACCGGGCUACGGAAGCACGCCAAGUCAGCACCGGGUUACGAAAGCACGCCGAGUCAAUUUAAAAGACACCAUGCUAUGGAAGCACGCUGGUUUGAUAGGGGGACUUUAGGCUACGAAAGCACACCAGGUUAAUUUAAAGAACACCGAGCUACAGAAGCACGCUAGGUUGAUGAAAGGGACUCUGGGCGACAAAAGCACGCCAGGUCAAUUUAAAGAACACCGGGCUACGGAAGCAUGCCGGGUCGAUGAAAGGGACUCUAGGCUAUAAAAGCAUGCCAAGUCAAUUUAAAAGACACUGGGCUACAAAAGUACGCCGGUUUGAUAGGGGGACUCUGGGCUACAAAAGUACGGCAAGUCAAUUCAAAGAGCACUGGGCUACGAAAGCACACCAGGUCGAUGAAAUGGACUAUGGGCUACGAAAGCACGCUAAGUCAAUUUAGAGGACAUCGGGCUACGGAAGCACGCCGGGUCGAUGAAAUGGACUCUGGGCUACGAAAGCACGGUAGGUUAAUUUAAAAGUCACCGGGCUACGGAAGCGCGCCGAUUUGAUAAGGGGACUCUGGGCUAUGAAAGCACGCCAGGUCAAUUUAAAGAACACCGGGCUACGGAAACUCGCCGAGUCGAUGAACGCUAGGCUACAAAAGCACGCCGGGCCAAUAUAAACGGAUAGCUUGACCAAGUCAAGUGUCGAGAAUACCCGCACAUUGACAAGUAUUUAGAAUAUAGGUAGAGAUAUACUUACCUAGUGAUAUCUCUGAUUAUUAGAGAUAUGUCUUCUAGAACUUAGAUAUCCUAUGGAGGUCUCUCACCUCCUCGUAGAAACAAAUUUUGGAACAUCAAGGAUGCACCUUGAAUGUUCAUGAUGGUUUCUCAUCUCCUAAUAUCAUGAGGCAUUUUAAAAGGAACUUGAAUGUUGAGAGCUCUCGGGUUUUUGAGGAAACAUUACCUGUCAGACAUGAUUUAGAGCAAAAAUGCAUUUGCUAAAGAAAUAAGCAAUUAAGGCUAUUUAGGAAUGCACACUUCAAAAUCCACUGAAGUUUUUAUUAAUUCCAUCAAGGUUCAUACAUAAUGACCUUUGCAUCACCCAAAUUUCCAUUAGAGAGAAUUAUCAUUUAAGACAACUUUCACUCAUAACACGUAUUUUCUAAGAAUACUAAAUAAUAGACCUUCAGUUAGAAAUGACUUUCACUCACUCUCAUUCAGAAAGGCAAUUUUAGGAGAAUCACUCAAUUUCACCAUAUCGACUAAGGUCCGAGUAUUCUCGCAAGCGGUACGACCUUAUCAAUAUGAGGGGUCUUUAAUAAGGACCAUAAUGAGGGCUUGGUCAAUGGCUUGAAAAUGGACUCUUUAAGCCAAGGCUAUUGAAAGAACAGCUUCACAAUUAUCUUCGGGUUUACAAGUCAAGAACCCUGCAAAAUAAGAAAGGAAUAAUCUUGCUCGCACUUCUUCGAGCGAUGCUUAUAAACAUAUGAACUCCCAUGUUAAUUCAAGUGCCCUAAUUUGAAGAGACUUUGUAAGGGACGUAACAUAGGCUGGGUUCAUGGGUUGAGAAACAAAAGGAUCAUUAAGCUCAAAAAUGUGUAGAGCAUGAGAGUUGAUGAUCAUCUAGGCAUUGUCGCCGGUCUUCUCUUUCACCAAGGAUUGUCAUUAUAAAUGCACUAUUGAUCUCAACUCUUUGAGUACUGCUCCAUUGGGAUACAAUUUUUGCAAUUGAUAGUCAUUUAUUUGACAUUUCUAUGAGCAUUGGCCUUACUUUUACCAGGCACACUAUUUUUUCAUGCCCCUAAGUUCUAUUUUGAUUUCAAUUCUUGCGCACAAUGCAUGUGUCAAGUAAUUACACUUUGAAUGACACUCGAACUUUUCAAGAGUCUUCACCUACCUUUUGCCUUGCCUCAAUGUGGGGGAUGAUCAUCAACUGGGUUUGAAGAAAUGAAAUUGUAGGCUCAAGUGGGCUAUGCAAAGGAUAUAAGUAUUUGAUAAAAAAGAAAAAAAAAGAAAUGCUCUUUGUCAUCCUAAGGCACUUAUAUUAUCACGUGAAUUCAAUGUAAUAGCACGACUUAAAGAUUGAUGCAAGUGAGAGCAAGAAAAUUUCUUUCCAUUUUCUCCACCUUAUGGUGUUGUUUUACCUCCAAUUUGCCCCGAUGUGGGGUGGUUCUUGACAAGGGUAAUUUUAAAAAUUUCCACAAGUGUAUAGGGUUAAGCAAUGGAUCACCUGUAGUGUUUGGGAUAGAGAAAUAAAUUGCCCCUCAUCAUUUUAAUUGGUGUACCCUUUGCGAGAGAACUCUUUACCUUGCAGAUAUGAACCUUCCUACACUCACCUCACAAGUGUAUGAGUAGGGGACUGUGUAUAGGAUAGGGUUCGCCUUUUAUCAUCCCGACUUGUCUCAUUUAGCAUGCUUAAUCCAUUCCACAUCAUUCAUUAAAUUGGCUUGUGUUGACAAUCUUCACUGGAAUCAGUGAAUUAAGCAAGUAAAAUUGUCAUGCAGAAAUUUUCUUUUGAAAGAUUUCAAGCAUUUUAUGAACUGUCAAGAAUGUCAUUCAGCAUGAAUAGUCCUAUUAAGAUAUGUUAGAAUAUCGAGUGCCGAGAGACAUUUGUAGAGAUGGUUGUCCAUGAAUUGCCCCUUAUUUGAACAGGAUUGGACACAUAAAUUAAUCAACUAAUAUUGGAACUACGAUCUUUGAUUUGAAGAACAUUCCAGUUCUGCUUUUGCCCUUGCACAAGAGAACGUGCAUGAAUAAGAUACUAAGCAACAUCAAAACAACCUCAAAUUGCACAUCUAUUUUGGCUCAAAUUGAGAUUUUGUCUCAGUCAUGUCACUAUCAAAAUCUGUCAUGCCCCAAUCUGUCAUAUUAACUCUUUUAGAAAUGUGUUCUUAGCAGUUGGGCCAAUUGCAACCUGUUAUGCCUUUUUCAAAUGCUUUCUCAUCAGACCAAGAAAGUAAUGCUCUGAAACAUGAAGUAAAUAAGUCAGAAAAUUAAACAAAGCUAACCUAUGUAUGCUUUUGGAAAUGGCUUCAAAAAUGAUGAUUCUUUUUAUUCCUUUUUAUUUUUUUUACGAGGAAACAUGAAGAAGCCCAGUCCUCAGGAUUUCUCCGUAGAUGAUAUUUUCUUUUCAUGAUUGAAUAUCAUCAUUGGACUGGUUUGGCAUACCCCAUCAUGUCCUCAAAACAAAACUUGUAAUUUUAUUGAUGUUCAUCAAUCGAAUUACAUUUAUUAAAUGGUAAAUGCAAUGCUCAAUCCCUAAACGGAAAACGAAAACAUUUCCUAUAGAGUAAUAAAAAUUCCCACACAGGAGAAUGUGCAAAAGUAAUAAAUGAGUCACUCUCGUGGGCAAAGGCCCAUUUCUUAUGAUGGUCAUUUGUCAAUGACACCUAUAAGGAGGUCAUCGAACAAGCUCGUGAUUCCUUCUAGUGCAUCAUCAGGGUUCUCUAUCUUUGGAGGUGCCGCAUCGUCCAUGCCGCCCCAUCCAUCUGGGACUAUGUCACGAGGGUCAAUGUAAAAGUUGGGAGGAGCUGAAUACUUCACAUAAUAAUCAAAUAUGCCACUUGGCUGCCCUAGGGUGUCCAUCACUUCCACUUCAUUUUGCAUUAUUCUAGGAAGGCCAGGAAAUAUCUUGUGAAUGUUGGGGGGCAACGAGUUUUGCCUCCCUCGCCCUUACUUAGGUGGCAAGUUUCGCAUUUCUUGUCUCUGCCCUCCAGAAUUUUCUUCACCUCUUCCAUGGUGCCCUAAUCCAGCAUAAAAGGACCUCCAAGAGGCUUCAAUGGGGUUUCGAAUGCCUUGACCCCUUCUUCCAAGACCAUAUGGCAUCAUCUUAAACCUCAAAAGUGGAAAUGAACAAUACAACGAUUUUCCCUAUCACAUAUAAAACAAGACUAAGACAAAACCUUGUCAUGGACCGAUGAAAAUUACUAUGAAGUAAAUUGCGAAGUGAAAAUUUAGACAACUUACUUUUACCGAAAAGGGAUGACAAUCACAAAGACACACGCAUGAAGUGUGAGGCUCAAUUUCUAUCUAGGCGGCUUAACAGAGUAGAGCUAAGAGGAUGAUCUGACCGUUGCAGUCUCCAUUAACGUGUCAAGUCCUCCUAACUCCGGCUCAGUUGAAUGGAAUGUCCAAUAAUCACACAGUCUCACGGAUAUGGACAAACACAUCCGACACUAUGAAAAAAUUUAGGGGAAGAGAAGGUCAACCUCUACAUAGCAAUCUCGUUUUAGAGGAAGUAUCAUUCUCAACACCAUCCUAAGAAUCCUGUCGCAGCCCAGGUUUGGCAGCAGGUUGUGUGUGCAAUAGUAUAGUGCUAAAAGCAAUAAAGCAUGCACAACAGUUUAAAUGCAAACAAUACUUCUAACCAAGGAAAAAUAAAUCAUUCAUCCCAACACCUCCCUGCAAGACAAGAAUUAGUAAAGACUACUCCCGUUAUACCUUCCAUCUGCGAGAACAUUUAACACCUUAAAAAUGUUAGGGACGUACCUGGUGUCCUCGCUACCAAAUAAAAGCAAUUUUAAAAAGAAAAGAAAAAUUGGACUAAGUCCACUGAGUGUUUUAACACAAGUCCCCAAUGGAGUCGCCAAGCUAUUGCAACAAAAAAUUCAAGUGCACCACCUAGGGUUUAAGCUAAUGGACUACUAAGUCUUAAACUUAGCUCGGGCUCUCCCAUGCCCAUACCAAUUCGCGACUUAGGUUCAAGUUUUUAACAUGCAAAUGGAUUUUAUCUAGAGUCGCCACUAUCAAUUUAUGGUAGGUCGAUUAGACACUUAAGUAAAUUAAUGGGAUAAUUAUAUUACUCCUACGAACCAAAGAUUUUGGGUACGGGGACUUGAUUACACUAGAUUUCUCUAAUGCCAUUUCGGUACCAUUCUUUUUAUUUUCAAAAAAUGUUUUUACAGGCAGCUUAGAUUUGUUGUAACCUAAAUCACUAUCAUGUAAUGGGGUAAUCACACGGAUGCUCAACCAUUAUUAAAUAUUGAAUAAAAUAAGUUGUACCAAAGGAAUCAACACACUAAAGCAAACAUUUUUUUGGGGUUUUCUUGAAACUAGAACUUUAUCAUAAAACAUGUAUUUAAACUAUAUGACCAAAUUUUACUAAUGAGCUAUUUCUAAACAAUCAAGAUAUUCAACAAAUAAAUUAUUAAAAUAAUCGAAAAAAUAACCUGUAGUCUCGCAGGUCAAAUUAACGAUUACUCUAACCCUAAACAUCACGAUAAAAAGUUCAAAAUAAUAAAAAUCUGAUCCAACAUCAAUGAGAAAACAGGUCACGGGUGGAGGCAUGGGACGGCGGAGCUACAGAUGUUGGCUAGGCAUCACUCGGACAAAAGGCAGUGCGACCGGGGGUUGUUGGGCGUCAGAGGGCAGCACGGGGACCUACAAAGGGAACAUAGAACAGAAGCAGCGGUGAAGGAAUUGGGUGCGGGCUGCUUGGAGGCACUCGCACUGCGACCAACAAUGACGAACGACAAAGGAGGCGUCGACAGCUGACGACUAGAGAAGAGUGGCGCUCGGGCAAUAGGAGAAGAGGGCUUCGAGCGCUGGUGCAAUGGCGAGUGACACUCAAGCGACAGUGUCAGUGGCCAGCUGCGGGCGUCAAGCUCCAAGCCUGGUAGUAGUGGUGGUGCGGUGCAAAGGUGCUGCAAGGUCGACGAGCGGACACGCAAGCAGAGGGAAGCAUAGCGACGGAAAGUUGUGCGGUAGCGGGCGAGCGUCGAAUGGAGCAGGGACAUUGGUGCGGCAUCAGACGGAGGCAAAGGCGCGGUCAUUAGAGCUCUAGCAUUCGACGCUGCUAGUUCGGGCACAGAGACGCGGAGAUCGCUGGGUUGGGGGUGGAGGUCACUGGCAAGAGGACUUGAAACUGCGAUGACUGGCGGCCCGGCAAUUGGCUCGAAUCUACUAGCAUUGGGCACGGGGAAGCGACGACAGGAGCUGUGAUGAGCGCGCAAAGGCGCAGCCGCGAGCGCAAAUGUCAGGGGUGGUGGUGCGGAGGCACGACGAUCAAUGUCAACGAAUGGGUGAGCUGAUGUGGCGUUGGUGAUCGUGGGUCGCAGACAAAGGUGAGGCUAAGGCGUUGUUGGUGCGAUGGCCGACACGAGAGGUGAAGACGCCCGCGCGAGGAAGAUGAACUAUUUGCUGUUUUUUCUCUUUUUCUCACCUGUCGCAUGUCCCUCUCUGUCUCUUCUCUUUGAUGCUCACUUUUCCCUUUUCUUGUCAAAGAAAGAAAAGAGAAAUAAUUUUCUCUUUGACCCAGACGGAAGAAGGCUUUUUCUUGCAUGAAUUUCCUCUUGAAAAAAUUUUUGGUUCAGAAUUCACUCCCUCGAUCACGAAAAACAUGGCUCUCUUUUAUAGUGAUUCCAAAUGGCCGCUUUCCAUGGCAACUUUCGAGUUUCCAUCUUCCGUUGCAUUAAUUCAUGGCUACAAUCGGAGUGUUAUUUCACAAUCAGCUCAAUCUUGCUUCGAUUCCUUCCAUUUUAUAGAAAUUAUUGCUCUUUACUCACCCGGUUUCCUGAUUGCUUCUGCAUUUAUCAAAAUCUGAAUAUUCAUCAGAAUUUUCAACUUCUAUGCAUAAUCAAUCAGAUUGAUUUUUUUUAUUUGCUCUGAUGCAAUUUUUAUUUUUUUAUUUUUUAUUAUAUUUUUUGAGGGGUUAAAAUUAAUCCCUAAUUUUUAUGCAAUAAAUCAAUAAUUGGAUCAUCAAAAUUUAGGUGUCAACAAACAUGUAUCUUGGUAAAGAUCUGUGAUCAUCCAAGUCACUAGCGUGAUCCGAAUCCACAAAACCAAUGGUCUUACUACCACUGUUGUCCCUCUGGUACAUUAUACCCAUGUCAGUCGUUCCCUUCAAAUAUCUAGGGAUUUACUUCACAGCUUCCCAAUGAGCUUUACCAGGACACUUCAUAUAGCAACUAAUCACGCUUAUAGCUUGUGAGGCCUAAUGCAUAUCAUAACAUACAUAAUACUACCCACGGCACUAGAAUAAGGAACAUGGGACAUAUGCUCCUCCUCCUCCUUAGUCUACGGUGAUAAUUUAUCUAAAAUUUUAAAAUGCUUCACUAAAGGUGUACUUAAAGAUUUUGCCGACUACAUAUUAAAACGUGCCACGAUCUUUUCAAUAUAUUUAUUUUGAGAUAGACCAAAAACUCCUCCAACCCUGUCACGCAAAAUCUCCAUACCAAAUAUUUUCUUUGCAGCACCUAAAUCUUUCAUCUCAAAUUGAGCGUUUAACCGCCUCUUCAGCACAUCAAUAUUAGACAUAUUCUUAACUGCUAUCAGCAUAUCAUCAACAUAUAAGAGUAGAUAAAUCAAAUAACCAUUCUCCAAUCUCCUAAAGUAGACACAGCUAUCCAUCUAACUUUUUUAAUAGUCUUGACUAGCUAUGAAAGUAUUAAAACACUUAUACCACUGCCUAGGAGACUGUUUUAGCCCAUACAAAGAUUUCUUCAACAAGCAAACAUGAUCUUCUUUACCCAGAAUAACAAAUCCCUCUGGCUACCUCAUAUAAAUUUGCUCCUCCAACUUACCGCGAAGAAAUACAGUUUUCACAUCUAACUGCUCUAACUCGAGAUCCUGCGAAGCAACUAAGGCAAGUAAAAAACGAAUAGAAACAUGUCUUACCAUAGGAGAGAACAUCUCAUUGUAGUUAAUGUCCUCACGCUGUGUAUACCCCUUCACCACAAGUCUCACCUUAUACCUCGCUAUCUCAACACUAAGAAUGCCCUCUUUCCGUUUAAAAACCCAUUUACUUCUGACAAUCUUUUGGCUCUUGGGUACUUUGACAAGCUCUCAUGUCUGAUUUCGAUAGAGUGAUUCCAUCUCUUCACUCAUAGCCCUUAGCCAAUGACUCAGAAUUAGCCAUCGCCUCAAAGUAAGACAAAGGCUUAUCUGUCUCCACCUCGUCACCUACAAUCAAUACAUAAGCAAUAUAUGUAUAACCAUAACGUACCGGUGAAUUAAUUUGCUUUCUCUAUCUAUCUGCGGCUAUAGUGUGCUGCGAUUGUGCUGAUUGUCCACUAUCACAAACUUCAGGAACUGCAGCCUCAUUUGCAGUCUCAACUACUGUUACCUUCGAGGUCUCCGGAGUCUCCACCUGAAGCUCCACCUCACUAAUGACACCGUGAUAUGUUUGCUCUACUGGUUGUGUCUCAAAACUCCUCUGUUGAAGCAUUGCAAUCUUGUUAAAGAUCACAUCUCUGUUGAUUAGAAAAUCGAGUGAUCUGGGAUCAGUGCACCAUAGUCAGUAGCCUUUCUCAAGACAUACACAAGACAUAUGAAUAUACGUAAUCUGGAGUAAUUAAUAGGUUUCCUCGACCAUACUUCCUCAGGAGUCUUCCACUCGAUAGCAAAUGAUGAAGAUCGAUUACCCAAGUAACAUGCCAUGUUCACUACUUCUGCCCAAAAUUCCUUACCAAGUCCUGCAUGUGAAAGUAUGCAUCGAGCUCGCUCAAGUAGAGUUUUAUUCUUCCGUUCUGCCAUGCCAUUCUACUGUGGUAUCCCAGGUACUAUGCGGUGUCUCACAAUAUCUUCUUUCUCACAAAACCCUGUAAAAUCUUUACCACAAAACUCCAUGCCAUUAUCGAUUCUUAGGCACUUGUUUGUUUAUUUGAUUGCUUCUCAAUCAAUGCCUUAAAUUUCUUGAACCGAUCAAACACAUCAUAUUUGUGCUUCAAAAAGUAUACACAUACCUUCCUCGAAUAGUUGUCAAUAAAUUUUAGCAUAUAUCGUGCAACUCCUUUCGAAGGAACCGAAGACGGGCCCUAGACAUCUAAAUGAAUAUAUUCAACCGGUCGUUUGAUCAAAUGAAUAGCUACAAUAAACUUAACUCGGUGCUGCUUCCCAAAGAUGCAAUGCUCACAUAAGUCCAACUUCCCUGUCUUCUUACCCUUCAACUAAUCCCUUUCACUCAACUUCGUCAUACUUGCCUCACUCAUAUGCCCUAAACACAUAUGUCAUAACUGAGUCAAGUUAGAGUUUGACUUAUCUGAUGAAACUGCAACAAUUCCGAUCACGAUCUCUCCUAAUAGAUGAUAGAGAGUAUUCGUUGUCUUCCUCUUCAUCACUGUCAUGGCACCUCAAGAGAUCUUCAAUACUUCACCUUCAGCGAUGUACUUACACCCGAUGUCAUUGAGCGUCUCUAUAGAAAUAAGGUUCUUUUUUAGCUCUGGUACAUGCCUCAAAUUUGUUAAUGUGCGCACCACCCCCAUCGUGCAUCCGAAUCCGAAUUAUCCCUAUCCCCACAGCCUUACAAACUGCGUUAUUCCCCAAAAGAACUCUACCACCAUUUGUAGUCUGGUUAGUAGUAAACAAUUUCUUAUGAUGCGUCAUAUGAUAAAAACACCCCGAAUAUAGCACUCAUUCGUCUCUUGACGAAGUAGUAGUCACACAUAAAACAGCUUCUGCAUCAUUAGUGCUUCCUUCGGCAACGUUUGCCACACUGCUUAUGGCAUUCUGCCUAUCACUUUUAUUCAUCCGCUUUGGACAAUCUCUCAUGAUGUCCCCUCCUCGUAACAUUCAAAGCCCUUAGACUUUAUAUGGCAUGAUUUCGAUAUGUUUUUCCCUCUACUGCUACUAGGCCCUCGAUGUUGUUCUCUACCCUGAAUCGUCAGUGCUUGCACUACUCCUUGCGCUAGAUCGUCAUCUCGCAACUUUCUUUGCCACUUCUUAGAAAAUAAGGAGAACUUUACCUCUUCUGAGGUAAUUGUAAUACGCCCCUGCAACAAUGAAUCGGUAAAGUGCUCCCAUGACUUUGAUAAAGAGACUAACAAUAUCAUGCCAUGUUCUUUAUCAUCAAGUAUCUUACCAACGUUCUUCAAAUCUAUCAUGAGUUUAUUAAAUUCAUCCAGGUGGGUUUUGAUAGAUGUAUCUUCAGUAUAUCUAAAUUGAAACAUCAUCUCCAACAUGUACAAACGAUUGUUCAAACCUUUCUUCACAUAGAGUGCUUAAAGUUUUGCCCAUAAUGCUACGGCAUCCUUCUCCUCAACAACCUCUAUUAAAACCUCAUUCGACAAAUUUAACAGGAUUGUGUUCUUUACUAUUUCCAUUAACUCUACCCUCUCAGAGGCUUUCAUUAUAAUUGACAACUCAUCUUCACCAUCCAAUGCCUUGGCCAAACCUUAGAUUGUCAAUAAUGUCCACAUCUUGAUGCUCCAUAACCCAAAGUUGUUCCUCCCAUUAAACUUCUCAAUUUCAGAUUUUCUCUCAAACAUAAUUGCAAUAACAUAAUUUCCAGAUAAUAAUCAGACAAGCAAAAGCUCGAAAUCACAAUCUAGAAAUCUAAUCUCGAGCUCUGAUAUUAAUUGUUGGAACAUAAAUUGCAAGAUCCUAUCAUGUCCACAUAUUAUUUUCCAACACAUGAAACACUAUAAGGCUCUCAAAUUGCAAUCGUCAUGGUUCUCUUUUUCUUGCAUUUGUCAUUUCCAGUGAGCUCGAUCGACUGGAGUUACAGCUCCGGAGAGAGAAGCUCAUGAUAUAUGCCUCAUUCUUUCUCCAAAUAAACAAGAAUAGUACCAAAGAUUUUCCAAUUUAAUAUGUUCAUAGAGUGAUUAAUAAUAGGGCAUGCAAAUGUGGGGGAUCAUUAUUUAAAAAGUCUCAAACCUAUUGUAUGGGACUCAAUUCAAUUCUAAACUUUUAAUUUGAUCAAUUUAGUCUCAAACAUAUUGAUGAUUUGCCAAUAUAGUCAAUUUGAUCAAUGAAGUAGAUGCCAGCCUCCUUACAUGAUAUAACUGUUAAGAUAGUUGGCGCUAAUGUAGACAAAUUUUAUAAAUGUUUCUACAUUUUUUCUAUUUUUUUCCAUUUUGUCUUUUUUUUCUUUUUUCUUUUUUCUAUUUCCCUCUGUUGAUCCGGCCUAGGCGAUGGUUGACAAAGAUUGUCGGCCACAAGCGAGGGCUAGAAUGCCCUCAUCAACCCUCCCAAGCCUUUGCCGGACACAGUGAAAGUUAAAAAAAUACUAAAAAAAGUCAUAAACUUAUUGAAUUUGUACAAUAUAAUUCUAAACAUUUCAAUUAGACUCAUUUAGUCAUAAAUAUCUUCACAUUAAUACGAAUGCUAAGAAAAUUUCAAUUCGAUAAAUUUAAAACUUGAAAAAUCACCAAAUAUGUUACUCGGAGCAUAUCAAUCCUCAUUUACAAUAAUAUGGUGGUGAAUAAAUUACCAUCCUUUUAUAUUAUCAUGCACAUGUCAACAUCUAUCAAUUUACUAUUAACAAAUCGACUUUCAAGCAAUUAUGGUCUAAAAAAAAAUCAUCCUAGUACCUUCCACACCCCACAUAAUUGAUGGCCUUCAUCCAUAUAUGAAAUUCUAAGCUAAAUAAUACUUAACUUUAUAUCCUAAAUUUUAUCAACAAAGAUGGAAAAUUCCAAAUGUCACAAUCGCCCUCGCCCAGCCCUCACGAGGCCACCCUCAUUGGCCAAAAGCGAAGGAUGGCCUCAAUCGGGCAAGGGUCGGCCUCGUUAGCCAAACAUGAGGCCAAAUGCGAGGUUGACCUUUACCAAAUCUGGGCAAGGGUCACUAGGCCCUCAAUGGCCUUAAUAAUAAGAAAAAGAAUAGAAAAAAUAAAUAUAAAAAAAUAAAAAAUUGUAAAAAUUGUCUAAGUUUGAGCCGGUGAUGCUACAAAGGAUAGUCGAUAUCUACUUCAAUGAUUUCUAGUUAAAAGUAACUGAUAAAUGAUAAAUUAUAAAAAAAUUUAGGAUUAAAUUGACCAAAUUAUGAGAUUUAGGACUAAACUAGUACAAGUGCAAUAAGCUAAUAAUUUUUUUGUCUUUCGAAAUUAUUUGAUACUACGUCUUGUGAGGCUUAGCCGGACCUUACUUGUUUCACCUAAAAAGGUAGGUUUUUCCUCUUGUUUAACUCUGUGCUCAUGAAAUGUGGUGUUAGGAAUUUUUGGGGUCUAUCUUAGCCUGCACAUGUCAUUUUCCUUCACCUAAUAAAUUGAAUUGUCCUUUUUUUUUUUUUUUUUUUUUUUUCAGUUAUGGAGAAGCCUAUUUAAAAUCUAGCACAACGCUCAAUUUAUCUCAUGAAUAUGGUAAGAUGCCAUCAAGAUCCAAAUCAACGAUCCAAACGCGACAUUAUUUGUAUUUGAUAACAUGGAAUAUUUGAUGACGUGGACUACGAAGACUUUAGAAAAAGAGCAUUUAAAUCUAAUUCGAUAUGAAAUAAAGUGGGUGUCGCGACCUCCUUUUUGGCACCUUAGCACGCAGGCGCCAACAGAGGCUAAUGGCUCAUUAAGAUUAUUAGGCUUAGCCCGAGCUCUGUCAAACUCACCAAUUCACGACUUAUGGUCCAAGUUUUUAACUUGUAAGUUAAUUUUAAAUAGGAGUCACCACUAAUCAAUUUGAGGUGGGUUGAUUAGAAACCCAGGCAAAAUACUGAGAAAAAUAUUUCACUCAUGUGCAACCAGAGAAACUAAGAUCAGGGACUUGAUUACACUAAUUAAUCAAUAAUGCCCUUCCGGUACUUAAUAUUGUUCAAACCCUAAGUUUUUUUUUUUUUACUUUCAAGGGAUUUUCCAUGCAUUUCUGGAGGAAAAACAUAUUUUUUUGUCUUUUUCUAUUUUUUGAACAUAAAAAGUAUUUUUGGAUUUUUUGAUCUAUUUUGAAAAUAUAAACUAUUUUUUUUUACUUCUUUCUGAUUUUUUGGGAAAACAUAGUAUAUUUUGAUUUUUUUUAUUUAUGAAAAAUUAAUUAUUUUAUUUUUAUUUUUAUCAUCUUUAUUAUUAAAAUAUUAUUAUUUUUAUUAUAAUAAUGUAAUAUUAUUUAUAUAAAAAAACUACCCUGGUCGGAUCCUUGGGUUGGGACCGACUUGGAUCGCCAACGGCUGGCCCGGAUGGUUCUAAAACAUGGGCCCAGCCCAAAACUCACGUAUAAUUCCAAAAAAAAAAUGCCCAGCCCAAGCUUGAACUAAACUAGACUCAGCCCAAGUGCAUUCGGCCCGAAUUGUCCAAAACACUACCCGACUCAAACCCAUGCGCCUGACCUAGCUAACAACCCAAUUCUGACCAAACCCUACCCAAACAACGACCCACGCCCAACCCAGUUGGCGACCGAGCAUCCCGUUUACAGACUCGACUCCCUCAUGCCCUUGUUCUCGACGAUCUGUGGCGGAGGUGGCCGAGCUUGUCUCAGUCUGAGCUCUAGCCUCCGCCGGCACCACCUCAGCCAGCCCUAAACCAACAAGUCAGCCUCCGCCUGGCCAGCCACCAUUGCUAACCACAUCGCCCAUCACUGCCACGGGAACCGAGCUCGAGGGUCUAAGCAUGGACUUUCUCGAAAAUUUCUCCGAACACCUAGGGUACGCCGACAAGGAGGAGAGAAGGAUGUUGGAGAAAUCUUCAUAAAGUGUUUUGAAGUUGACAAAACGUUUCCAUCAGUCUAGUCUAAAGGUCUGCAGACUCUGUUAGUUAAAGUCUGAAGACUUUCGGACAGCCAGACUCAAGACUCAAAGUCUAUCCUCAUUGACAGUCUCUAAUCCGUUGAAGAAAGGUUAUCCAGAACUGGAUGUUUUGUUCAGGAUUUAACCUUAUCAUCUGGAGAAGAUCUCGUGGUUGGAGAAGACGUAUCAGAAUCCUUUGAUUGAUCAAGAUUGAUUCAAUGACUGAAGAUUCGAUGAUUGUCUAAAUAUUAUUGGAAGGUUCUACUUAUGGAAACCGAGAUCCUGCUUGUAUGGGCGAACCGGAUUGAUGGGCUAUCAACUCGUUCCUUUAAUAGCUCGAACAAUCUUCCUAAUUGAUUCUGUCCAACGGGUAGAUUGGAGGAAUUCCUUUGGUAAGUGCCAACGGGUAUGAUGGCAUAAAGGAGUAUAUAAGGAAGACGUUCUUAGUUGUUCGAGGAGUGCGCGAUAGAAGAAUUCCAAAGUCUGAAGCUCCUAUUUGUUUAGAUAAAUCCUUUGAGCGAAUACUUGUAUACAAAAGAGAGUCUAUAUUUGUGAGAGACCUUGAGGAGGUGUGGUAAAACAUCUACACUGUGGAAUCAAGGCAAAGCUGUGCUGUAACUUCUCUUUUGAUCAUAGUGAAAUCCAGCCGGUGGGCUGUCAGUGCGGAAGAGUGGACGUAGGCUUGGAAUAAGCCGAACCACUAUAAAUCCUGUGUUCAAUUUUCUCUUCCUCACUCUCUCUACCUCAAUCGUAUUUCAUUUUGUUAAUUAAGAGAGAAUUUACUUUCUAUCAUAUGUUAAGAAUCGCUUCCGUAUAUCGAUAAAUUGUUUAGGCACCUAUUCACCCCCCUCUAGGUACUCAUACUAGCAAUAUCAAUUGGUAUCAGGGCCUGUGUACUUACUUUAUUUGAAGUGUUUUACUUCAUAGUAAAAGAUCCAUGGCUAGUAUGCUAGCACCAGGGCUGAUGGAAGGGCAAAGCAAUACCAGACCACCCUACUUUGAUGGAAAUGAUUACAACAUCUGGAAGAACAAGAUGAAAGCUUUCUUACGAUCAAAGGAUCCUCUGGAAUGGGACGUUGUAGAAAAAGGAAUUACUCCUACCACUGCAUCAGUCUCUGAAAGAGGAGAAGAAACUGAAGAAACCAGCGGAAUGUCUCAGGAAGAUAUAAUCAAGAGACAGACACUCGAUGCAAAAGCAAUUUACUCCUUAUAUUGUGCUUUAUCACCAACUGAAUAUAAUAGAAUAUCUUCUUGUGGUACAGCAAAAGAAGUUUGGGACAGAUUGCAUAUCACCUAUGAAGGAACAGAUCGAGUGAAGGAAACAAGAAUCAACAUUCUUCUCGGUCAAUACGAAGCCUUCAGAAUGAAACCAGGAGAAUCAAUAUCUGACAUGUUUAGUCGUUUUACAGAUAUUGUGAAUGGUCUUGAAAAUCAAGGUCAACCAACUUCUGAUCCCAUGAAGGUAAACAAGCUACUGCGUGGACUCUCUGGGGAUUGGAAUCACAUAAAGACUUCGAUAAGAGAGACGCAGAGAAUCAUGCCACUAUCUGUCGACGAGCUGAUUGGAACUCUUCAGUCCUAUGAAGUGGAAAGGAUCAAUGAAGAUGAAGAUCCAAAAGGUAAGAAAUCCAUUGCAUUAAAAUCAAAUGAUGAUUCUGAUGAUACAGAUUCUGAAGAUGAUAUGGACGAUGAGGAGCUUGCUCUCAUGAUAAGAAGAUUCAGAAAACUAAAUAGAAAAGGAAGAAGGUUCAACUCAAAGAAACAAAGCUUUCAAAGACAGCAGACCAAGUCUGUUGAUGAUGAGGAACCAAAUAAAGAUGUAGUCUGCUUUGAAUGCAAGAAAAAGGAACACAUUAGACCCAACUGUCCUCUUCUGAAAAGAAGAGAGGAAAAGCUGAAAAAUUUCGAAAAGCUCUCAAAGCCGAAACCUGGAGUGAUACUGAGUGUGAAGAAAGUGAUAAUGAAUAUGCCAAUCUAUGUCUGAUGGCACAAUCAGACUCAGACUCAGGAUCAGACUCAGGAUCAGACUCAGACAGUGAAUUUGAGGCAAGUGAUUUUAAAAUUCCUGUCAAAGUUUCUAAAUAUAUUGAUGAACUAUGCUUUAGUCUUAAGACUUCUCUCAAAAGAAUUUCCGAACUGAAAAAAGAAAACUCAGCUCUAAAACAAAAGGAAAAUGUUUUAGCAGAAAGAGUUAAAAGUCUAGACUUGUCUGUUUCCAAUCUUAAAGAAAAAGAAGAUAAUCUUUUAAAAGAAAAUGCUUUUUUAAAAACAGACUUAUCAAAUAUAUCAAAGAAAUUUUCUAUAGGGUCUGAAAAACUUGAGAAAAUUCUUUCAGCACAAAGACCUUACUUCAAUAAGUCUGGUCUAGGUAUGACAGAAGAAACAAUUCCCUUGAUUGAUUUUCCUAAAGUAAAAGAAAGAAUUAAGAAAAGACUCUCGAGUGAGGUUUACAAAAAUCACUUCAAGAAAGUUUUUGUAAAACCCGUUGGUAGAAAUGCUCUCAGAUGUUCUAAGUGCAACAGUCCGGAUCACUUUGAAAAAGAGUGUCCUAUGGUAUGGAAACCUGUUAAGAAAGUACGGGCUAAUACUGUUUAUCUUACUAACACCAAAGGACCCAAGAAAAUCUGGGUACCAAAGAAAGCUUGAGACUUUAUUUUAAAUGCAGGUCUCCGUCAAGAAACAGGUAAAGUGGUAUCUUGACAGCGGAUGCUCAAGACACAUGACAGGAGACUCAAAUUGCUUUAUAAAGAUUGCUCAAGUAAAUGGUGGAAAAGUUUCAUUUGGAGGAAACAGCAAAGGAAAUAUUGUGGGAUUUGGAACCGUGAAAAUUGGAACUCUCACAAUAAGUAAUGUUUCCUUAGUGGAAGGACUCAAUUACAAUCUUCUCAGCAUUAGUCAACUGUGUGAUACUGGUUUCAAGAUCUUCUUUCAAGAAGGAACAUGUUCUGGAAUCAGUAAAGACUCUACUCAGUCUUUCAUGGGUCGAAGACAUGGAAAUAUCUAUCUUCUGGAUAUGAAACCAAAUGAAUCACAGUGCCUUAUCUCAAUUCAAGAUGAAGCAAGCUUAUGGCACAAAAAGCUUGGUCAUGUCAACAUGAAGAAAUUAGCCAAAAUCUCUUCAAAACAGCUUGUUCGAGGACUACCCAGAUUGCCAUACCAAAAGACUGAUUCAUGCACUCCAUGUAUUCUGGGAAAGCAGGUAAGAAAUUCUUUUAAGCCAAUUAAUUAUGUCUCUACUAAUCAUGUACUACAGUUGCUGCAUAUGGAUCUCUUCGGACCAACCAGAACUCAAAGUAUUGGGGGUAAGAAGUAUUGCCUAGUAAUUGUUGAUGAUUACUCCCGUUUUACUCGGGUAUAUUUUCUUGCAAGUAAGUCCAAAACCUUUUCGUAUUUUGAAAAAUUUGCUAAAAUGGUUCAAAAUGAAAAAGGAUGUGUUAUCUCUAGUAUAAGAACAGAUCAUGGAGGUGAAUUUGAAAAUCAAGAUUUUACAAAAUUCUGUGAUGAAUCUGGCUGUAAGCAUGUGUUUUCCUCUCCAUAUACUCCUCAGCAAAAUGGAGUUGUGGAAAGAAAGAACAGAUCUCUUCAAGAAAUGGCUAGAACUCUUUUAAUUGAAAGUAAAAUUUCUUCUCGAUUUUGGGCUGAAGCCGUUUCAACAGCAUGCUAUAUCAUCAAUAGAGUCUUCUUAAGAUCUAUUCUUCAGAAAACCCCUUAUGAGUUAUUCAAAGAAAAGAAGCCUAUUGUUUCAUACUUUCAUGUAUUUGGUUGCAAAUGUUUUAUACUGAAAAAUGCAAAAGAUCGAGUUGGUAAGUUUGAAGAAAGAUCAGAUGAAGGUAUCUUCCUUGGAUAUUCUACAUCAAGCAAAGCCUUCAGAGUCUAUAACAAGAAGAGCCAGUCUGUGGAGGAGUCAAUGAAUGUCAAAUUUCAAGACUCAACACAAGAUGAAUCAAGUCAGACUCAUCAAGAAGAGUCUGAACCUGCUCCAGAUCUUCCAAAGCUUACAACUCAAGAAGCAUCUCAGACUCUGGAAAACCAGAAUAAGGAUGUUCGUGAAGAUUCAAUCAAAGAGAGAGAUCAUCAAUCAGACAAAUCAACAAGUAACUGGAAGCAUAAGUCCAGUCAUCCCAAAGAUCUUAUAAUCGGCGAAAUGAAUGAAGGAAUUCGCACCAGAUCCAAAAGGCGAGAAGAGUCUAGUGCUGUGGCACUCGUUUCUGAAAUUGAACUAAAGAGCAUAGAAGAAGCUUUAUCUGAUGAAAGCUGGAUUGAAGCUAUGCAAGAAGAGCUCAGACAGUUCAGCAUAAAUGAUGUCUGGGAAUUGACAUCCAAACCAAAAGGUAAAACUGUUAUUGGAGCUAAAUGGGUUUUCAGAAACAAGAUGAACGAGAAAGGAAAAUUCGUACGAAAUAAAGCAAGACUCGUGGCCAAGGGAUAUACGCAAGAAGAAGGAAUAGACUAUGAUGAGACUUACUCUCCAGUGGCAAGGUUAGAAGCUAUUCGACUAUUACUUGCGUUUGCUUGUUAUAAGAAUUUCAGGUUAUUCCAAAUGGACGUCAAAAGCGCCUUCCUAAAUGGAUUUAUCCAUGAGGAAGUUUAUGUGGAACAACCACCAGGGUUUGAAGACCCAAAGAAGCCAGACUCAGUCUUCAGACUGAAAAAGGCUUUGUAUGGUUUAAAGCAAGCACAUCGGGCUUGGUACGACAUAUUAAGUAAGUUCCUAAUACAAAGUGGUUUUGUCAAAGGUAAAGUAGAUACGACUUUAUUCAUCAAGAAGGAAAACAAAAGUUUCUUACUUGUUCAAAUAUAUGUGGAUGAUAUUAUUUUUGGAUCCUCUAAUGAAAGUCUUUGCAAGAAAUUUUCAAAGUCUAUGCAGGAUGAGUUUGAAAUGAGUAUGAUGGGAGAGUUAACAUUCUUUCUUGGUCUUCAAGUAAAACAAUUGAAGGAAGGAACUUUUAUUUAUCAAGAAAAAUAUGUUAAUGAUCUUGUCAAAAGGUUUGGACUGGAAAAGUGCAAAAAGGUCGACAUACCAAUGUCAAGUUCUUUAAAGAUAGACAAAGAUGAAGAAGGGAAGAAAGUUGAUCAAAAGCUGUACAGGAGCAUUAUUGGAUCACUUCUUUAUCUUACUGCCUCUAGACCUGAUAUUCUGUUGAGUGUUUGCAUCUGUGUUAGGUUUCAAUCAAAUCCUAGAGAAUCUCAUCUCAGUGCUGCGAAACGCAUCAUUAAAUACGUGGCUUCAUCAUCAAGCAUCGGUCUUUGGUAUCCUAAGAAGGGAGACUUUAAUCUUCUGGGAUAUUUAGACGCAGAUCUGGCCGGUUGCAGAGUUGAUAGAAAGAGCACUUCAGGAACUUGCCAGUUGCUUGGAAGCAGGACAGUGUCUUGGUUUUCAAGGAAACAAAGCACUGUGUCUCUUUCAACAACAGAAGCAGAGUAUGUAGCUCUUGGAAGCUGCUGUUCGCAAAUUCUAUGGAUAAAACAACAGCUAAGAGAUUUUGAAAUUGAAGACUCAUGCACGGAAAUUAAUUGCGACAACACCAGCGCUAUCAACCUCACCAAAAAUCCAAUUCUCCACUCAAGAGCAAAGCAUAUAGAGAUUCGACAUCACUUUAUUAGAGAUCAUGUUCAAAAUGGAGAUGUUUCAAUUCAAUUUGUUGACUUAAAGAAUCAACUGGCUGAUAUACUCACAAAGCCUUUGGAGAAAAAUCAAUUUGAGUCUAUACGAUCCAGACUCAACAUUUUGAGAUAUGAGGAUAUCAAAGUCUAAAGACUUUCAGACUCAGGCUUACAAGACUUUAUCUACAGUCUUGGCUUGACCUUCAGACUGUAAGUCUUUCUCUCUCCAAUCUUAUCUUGAAAAGGUACGAUCAUCAGACUGUGUUUAAAUUGUUGCUAUAUUUAAUUAACGUAAAUAUUGCAUCGAUUCAUUUUCAAAAGGGAAGUUAUUUUUGAAAUAGCUAUUUUUGCGGAUAAAGACAGUUAUUUUGAAAAGGCAUAUUUUUAUUUCCUUUGUGACGGUUCGUUUACUCUUCUUUUUAACCGAACGAGCACUGUCGAUUUCUCUUCACUUUUCUAUUCACUUUUCUCUCAAAAACCCUAGAAAGCAUCGAUCCUCCACUCCCGUUUGUCUUCUUCGCUCAAUCUUCAAAAAGUUGUCAUCUUUUCUGGGAAAGUCAAGCAAGGAAUCUUCCAAACACUGAGAAAGAUGUCAUCUUCGCGAAAGUCCUCAAGAAUCGCAAGCAGGGGACCACAGAGAAUGAGUGAGGGGCCUACGCACUUCGAUCUUACUGAAGAUGAAGUUACUCCAGAUCAGCAACUGAGCCCACAACAUUCUCAGCAGCGUCAGUCUCCUCCAUCUAGUCCUCAAGGCGGUGUUCAUCAGCAUCAAGAAGAAAUCAUCGAGGAUGCAGACCCCGUAAGAGUUCAAAAGCCCGCUUUUAUUUACAAGCUAUAUCGUGCCUUAAAAGGAAUUCGUACUCCUUUGAACUAUGUUGAUGAGUUUCUUAGAGACAAAGGAUAUAGGAACGAAUAUAUCUUUCUGCGAAAAAUGGAAAGUUUGGGAAUCGCUCGUAAAGGGGUGGCUGAGGAAACCCUUGCGAAUAUCCCAAGUGAUCCUCGUGACUGGGGACCAAAUCCUGUAGAUGGGAAUGACGAUGACAAUCUGUUCAGUCUAUUUCAACCGAAAAUGGGUAUUGCGGCUGAAAUUCAAGGAAAAAGGGGAGAUUUGUUCAGAUCAAAGGAACAAAAGGAUCUGUACUCGAAAUUGCUGAAGCGUGGGGUAAUAAACCCUAGGAGUGUGGACUUUGAUUUUCUGGAUGCUGUGAAAGUGAACUUAAGGGAAAAGUUCAGUUAUCUUCAACUUGAAAAGUUUUGCUCUGACUCAACUGAGGCUUAUGCUGAAUUGACUGCAUAUUUCUAUUCAAAUCUUAGCUUUUUGGAUGCGAAUAGAUUCUCCUUCAGCGUUAAAGAACAAGACUAUGUUGUGGAUAUGAAUAUGCUGGCAGAUGUGUUAGAAGUUGAGAGAGGCAGAUAUCAACCAAUCCAAGUUUCCAUUGCUCGGGCCACACUUGAACUGGUGAAGGACAGGAGAACAGAUGAGAAGAUCACCUACUCACGGAUGAAUGCAUUCAACAUCUUGCUUCACAAGAUUGUGAUCAAUUGCCUUCGGCCAAAAUCAACUUCCAAAACUGAUGUUUCAAGCUCUGAGGCAAAGUUGAUGUAUGCCAUCCUCUGUGGAAAGCAGUUCUCUCUCCCUCAUACUGUUAUGUUUCACAUGUAUAGAGCAGUGAUGAAGGACAGAGGUCAACUCCCUUACCCAAGCCUUGUUACGAAGUUAUUCAGACAUCUGAAUAUUCAGCCUCCGCAAAUCUUCUGUGUUCGAUCAUGCGAUCAUAUGGUGGUAGGACUGAAAAUGGUGACCAAAAUGCGUCUGAAGGAACUGAGCAAGGAAUUGGAGAAAUUCAAGGAGAAGACUCCUGCCAAAUCUCAUCAACUCUCUUCUGCUGCUAAGAGAAAAGGGAAGGAGCCCAUGGCUGCUCCAUCAAAGAGAAGAAGAGCUCUCCUCGUUGAGGAUGAAGAUGAUGACGAAGACAUCACCAUCUCUGCAAGGGCUUUGAAGAAUUUAAGUCGUCCUGUUCCACAGAAAGAAUUGGAACAAAAGACGAAAGAAGCAGAGGAGAAGGAAGCAGAAGAAAGAGAAGCAGAGGAGAAGGAAGAAGAAGAAAGAGAAGCAGAGCAAGAAGCAGAGAAAGAAAGACCUGAAGAAGAAAGAAGAGAAGAAGGAGAACCUGAGGAAAUCUCUUCUCCACCUGUAGGCAUGGAAAUAGGGGGAGAUCAGGAGAAAGGAGUGACGUCUUCAUAUCCUGAUGCAAGUGAAGGAGUCAGUCGCUCGCCUGCAGACCCAGAAGAUGUUUAUGCAUAUCAAUUUCCAGAGGAAGGUCAUGAAGCUUCAUCGCCAAACCUGCGAGACUAUGCUGAUCUACCAUCUUCUGCAGAUCGAGCCGAAGCAAGUACUCAGACUGAUAAUGGAGCAGAUUUUCGCAGAAUCAUGGAUAUUCUCUUGGAGAUGAAAGGUCAGAUUUAUGCCUUGGGAUGCGAAGUUCAAAAUUUGAAGAAUGAAAGUCAAGCUUCUUCCUGUUCAUUGAAUGAAAAGAUGCAAGCCCUCUCUAUUCAGAAUCAGGCCAAUGCCAAGAGUGAGGAGGUUGUACAGCUGAAGGAAGACUUUAAAAGACUGGAAGGCAUUGUUCAGUCUAUGGAAGAUUUCCAGCUUGUCCGCAUUCCCAAAACUUCAUCUCAUCCUUUUUAAAUGAUGACAAAAAGGGGGAGAGAUGCAUGAUUUGAUCAAAAACUUUAUCAUUUUUAACUGUUUGUUGGAUUGUGUUGUUGUUUAACUGUUUUUGACAGACUUUGACUUUGUUUUGUGUCUGGAUGAGAACUGAACAAGACUUGGACUUGACUGCUUCUAUUAACAAGUAUUGAUAUCUUAUGGAUGGUUUUAUUAUAUUCUAGACUAACCUAUUUUCUGUGGUUGCAGAUUCUAGUAUUAAUCUUUUAGCCAUUCAUCUCUAUAAGAUAUGCAUAUGUGUUUGAGAAAUGUUUUGCAGGUCAAAGUUAUCCAAAUCUGCAGGAAGGUUUUGUCACCAUCAAAAAGGGGGAGAUUGUUGGAGAAAUCUUCAUAAAGUGUUUUGAAGUUGACAAAACGUUUCCAUCAGUCUAGUCUGAAGGUCUGCAGACUCUGUUAGUUAAAGUCUGAAGACUUUCGGACAGCCAGACUCAGGACUCAAAGUCUAUCCUCAUUGACAGUCUCUAAUCCGUUGAAGAAAGGUUAUCCAGAACUGGAUGUUUUGUUCAGGAUUUAACCUUAUCAUCUGGAGAAGAUCUCGUGGUUGGAGAAGACGUAUCAGAAUCCUUUGAUUGAUCAAGAUUGAUUCAAUGACUGAAGAUUCGAUGAUUGUCUAAAUAUUAUUGGAAGGUUCUACUUAUGGAAACCGAGAUCCUGAUUGUAUGGGCGAACAGGAUUAAUGGGCUAUCAACUCGUUCCUUUAAUAGCUUGAACAAUCUUCCUAAUUGAUUCUGUCCAACGGGUAGAUUGGAGGAAUUCCUUUGGUAAGUGCCAACGGGUAUGAUGGCAUAAAGGAGUAUAUAAGGAAGACGUUCUUAGUUGUUCGAGGAGUGCGCGAUAGAAGAAUUCCAAAGUCUGAAGCUCCUAUUUGUUUAGAUAAAUCCUUUGAGCGAAUACUUGUAUACAAAAGAGAGUCUAUAUUUGUGAGAGAUCUUGAGGAGGUGUGGUAAAACAUCUACACUGUGGAAUCAAGGCAAAGCUGUGCUGUAACUUCUCUUUUGAUCAUAGUGAAAUCCAGCUGGUGGGCUGUCAGUGCGGAAGAGUGGACGUAGGCUUGGAAUAAGCCGAACCACUAUAAAUCCUGUGUUCAAUUUUCUCUUCCUCACUCUCUCUACCUCAAUCGUAUUUCAUUUUGUUAAUUAAGAGAGAAUUUACUUUCUAUCAUAUGUUAAGAAUUGCUUCCGUAUAUCGAUAAAUUGUUUAGGCACCUAUUCACCCCCUCUAGGUACUCAUACUAGCAAUAUCAAAGGACGCCCUAAUCGAGACCUGAGAUCACGACGAGUCUCACGGCGUAGACGACAGAACAACCAUGGCAUCCUACAACAAACAAUCAGAGGCGAAGAUCACACAAGGUGGAUGGUCACAAGCUUCGGCAUGGUACAUGCGAAAAGGGGCAGGGAUAGGGCCCUGCUCACCGGAUCUAUAUGCGGGCAAUGACAUUGCGAGUAGAUGGCGUCAUUGGUGGCGGAGGCAUCGAGCCAAGCAAUCGAUGUUGCACGCAGCGAAAAAGGGCUCACAUUGCCGACCCUCUUUCUCUCAGAUCUGGGACCGAACUUCUCCGCCCUUACUUGACUCUGAUCUCUUAGAUCUCUCUCAAAUCUAGAACCCCCUUGCUCAAAUCUGACCUUCUCUCUGUGGCCGACCUCCCCUCCUUUGAUUUUCGGCUUGCUGGCUCUCAAUCCUCCCCUAAUGUCUCUUGGGGUAAGUCCUUGAAGCUAGCUGCCUUUGAUCUCUCUCUGCUCGUGUCCUUAGCCUUCCAUUGGUAGCCCUAUAUAUAGGUGAAGGGGUGCCGGUCGAGGGAGCUUUGGCCAGCGGUUCUUCACACACCGACCGGCCUUGGUGCGAUCGGACUAGCAUUGCCUCAGCUGCCCACCUGCGUGCUCUGCUUUGCAUUAAAGGUGUGUCCCCAUCUGCUACGUUGUAUAUCGUCGUCUCCUCCUCCACCCGGCCUCGCACACAUCGGAACUCUUCUAUGUGUGCAUUGCAAAGACUGGGGAGGAAGAAGACAAGGGAGCAGGGGGCCGAGCCAAGAAGGAAAAGGUUGGACCCUGGGGACCCGCACGAGGAAGAACAAAAUAAAAGGGCUAGGCUUUCACACCCAGCCCCAUAAGAACCCUUUUCUUUUUUUAUUUUUUUUUAUUUUUUAUUAAUACUAUUAUUAUUGUUUUUUAAAUUUAUUUGAAAAUAAAAAAUAAAAAUAGAAUAUAAAACCUAAUGGAAACUAAGUCCUAGGUGAUGUGAGAAAAUAUUUUUGUUGGAGUCAAAUUGAUCCCUAAUUUUCUAUGCAAAUUAAUUUUAAUUAUUUAGUCAAAAUUUAGAUAUCAACAACUGCCCCUCUUUGAAUGUGAGCUCGCAGAAGUUGCUUUCAAAGACGAACCGAUACCUAAAUUUUCUUCAUGCAUAAGCAGUAGGUUAUAUCUUAUUUGGGAUCAGGUGUCAUAUGCAAAAAGGAGCAAUAUAACAUUAUACAUACUAAGACAGCUAAGAAGAUACUUGUUGUCACUUAUCGGGAACGAGUGAGAUAGGGCGUGAACCCCAAGUUUGGCAAGUAUCAGGAUACAAUCUAAUAUUGUAAGGAAGUCAUUUUUCCAAGACCUGAACCUUUUUUAAGUCUUCUUAAUAGGAAAUUGCUUUUCCAUGACCCGAACCAUUCUUCAAUCACCUAUUAGAGCAAUAAAUUGUUUGUCUAGGACAUGAACCUUUCUUCGGUCGCCUUGAUGGAGAUUUGCCUUUCUAGGACUCGAACUUUUCUUUGGUCGUCUGUUAGAGCAAUAAGUUGUUUACCCGACGUUACUCGGGGAUGCACCAACCUUUCUCGAGACAUCUGUUUGUUGGGUGCCUAAUCUUUGUCAAGGACACCAGUUGAUCACCCGACCUUUCUCGGGGGAUGCACCGACCUUUCUCAAGACAUUUGUUUGUUGGGUGCCUGAUCUUUGUCAAGGACACUAGUUGAUUACUCGACCUUUCUCGAGGUUGCACCGACCUUUUUCAGGGCAUUUGUUUGUUAGGUGCUUGAUCUUUGUCGAUGACACCGAUUGAUUACCUAACCUUUCUCGGGGAUGCAUCGACCUUUCUCAAGGCAUAUGUUUGUUGGGUGCAUGAUCUUUGUCAAGGACACCGGUUGAUUACCCGACCUUUCUCGAGGGAUGCACCGACUUUUCUCAGGGCAUAUAUCUUAGAGAAUACUUGGACAUUCACAGGCAUUGAAAUAGUACUUGGACAUUCACAAGUAUUAACCUGGAAGAUACUUGGAUAUUUGCAGGCAUCGAAGAAGUACAUGGUCAUUCACAGGCACUAAAAGAGUACUUGGAUUAUCGCAAGUACAAAUCCUGGAGGAUAUCCGUGAAGGUCUUUCACCUCUAGGGAGAAAGAAGUUGUGAUAUCAAGGAGACACCUUUGUGAAAGUCUCCUGUCUCCUUAAAAAUUUGUGAAGGUCUCCCACCUUCUAGUAAUUGGAAUAUUAAGGACGUGCCUGUGAUAUUCGUGAAAGUCUCUCACCUCCUAAUAUAUGAAACAUCGAGGACGCGCCUCGGAUAUUCAUGAAGGUCUCUUAACUCCUAGUAAUUGGAAUAUCGAGAACAUGCCUCGGAUAUUUGUGAAUGUCUCUCACCUCUUGAUAAUUGGAAUAUCAAGGAUGCGCCUCGGAUAUUCAUGAAAGUCUCUCACCUUGUAGUAAUUGGAAUAUCGAGGAUGCGCUUUGGAUAUUCGUGAAGAUUUUUCACCUCCUGGUAAUUGGUGAAGGUCCCCCACCUCCUGGUAAUUGGAAUAUUGAGGACGUAUCUCGAAUAUUCGUGAAUGUCUCUCACUUCCUAAUAAUUGGAAUAUUGAGGACGCGCCUCGAGUAUUCGUGAAGGUCUCUUACCUCCUGGUAAUUGGUGAAGGUCUCCCACCUCCUGGUAAAUGGAAUCUUGAUGUUAUACCUCGAAUAUUCGUAAAGGUCUCUCACCUCCUGGUAAUUAAUGAAGGUCUCCCACCUCCUAGUAAAUGGAAUAUUGAGGACGUCUCUCGAAUAUUCGUGAAUGUCUCUCACUUCCUAAUAAUUGGAAUAUCGAGGACGCGCCUCGAGUAUUCGUGAAGGUCUCUUACCUCCUGGUAAUUGGUGAAGGUCUCCCACCUCCUGGUAAAUGGAAUAUUGAUGUUAUACCUCGAAUAUUCGUGAAUGUCUCUCACCUCCUGAUAAUUAGAAUAUCAAGGACGCGCAUCGGAUAUUCGUGAAGAUCUCUCACCUCCUAGUAAUUGGAAUAUUGAGGACGCGCUUUGGAUAUUCGUGAAGAUUUCUUACCUCCUAGUAAUUGGAAUAUCGAGGACACGCCUCGAAUAUUCGUGAAGGUCCCUCACCUCCUGGUAAUUGGUGAAGGUCUCCCACCUCCUAGUAAAUGGAAUAUUGAGGACGUACCUCGAAUAUUCGUGAAUGUCUCUUACCUCUUGGCAAUUGGAAUAUUGAGGACGCACAUCGGGUAUUCGUGAAGGUCUCUCACCUCCUGCUAAUUGGUGAAAGUCUCCCCUGGUAAAUGGAAUAUUGAUGACGUACCUCGAAUAUUCAUGAAGGUCUCUCACCUCAUAGUAAUUGAAAUAUCAAAAACGCGCCUCAAGAAUUCAUGAAGGUCUCUCACAUCCUAAUAAUUGGUGAAGGUCUCCCACUUCCUGGUAACAUAAAUUUGAAUGUAGUAUGAAGCUUACCUAGAUGGCCACAAGCACUUAAAAAGGCUGGAGCACCUAGGUAGCCACAAGUAUACAAAGCAGUGGAAUACUUGGAUAAUCACAAGUAUUUAAUUAUACAAUCGGGGAUCACUCAGGCAGGUUCAAGUGUCAUAAUGAUAAGAGAGCAUACUUGGGUAACUGCAGGCACACAAAACAAUGGAAUACUUGAACAAUUAUUAGUAUUCAAUGAUAUAAUUUGAGGACAACUCGAACAAGUCGAGCGUCAUGGAAAGGAAGUACCUGGAUGAUGGCAAGUACUUGAAGACGAUGGGAUACUUGAUCAAUCACCAAUAUCCAUACUAUGAGGAUAAAUCGAAUAAGUCGAGUGUCAAUAAGAUGGAGUACUUGGACAAUGGUAGAUACUCAAAGACAAAGGAUACUUGGAUGGUUGCAAGCACCUAAACUCAGAAAACAACUCGAAUAGGUCGAGUGUCGAUAAGAGAGAGUACCCAAGCAGUGGUAGGUACUCGAAGGCGGAGGGAUACCUGGACAAUUACAAGUAUCAAUACUCUGAGGACAACUCGAAUAGGUCGAGUGUCAAUAAGAGGGAGUACCUGGACAAUGGUAGGUACUCAAAGACAAAGGGAUACUUAGACAGUUGCAAGCACCCAAAGUAACUUGAAUAGGUCGAAUGUUGAUAAAAGAGAGUACCCAAGCAGUGGUAGGUACUCGAAGGCAAAGGGAUACCUGAACAGUCACAAGUAUCCAAACUCUGAAGACAACUCGAAUGGAUCGAGUAUUGAUAAGAGGGAGUACCCGAGUAAUGGUAGGUACUUGAAGGCAAAAGGAUACCUGAACAGUCGCAAGUAUCCAAACUCUGAAGACAACUCAAACAGGCCGAGUGUUGAUAAGAGAGAAUACCCGAUCAAUGGUAGGUACUUGAAGGCAAAGGGAUACUUGGACAAUAGCAAGUAUCAAUACUCUAAAGACAACUAGAACAAGUCGAGUGUCGAGAAGAAAAAGUAUCCAAAUAGUGGCCAACACUCAAAGGUAAUGAAAUGUUUGGUUGGACAUAAGUUCUUUGGGAAUAAGGGUAGAGAUAUGCUUACCUGACAAUGCCUCCAAUCUUUGAGAGUAUGUCUACAACACACAAUAUGCAGACAUGAUUGUAUAUCCUAUAAAUUCAUGAGUUCAAAUGGGAUUCAUGCAUGAUAAUUUUGUCAACUUUGCAUCACCAAUGUUCCAUUGGAGAAAAUUUUUUAAAGACAAUCUUCAUUCGGAAUGUGGACGUCUUGAACAUGCCAAAUGAGGGACUUUCAGUCUGAAAUGACAUUUCACUCACUCUCAUGGAAAAGAUUGUUUUAUCCUAACCAUUAAUGUAGGAUUUAUAAGGACCACACUAUCUCACUGUCAUCAUAUCAGCAGGAGUCCGAGUAUUCUCGCAAGUAGUAUGACUUUGCCAAUAUGAGUGGUCUUUGCCGGGAUUGCAAUGUAGGCUUGAUCAACGGCUUAUCAAAGGGGACCAUCAAGGUCAAGGCUUAUGAAAGGAAUGCAACAUGAUCAUCUCCGGGUUUACAAGUCAAGAACCUUGCGAAAGGAGAUAGAAUAAUCUUGCUCGUACUUCUUUGAGCAAUGCUUAUAAACAUAUGAAGCUCUACAUUAAUUGAGAUGCCCUAGUCUGAAGAGACUUUUACAGUGGGACGCUAUCGCCACCUACCCUCGAGGGGAGGGAAUAGGUUUAGGAUUAUUACCUAAAGGACAGGCUUAUGGCCCAUGAUUAGACAUGGGCUCUCCCAAGCCUAUACCCCUUGUGAUAUUAGGAUAUUAGGAUAUUUUUUAUGAAUUUUGCACAAAAGGAGUCACCACUAGCCUAUUGGGGUCAACUAGAAACCAAGUGAAACAUGGAAGUGUACCUCACUUCCUAUGCAACUAGAGAGUUUAGGGUCUGGGACUUGAUUACACUAAUUGACCAAUUAGUGCCCUUUUGGCACCUAAUCUUGUUCAUUUUAGAAGAAAAAGAUUUUUUGUCAUGCAGUUUGAAUUGAUUUUACACUUAUCCACUAACAUGCGAGGCAAUCAUAUGAGUGCACAAUCAUUAAAGUAACAAUCAUAACUACUAAGAUCCUAAUUGCAAUAAAAAUGAGCAUGUACAAUUAAACAUACACAAAUGUAAUUAAAUAUGCAAAUUAAACGUGCUAUAUAAUCAAUAUACAAGAAAAUAAAGGCUUAAUUACACUAAAAAGGCAAUACAUAGCAAUUCCUAACCAAACCCCAUCAUUUUUGGAUUUUUGAAAUUUUUUUAUUUUUUUAUUUUUUAAAAUAAAAAAAAAUUUUAAAAAAAAUUCUGGCCAAACUGGGUCGGGUCAAACCCGGUCAGGGUGGGUUGGUCAAACCCACCCGAGUUCAGCCCGCCUAAAAUACAAGGCCCGACCAACCUUGGUGAGGCCUUCGUGUGGCUGGAUUGGGCCUAACUGAUGGGCCCAAUCUCUACUUCCCCCCACGCAGAAAAUAGAUCCACGCAGGCCCGCGACCUAAACCGGCCCACAAGCCCACAAGCCCAAAUCCGGCCCUAAUUCGCGCCCAACCCAGCUCCUACACCGCGACUCGAUUCCCAAGAAAACCCUACCCAGAUCCGCCUCGGCUUCAACCCGGCUUCUAACCUUCUUCUUUAGGGGCUCUAUGUUAAUAGUGACGGCGACGCGGUGGGCGGCAGCUGUGAGCAACAAAAGGCGACGACACUUGGGCGAGCUAGCACAACGGUGCUCAUGAUGCAGGCACUGCAGCAGCGUCGGGUUGAGGCGGGGCAACAUUCGAAGCUCCCUCAAGGGGCAGCAAGGUGGCAGCGAGCAGCCGGAGUUGCGGGUGUUGCAGCAGGGGCACGGAGGCAGUGACCGACAGAGGGAUCAAGCUGUUAGCAUUCAGUGACGGUAGCGACAGGUGCUACGAGUCGGUAUUCAAAGGGCAGUGGCGAUGUUACAGCUUCGGGCAGAGGAAGGCACGGCAGCAAGGGCAACAAUGCUUGGGUGAGCUAUUGCAGUGGUGUAUGCAGUGUCGACGAUGGAGGGUGGAAGCGGCGAUGGCAAGCGAAGGCGCAGCGUCAACGAUGCCUCCUCCGGUUUCUAUCCCCCUUUCCAUAUUUUCCCUUUUUCAGUCCCCUCUCCUCUCUCUCUGGAUCUCUCCCCUCUGUUGUGCCUCUGCUCUUCUCCCUUUUCGCUUUAGAUCUGAGUUCUGGGGAAGACUGCAAUGAACGACAUUUAUUGGGUGGCUCGUCGGCGACAAUAACGGUGGCCCAGAGGCUCCUUCUCCUCCUGCUCGCGUGCCCUCACUGUCUUUUUCUCUCUCUCUGUCCACUCUCACGUCUCUCUCACUUGUCUUCUCUGUUACUGUCAUUCCCCUCUACUUUUGCUUUUUGCUAUCUUUCCUUUUCUUUUGCUGCAGGUUCGUGCAAGAUAGGCUGGAGGAGGACGAAGGCUGGCGUGGGCCGAACCAAAAGGGAAACGGGCUUGGGCUGUGUAAGGAAAAGAGAGUCGGGCAAGGGGGCGAGCCAAUGCUAGAUCCAGCCCAACCCGACCUCUAGGCGUUUUCUUUUUCUUUUUCUUUUUUGUUGUUGUUUUGUUUUUGUUUUUUUCUCUCUUUUUCUCUUCUAUUUUUUUUUAAUGACUAAUUCCUAAUUUUGUAUGCAAUUGAGUCAUAAAUAAAAUAGUAAAAUUUAGGUGUUAACAGCUGCCCCUCUUUGAAUGGGAGCUCGAAGAGGUUCCAUUCAAAGACAUAAGACACCUAAAUUAUUUCGGCGGUAGAGAGACCCUAACUUCAUAGGCUCACACCUAGUCAAGCUAUGGAAGUGUGUCGUGUCAAUAAGAGGAAAAAAGACUUCAAGCUGCAAAGCACGUCGUGUCAUAAGAAUAAGGAAAACCGCGGGCUACAAAAGUACGUCGUAUCACAAGAAGAAAGAGAGACUCUGGGCUACAAAAGCACGCCAUGUCAUAAGAAGAAAGAGAAACUUCGAGCUACAAAAGCACGCCGUGUUAAAAGAAGAAAGAGAGACCCCGGGCUAUAGAAGCACGCCGUGUCAAAAGAAGAAAGAAAAACCCCCAAAAGCACACCGUGUCAUGAGAGGAAAGAAAAGAUUCCAGGCUACAGAAACACGCCAUGUCAUAAGAAGAAUAAGAGACCUCGGGCUACAGAAGCACGCCAUGUCACAAGAAGAAUGAAAGACCCCAGGCUAUAGAAGCACCGUGUCAUAAGAAGAAGGAAAGACCUCGGGCUACAAAAUCACGCCGUGUCAUAAGAAGAAGAAGAGACCUCAGGCUAUAGAAGCACGCCUUGUCAUAAGAAGAAAGAAAAGACCCCGGGCUACAAAAGCACGCUGCGUCCUAAGAAGAGGAAGAGAUCCCGGGCUACAAAAGCACGGUGUGUCAUAAGAAGAAGAAGAGACCUCAGGGUACAGAAGCAUGACGUAUCAUAAGAAGAAGAAGAGACCAUGGGCUACAAAAACACGUCGUGUCAUAAGAAGAAAGAAAAAUAAGAUAUCACCGUGUAACAACGGAUUUCAACCAGGUUUAAAAUACAUGAUUUAAGGAAAACUCAUGAACCUUCGUAGAUGAUAUGGUUUAAGGUUGACCAUGAACCUUUUGAAAAAUUGUAGUUUAAAGAUAGACUCGUGAACAUUUUAAAAGAGUGGUUUAAGGAUGACCCACAAAUCGGGUGGUUUAAGAAUAGACUCAUGAACCUUGUGGUUUAAGGAUAACCCACGAACCCCGUGGUUUAAGGAUGACCCACCAACCGUGUGGUUUAAGGAUAGACCCACCAAUCGUGUGGUUUAAGGAUAAACCCACUAACCGUGUGGUUUAAGGAUAGACCCACUAAUCAUGUGGUUUAGAUUGGAAAAAAGGUCUCACCGUGUAAAAAUAGGUUUCAACUAGAUAUGAUAGUCUCAUCGUGUACAAAUGGGUUUCGACCGGAUGUGAUAGUUUCACCGUGUAAAAAUGGGUUUCGACUAGAAGAAAUGUCUCACCAUGUACAAACAAGUUUUGACCAAAUAAUAGUCUCACCGUGUACAAACGGGUUUCGACUAGGAGAGAGGUCUCACCGUGUACAAAAGCUUUCGACCGAAUAAUAGUCUCACAGUGUACAAACAGGUUUCUACUGGGAGAAAGGUCUCACCAUGUACAAAUGGAUUUCGACCGGAUGAUAAUCUCACUGUGUACAAAUGGGUUUCAACUGGAUGAUAGUCUCACCGUGUACAAACAGGUUUUUAUUGAGAGAAAUGUCUCACUAUGUACAAACGGGUUUCGACCGAAUGAUAGUCUCACCGUGUACAAACGAGUUUUGACCGGAUGAUAGUCUCACCGUGUAUAAACGGGUUUCGACUAGGAGAAAGGUCUCACCGUGUACAAACGAGUUUCGACUAGAUGAUAGUCUCACCGUGUACAAACGAGUUUCGACCAGAUUAUAGUCUCUCCGUGUACAAACAAGUUUCGACUAGGAGAAAUGUCUCAUUGUGUACAAACGGGCUUCGACUGGGAGAAAGGUCUCACCGUGUAUAAACGAGUUUCGACCAGAUGAUAGUCUCAUCGUGAACAAAUGAGUUUCAACUAGGAGAAAGGUCUCACCGUGUACAAACGGAUUUUGACCAGAUGAUAGUCUCACCGUGUAAAAACGGGUUUCGACCGAAUGCGAACAAGCGUGGUUUAUGAAUGAACCCACAAGCCGUGUGGUUUAGGAAAAGCCACCAACCCCAUGGUUUUGAGGAUAGACCUACCAACCCUAUGGUUUUAGGAUAACCCAAGAACCGUGUGGUUUAAGGAAAAGCCACCAAACCCGUGGUUUUAAGAAUAGACCCACCAACCUUGUGGUUUAAGGAUGACCCAUGAACUGUGUGGUUUAGGAAAAGCCACCAACCCCGUGGUUUAAGGAUAAACCCACCCACCUUGUGGUUUAAUGAUGACCCACGAACCGUGUGGUUUAAGAAAAGCCACAAACCCCGUGAUUUAAGGAUAAAUCCACCAACCUUGGAAACGGCAUGGUUUAAGGCUGACCAUGAACCUUUGGAAAUGGCAUGGUUUAAAGCUAACCAUGAACCUUUGGCUUUAAGGAAGCACCCACUAACCCCUUGAAAUUGCAUGGCUUUACUGAAGAAUCUUGUCAAACUCAACUUGAGCAAAUGUCAUUAGAGACGUCAUCAAGAGACAUAUUGGCAAUAUUGCAGCAUUAAUUGAACAAGCUAAUCAAGCUAAAUCCGACUACUUUAGAAGAACAUUCGAUGUCAAUCAACAUCAUGUGGCACAAAACUAUCAUCUUGUUCGGGGAUAUAUCAUCAAUCAUCAAAUUCUUUAGGAGUCAAGUUCUUAUCAGAAUGGCUACGACUCGUGAAAAAGGCUCAUUAAGCAUGCCAAACCAGAGCUUCUUAGUCAGAAAGGGUUUCUCACACACUCUUGAUAAAAUAGCUGAUUGAUCCCAUCUAUUCACGUGGGAAGUAACUGAUUGCUUAGGGUAUCUCACAUAACCCAUGUCAAAGACUUUCAAAAACAUUCGCGAUGAGCACAAUCUGAUCGAUCAAAAGGACUUUUGAAUGGACCAUAAUAUAGGCUCGAUUAGGGCUUACACAAAGGAAUUAUUGCUUUGAGGCCAAUAAAGGAACAUUUAUCACUAUCUUCAUCGGGUUUACAAGUCAAGAACUCGGAAGAUAAGAUAAGAUAGAAUUACCUCCACUCCUUCAAGCAGUAGCUUCUUUGUUGCAUUCUCAUUUUCACUCAAACCAUCCCAAUUAGAAGAGACUGAAAGAGAGUUGUAAUGUUGGCUUGGGAAAGGCUCGAAAGGCUUAAAAUUUUCAAUAGGGUUUUUAAGAGUCGGUGAUCAUCAUGGCAUCAUGACCAGGUCACUCGAUCUUUCGAAAUCAUUUGGCUUUUAAAACACAACGCAUCUCGAAAGUCCCUUAACUAAUCAUUUCUACAUGGAAGCUUUGCUCCUUCCUCUAAUUUCCUUUGCACUUGCGAUGAUCUUUUUACGCACACAAUUGGACUUUGAUCAUUUUUCUUUCACAUAGGAUGCAGCCUUUUGGCUCUUUUUUUUUUUUUUUUUUACGGGCAUUGGCCUUACUUUUACCAAGCACAUUGCUAUUCAUGCCCCCUAAUUUUGUUGAACUUUUUCUCUUUGAACCUUUGAAGCUCUUUUGACUUUCGAAAUACUUUUCACAUUUUAGUAAAUGUCAAUUAUAUGUGGUCGAUCCUUAGCCCUUGCCCCAGUGAAGGGAGAUGAUCACCACUCGGGGUUCAGAAAUAAACAAUCAAGCCCAAAUUGGUUAAACCAACAGGUAUCAAUGUUUUGGUAGAGAAGGAAAUGUUCUUCUUCACCUUGGGAUGAGUUAAGCUCUGAUGAGAAUUCUUUUGAAGCUAUCAUUAGAAGAUUGAUGCAAGUGGAAGUAAUACAAUUUUUCUCAAUCUUUCUCUCUACAACACGACCGUAACCUCCUAUGCUGCCCCAAUGUAGGGUCGUUCUCCACAGGGGUACUUUGAAGGCUUAUCUUUAUUCGACCCAAAGGGUUAGCAAGAGAUUAAUGCAAUGCUUGGAAUUGAUAAAGGAAACGCCUUUACCACUUCGAUCUUUGCGCUCAAUGCGAAUGAAUCAUUUGUCCUAAGAGAAUGUCGCUUUUCACUCAACUCUCAAAAGUGUUUAAAGGACGUGUUUGGAAAUAGCUUACCUUUCUUCAUCCUAAGCACUUCUUGUUUGGCAUGGUUAACGUUUUACCUUUCACUCUGCCGAGGUCAUAUGAGUAGAUCAAUCUCCAUAGGGAAAUUUUAUUCAAAAUGAAUAACCCACCAAACAAGAAAACAAUUUUGAGAUAAAAAGAUGUUCAAAAAGUUUGUAGAAUUUUUUUUUCAAAUAUUCAUUUGUGUGCUCGUCUCUAGGAAAAUGCAAAAGGUUCUUUUUUGUAAUGGAAAUUCUCCGUUUUUUUUUUUUUUUUAAAAUUUGAGAAGAAGGGUACUUACCUGCGGCAUGGUGACCUGGUAAUCCUAUAAAGAAUGUAAAAGAAUAUGUUAGUGCAAAAAUCUUUAGGGAUUGAAAUGUUGGAAACAAUACAUUAUUACCCUUCACUCGCUUUUAUCCUUUGAGGGCUAACAUCUCUUGGAUUCACCAUCGUGGAUAUUUGGUAAUUUGGCAUUACCCUUCACUUGCAUUUGCCUUUAAGCAUUUGAUGUCUUCCUAUUAAAAGAAAGAAAGAAUUUUGUCAGAGACGCUAUCAAAAUGAGCAAUUGGAAUCAACACCAUUUACCCUUCACGUGUUUCCGUUCUUCAGGUAUGAACUUUGCUUGAAGUUGCUAGAAUUGAUUGGAAAAUGGCUAUGUGACCCUAAUUGUAUCCAUGAAAAGCACUUCUUUAUUGUAUACAACAAUUGACAAUGUUCCUUUCUGAAGAGACAUUUAACUGACAAGGAGCUUGAAAAUUUUAUAUAUGGAUCAUGAAAUGUGUUUUUCAAGAUCUUGCUUUGAAAAGAGAGUGGGUGCUCCCUAUUUCUACACUUGGGACAUUGUUCUUUAGAUGCUUUGCCCCAUUUAUUGCCUGUAAAGAAAAGAUUGAACAUUUUAUUUCCAUACUCGAUUGGAAAUCAUUUAGGAACUAUACACAUCCCUUUAUUUUACCUAUUUAACAAAAAUGGAUGAAAGAAUGAGUCGUUAUAUCAAAAGUUCCCACUGGAACGAUUACAACCUUACCAUCUCAAAGUAUCAUUUAUGGACCAACGCGAUAAAGCGACUAAAUGAAGAGAUAAAAUUUUACGCAGAUCCUUCUCAAAACUCUUUUUUUCAAAAAAUUUCGAAGCUAAGGUAUAACAACUCAGCUCUAAGGGUCCAUUUGAAAUACUUUAAGUGUUUUUUUUUUGGAUAAGUACACUAAUGGUGCCAUAAGUUGUGUACGGCGCUUACUUUGGUGCCAAAAGUUUCCGUCGGAUCACUUAAGUGCCAAAAAAUUUGAAAAAUGCUCACUUUGGUACCAACGCCGAUCUGAUUGGCUGGAAAUCUAAUGUGGCAUUUUUUAUUAAUUUUUUAGGCUGACGUGGCUUGCCGGAGAGCAUAAUCAACAUCUAAACCACAAAAACGACGUCGUUUGGCUUCUUUCCCCCAAAUCGAAACCCUAAAUCCCCAAAUUGAGAGAGAGAGAGAGAGAGAGAGAGAGAGAGAGAGAGAGGGGAGAGAGAGGAGGCACGUCGUCUUCUUCCUUGAAGAGCGACACUAGCAGCGAACGGCACCAACAGCAACACCAGCAGCGCACCAGUAGUAGCACCAACAAUGGCACCAGCGGUGGCGGCGGCGACGCACCGGUUGCGGCACCUUCAACCCCUCUUCUUCCUCCUCCUCCUCCGCCUUGCCUCCUAUUCUUUCUGCCACUUUUUGUUUGAGCAACAAUCUCAUUCCCUCCUCGUUCACCUAGUCGAGCAUCUACAAUGGUGGCCAAGCGACGGUGGCUGAGCGUUGGCGGGCGAACAACGGUGGCCGAGCAGCGAGGAGAAACCCUAACCCUAAUUUCAACCCAUGUACGAGCUAAACGGCAUCAUUUUUGUGAGGGUGUCCACGUAUAAGAGCAAAACGAUGUCAUUUCUUGAAGAGGAUGAAAAACGACGUCAUUUAAAAGCUGAGCAACUUUUUUUUUUAAAUAAAAAAGCCACGUAAUCAUUUUGGCCGGAAUUUCUCGCGCGGUGGCACCAAAGUGAUCGUUUUUUCUCCGAUUUGGCACUUAAGUGAUCCGGCGGAAACUUUUGGCACCAAAGUGAGCGCCGUACACAACUUAUGGCACCAUUAGUGUACUUAUCCCGUUUUUUUUUUUUUUUAAAGAAUGAUGUUUUUUUAUGAAAUCAAAUUUAAUUACUUAAAAAUGUGAGUUGCAUGAUUUACAAAAGUGCCGAUUAGGCUCACAUGCAAAACUCGAAACUAAAAAUAUAGUCUACCAAGAAUAAAGACAAUGAUAUCAUACAAAACACGCUUGCAUAUAUUAGCCUAUAAAUCCAUUCUUAUCCUAAUUCUAAAGUCGACUUCUUGGCAUGAUCAAGCGAGCGAAGUCAAGAAAUGUCAUCACGCAUGACCUACGAAAAGAAGACAAUUUAGUGUGUGAAUGAAAAAUUGAUCUUUCAAUGAGGUCGCCUCUGAUAGCAAAAUCAUGAUGACGGUACCUGCCCCAUAGCCCAUAUUAGGGGAUUUUGGAAUUUCACCAAGAUUUUUCAUAAGAGAAGGGGCAUAAUAAAAAGAUCAAUCGGCGGCUAUCAAUCGAAUGUCCAUUUUAUUCCAAAAGUUUCAUAUGCAAAAGUGGCAUUGAGUUUUGAAAGAUUAAUUUGUGAUUUUUACUCAUAGAAAAAUGAGAUGACUUUUGUUUUGAGAAAUCUAUACACAAAAUGGAGAGAACUUGAUUAAAAAUGCAAUUUCAAUUUUGUGCCCCAAUGUACAAUUGCAACUUGAAUUUUUUUUUUUUCAAAAUGCGAUUUUGAGCCCAUAAUUAGAAAUUUAAAUAAAACCAUACGUUCAACAAGGCCAAAUCAAAGUGUUUAGAACUUGCAUUCAGUGUUCACUUAUCAAGAGUGAUUGCUAGGCAUUCGAUUAAUUUCCACAAAUUUCAAGAUGAAAAUUUAAUUAAAAAAAAAGAAAAAAAGAAUGAUACUCACAAGGGAGACGACUUUACUCUCCUUUUUUUUUUUUGUUGCAAUUACAUAGACAUGCACAUGGGAUGUGGUUUGACUUCUACUCUAUACGGCUCAAAAUGAAGCCACGGGAUCACCAGACCGAACCCACAAGGUCACGGCCAAGUCGGGUUACCUAUGACUCCGGCUUCGUCAAAGAACUAACUCGUGUUGCACGGUUGCAGACUAGGGUGGGGACCUUUGACAUCAAGAAAGAAAUUUCAAAAUCAAGAUGGGCGACUCAUACUAUAUGGUUGUAGUCGGAGUGGUAUCCAUCUCGACACCAUCCUAAGAAAUCUUAUGUGGCCCCGGUCCGACAGUGGGUUGUGUGUGUUAGGGUGUAGUGCAAUGCAAAGGAUACAUGCACAACAAUUUAUAGGCAAACAACACUCCGUACAUGAAAUGUAAACCAUACACUCCUACACUUUUCUGCAAGACAAAGGUGAGCAAACACUUCCCUUUAUACCUCAAAACUGCAAAAACAUUUAACACUCGCGUUAGAGACGUACCUAAUAUCCCCCUUGCCAAACAAAAAUAUUUUUGAAUAGUUUAAAACCAAUUCCCCAACGGAAUCGCCAAACUAUCACGACCUAUCCUUGGGGGGGGGGGGGAAUAGGUUUAGGGGUAUUGCCUAAAAGAUAAGCUUAUGGCCCAUGAUUAGACACGGACUCUCCCAAGCUCAUACCCCGCAUGACAUUGGGAUAUUUUUUAGGAAUUUUGCACAAAAUGAGUCACCACUAGCCUAUUGGGGUCGGCUAGAAACCAAGUGAGGCAUGGGAGUGUACCUCACUUCCUACGCAACCAAAGAGUUUAGGGUCCGAGACUUGAUUACACUAAUUGACCAAUUGGUGCCCUUUCGGUACAUAAUCUUGUUCAUUUUAGAAUAAAAAUAUUUUUGUCAAGCAAUUUGGAUUGAUUUUACACUUAUCCACUAACAUGCGAGGUGAUCAUGUAGGUAUGUAAUCAUUGAAGUAACAAUCAUAACUACCAAGAUCCUCAUUGCAGUAAAAUUGAACGCGUGCAAUUAGACAUCCACAAUCGUAAUUAAACAUGAAAAUAAAACGUGCUAUAUAAUCAAUAAACAAGCAAAUAAAGGCAUAAUUACACUAAAAAGGCAAUACAUAGCAAUUCCUAACCAAACACCAUCAUUUUUGGAUUUUUGAAAUUUUUUAUUUUUUUAAUUUAAAAAUAAUAAUAAAAUAUAUUUUUUUCGGACUGGACCGGGUUCGAUCCGGUCUGAUCCGAUCAAGGUGGGUCAUUCAGACUCGCCCGGGUUCAGCUCGCCCAAAAUAUAAGGCCCGACCAGCCUUGGUCGGGCCUUUGUGCAACUGGAUUGGGCUCGGGCCUUCGUGCAGCUAGAUUGGGCCGAAUCGAUAGGCCCAACCUCUACUUCCCCCCACGCAGGCCUGUGACCUAAACUGGCCCACAAGCCCACAAGCCCAAAUCCAGCCCUGAUUCGCGCCCAACCUAGCUCCUAAACCGCAACCCGAUUCCUAAGAGAACCCUACUCGAAUCCGACCUGGCUUCGACCCAACUUCUAACCUUCUUCUUUAAGGGCUCUACGUUGAUGGCAGCGGCAAUGCGUCGGGCGGCGGCCACGGGCAGUGAGGGGCAAUGGCGCUUAGGCGAGCUGGCUCGGCGAUGCUCGUGACGCAGGCAUUGCAACAACGUCGGGUUAAAGCGGGGCAACGUUCAGAGCUCCCCCGAGGGGUAGUAGGGUGGUAGUGAGUAGCUGGAGUUGUGGGUGCUGCAACAGGGGCGCAAAGGCAGUGACCAGCAGAAGGAUCGGGUUGUUGGUGUCAACGGCAACAACGGCGGGCGCUGCGAGUCUGCAUUUAGAGGGCAAUGGCGGCGUCGCAGCUUCAGGCAGAGGAAGGUACGGCAGCAGGGGCAACGAUGCUUGGGCGAGCUGUUGCGGUGUCAGCGACAGAGGGUGGAAGCGGCGAUGGCAGGCGGAGGUGCAACGUCGACGACGCCUCCUCUGGUUUCUCUCCCUCUUCGACUUUUCCCUUUUUAGUCCCCUCUCCUCUCUCUCUCUCUCUCUCUCUCUCUCUCUCUCUCUCUCUCUCUGAAUCUCUCCCCUCUGUUGUGCCUUCGCUAUUCUCCCUUUCUACUUCAGAUUUGGGUUCCAGGGAAGAUGGCGGCGAACGACAUCAAUAGGGUGGCUCGUCAGUGGCGGUGACGGUGGCCCGGAGGCUCCUCCUCCUGCUCACGCCCCUGUUGUCUUUUUCUCUCUCUCUGUCCACUCUCACGUCUCUCUCACUUGUCUUCUCCGUUGCUGCCGUUCCCCUCUACUUCUGCUUUUUGCUAUCUUUCCUUUUCUUUUGCUGCAGGUUCGUGCAAGACAGGCUGGAGGAGGACGAAGGCUAGCGUGGGCCAGGCCAAAAGGUAAACAGGCUUGGGCCGAUGAGCUAACAUGCAGGGACGCACCGAGGCGAGGCGAGUAUGUUUGUGGUGCUUGUUUAGGCAACCUUUGGGCGAAUUUGCGUGGUCAAACCCUCAGCGAGUCAAACCCUAAGCCCCAAUUAGGAGAUUUGCUGAGUGCAGAUGUGGUGGGUGCGAGGUGCUUGUAUGGGAUUUGUUAUAACGGUUUGGCCUUAUAAUCAGGACUCAUGUGAUUAUUUGAUGGAUGAAUUGAUGUGUUCCGUUUAUUAAUUGCUCUGGUUGCAUUGAUAAUAGAAUAUGUGAUGAGCUAACAUGCAGGGACGCACCAAGGCGAGGCAAGUAUGUUUGUGGUGCUUGUUUAGGCAGCCUCUGGGCGAAUUUGCGUGGUCAAACCCUCAGCGAGUCAAACCCUAAGCCCCAAUUAGGAGAUUUGCCGAGUGCGGAUGUGGUGGGUGUGAGAUGCGACACAUUUUGGAUGGCUUUGCUGUUAGCAAAGUUUAGGGUGACCCUAGUCCCUAAAGGUCUUGAGAGGGUUGGUCAGAAGUUGCUAGUGUAAGGACUUGUAAAUCAUUAAACUUCCUAGGGACAACAGUGAUUGAAUAAAUAAGUUGUUUUCAGCAACUUUUGUUGUGUGUUUUCACUAUCUCCAUAUGUUUAUUUGUUUGUUGACCGGGGUUUAUUUAAUUUGUUUUCGCAUGUGCUUAAUUGAAAGAAUAAAAAAAAAGAAUGGGUCGGCAAUGCGUCUUGGGGCGUUGCAUUUUUAAUCAACCACGGAGGAAUGCACGCGCACUUGGAGUUUGGGGCGUGACACAAACAGGCCCUAACAUGAUAAAAUCAACGUAGUUAGACAUGAGCCUGCUAGAAAUCUAGCUCGUUCCGGUGGAUAACGGGCUGAACAAUUGUACAAGAGCAAACAAAAAGGCAAAAUUUUCGUCAAGGACACAUUUGAUGGGGGAGGAAGACGGAAACAUGAAGAAGAAGCUUAAUAUAUCGAGAUCAACACUAGUGUGACAUCCUAAAUUUUCCUUCUAUUUAUUACGUUGGCCAUUAUAGUGCAAUGUAGAAGUAUGAUUUCAUGUUAAAUAUAUAAGCUAAAACAUCAGUGACAAGCCAAAAAUAGGCUUUACGUGUAUAUGGUUGGGUACCUUUCCAAUAUUUAGGGGAGAUUUUUUUUUUUUUUGGAUAAUAUGUUAUUUUUUUUGUCUGUCUUUAUUGUUUUUAAUUUGUUUGAGAAUACCUUCGCAUCAUACCUCUAAAGCAUCCUUUUUUAUUCUUUUAAAUGCAGAUGGGUCUGCCAGAUGAAGACAUGGAGUCUUUUUGAUGUGUUCUUUGAACUGUUUAAUAAUAUUUGUGUGAAUAGAUUACCAUUUGGUUUUUUUUUUCUUUGUAAUCACUGAUAUAAAAGUUUACAAAUGACGUUAAUAUUUGAGAAGAAAUCCAGGACAGAAUCGAGACUUCACAGCAAUUUUUGUAGUUGGGUUUUGUCUUUGAUUUCAUUUGGAAUCCGUGAAUAUUUAGAUAUUUCGAUUAGAAUAAUAAUUCAUUGGCAAGAAAUCUGAUUUUCAUUUGAAAAAGGGAUACUUAGGUAGGGGAAACCACCAAUCCAUUCUUUCUAACUAUUUUUAUGAAAAUAGAUAUGUGUUUGAAAUGGUGAUCAAUACUUGAAGAAUAAAUAAGAACAUCAUCAAUAUAGACCAUGAAUUGAGAAUAUGGAUUGAAAAUUAAUUUAUAAUCCUCUUAAAUUCUGCAAGAGCAUUUUUGAAGUCCAAAUGACAUGACAUUCCAUUAAUUUAUAUCAAGAUUUGAGAAAAUUUUGGGAUCGUGAAAUCUACUGAGUAGAUCUUUUCUGUUUAGUAUCGGAUAUAUAACUCCAUUUAAGGGCUUUAAUCAAUGGUUUGUCUUUGAUGAUUUGACGACGAGUCGAGGGACUUUUCCGUCGAGUUUAGCAGUCGUAUACACGUUGAAUGCAAAACAACUCAGGGAGACUGACUUUUGUUAACGAGUUUUUUAUCUAGGAAAAAUCCUUUUGAAAAAUUGCAGAACUAGUUCAUUCACUCGGAAAGGUGUAGCUUUGCCGAGAAUUUGAUUUGCCGAAAGUCGGGUUCAUAAUGAAUGUAAGCAAUACGUUUCUUCCUUUCCCAGAAACACAGCGUCGGUGGGAAUUUGAUGCGUUAUUCUUGCAAAGAGAGCGUUCCAUGCCACACAAACAUAGAAAGGUAUUUACAAGGUCUUUGUUCAUAUAACAAUAACCAUACGGAGUUGCAGCUGUCCUGAAGAUUAUUUUUUGCACUGAGCUAAACCCUUUUGUGCUAACAUUAUAGCACUCCAACUCAGGGCGGAGCAAUUCUUCAUGCGAAAUAUAUAUAUCUCGAAUUACCUGACACACGAACCCAUUGAUCCUCUGGAAACAAUCUAGGCCACCACAGGGUAUGAUGCACAAGUAGCGACUCCUGCAAUUUAAGAACAUUAGAUGAGCACGGAGUAACUUACUAGGAAAUUAAUCAAAGAAUGAAUGGACAUGAACUGAAAGACUGCGAGGAUUUCAAAAGCGUAUAUUUUGGUUAAUACUACUAAAAUCAAAGAAUUUUAUAUAGGAGGGGACUUACCACACAUGUUCUUUCCCAUCUCCAUCUUGAAGUAUCCGUGGUCACCCCAGUCUGCUCCCCAGGAAUUCUUGAUGAGCCAGAACGGAACACCAUCUUCAACUCCAUAACCAACAGCGAGAACAGCAUGGUUCACAUCCUAAUAUAGGACAUUCAGCUUACAUUAGACGAGAGCAUGAACAUCGCCUUGCAUGCAAAACUUAUUCUCGACAAGAUAGGUACUCAAGUAAAUGUCAUGGUUGAGAUUUAUCGACAUAUAGAAGGCUCUCUAAUUCCUGCACACUGGCAUCCUUCAAACAUGAUCGAGAUGGAGAUAGUGCUCCUUUCAUUAUAUUAGUAAUGCUCACCAUGGAAGUGCUACCACAUGUAUCGCUUGUGUAGACACCCGACUUGUAGAUUCUGAACUCUCUCACGACCUGGAAUGCCACACUCACUGGCCGGACCACGGCAACUGCAUGCUUUAGUUCAUCCUCAGCACCCUGAAUCCACCAUGUAUGCAAAUUUAAACAGAUCAGCAAUUUGAAUCUAUCUUUAUGCAAUUUCUUUUCUUUUUCCUUUUCUUUUCGCUAACUCUACAGAUAGUCCACAAAACUUACCAAGGUGAUGUUAAGAGAGUCGGCCGAGAAUUUGCAGGUACCAUCCUCUGCGGUAUAAGGAUAUGCUUCCUCGGUAUCAAGGCCACCAUUGUACUUGAAGUACUCGAAGGCUUGGGAUGGCAGUCCACCACUACAUCCAAAGUUGUUGAAAGCCCCAGCGCAGUCCACGAGCUGCUGCUCAGACAGAGAGAUUUGUUUCCCGAAUGCUUGGUGAUAAGCAGCCUUAAGAGCUCCAGUGAUACUGCAAAAGUUCAAAUUAGAGGUCACCAGCAGCCUAGCAUAAUGACAUUUCAAUGAGUUCCAGAGCUAUAACUGUUGGGGAGAACCCGGGUACAACAAUUCACCACGGCCAAACUCAAUCCAGGAUCAAUUUCUCCCCCGAAGCUAAAUCAACUAAAAUUUUCUUAACCCCAGCAACAACCAGCAAUGUAUAGCCUCACAAAAUGCAAAUAUAACGCCGAAAUGAUAAGUAGACAAAGCAAAUAACGACACCAAGGAUUUAACGUGGAAAACCCGAUGCGGGAAAAACCACGGACCGCCCAAAAACAUCCACUAAUCACCAAGAAUAGCAGGAUACACAAAGUACUCUUCUCUAGUCACACACUAGAGUCUCAACAUCAACAUUACAAUCAUCUUCUUCUCACCACAUAGGUAGACAAACAAGUUUGGAGCAAGAAAACCUUAACCGCAACUGGAGAAUUUGGAGACGGUUCUCGACGAACAAAAACCAUCAACUCGUAGCCCUCGGUCUCACGAACAACAUACUGAAAUUUGAGCCGAUUCCGAUAAUAUUUGGCCUUCGAAUCAAAGCCGCAAAGUUGCAGCGCUCUUCCUCUCUUCUCUUUCUCCUUUGUGCAGUUUUUUUUUUGUUUUCUCUCUCUCUCGUCACUUUUCCGGGAGCACACACCACGUACGAUAACUCCCUUUCUUUUUAUUCUUUUUCUUUUCUUUUGUUCUUUUUUUUUUUUAAUGCUGGUUGGGCCCCACAUGAAGGUGGACCCAGCCAACAAAUCUCCCCCUCCACCUCAUGUGGGAAGAUUUGUCAUGCCCGCUUUUCUUCUACAAGCAUCAAGCUUCAUCACGGGCAAGGCUUUGGUCAUCAUGUCGGACUUAUUGUUGUCGGUAUGAACUUUCUCAAGUAGGAAGAGCUUCUCUUCUAGCUUUUCUCGGAUCCAAUGAUACUUCACAUCAACAUGCUUCGAUCUUGAAUGAAACACCGGAUUCUUGCUAAGAUGGAUGGCACUCAUGCUAUCGCAAUAUAGAACAAACUUCUCUUGCUUCAAGCCCAACUCUUGUAGGAAUUUUUGCAUCCACAAAAGUUCUUUACCUCCUUCGGUAAUAGCAAUAUACUCCGCUUCAGUUGGAGACAAAGCGGUACAUUUUUGCAAUCUCGAUUGCCAUGAAACAGCUCCCCCUGCAAAGAUUAUUAUAAACCCCGAUGUGGAUUUUCGGGAAUCAACAUCACCGGCAUAGUCCGCAUCUGAGUAGCCACUCAACUCAGGCUUUGCAUUUCCAUAACACAAGCAAAGUGUAGAAGUGCCUCUAAGAUAUCUCAUAAUCCAUUUAACAGCAAUCCAAUGCUCCUUACCUGGAUUAGAGAGAAAUCUACUCACAACACCAACUGCAUGAGCAAUAUCCGGUCUUGUACAAACCAUGGCGUACAUCAAACUACCCACGGCCGAUGCAUAAGGAAUUUUCAUCAUCUCAACCUUCUCUUUCUCACUUGAAGGACACUCAUUACUACUCAACUUGAAAUGGCCUGCAAGUGGAGUACUCACCGGUUUACAUGUGCUCAUGUUGAAUCUUUCAAGCACCUUCUCAAUAUACUUCUCUUGAGAUAACCACAGUUUCUUAUUCUUCCUAUCACGAGUAAUUCUCAUGCCUAAGAUUUGCUUAGCCAGGCCUAGGUCUUUCAUUGCAAAAGCUUUACUCAACUCAUUUUUCAAACUCUUGAUUUUCUUGGCAUCAUGCCCAACAAUCAAUAUAUCAUCCACAUAAAGUAGGAGAAUAAGAAAAUCAUUAUUUGAGAAUCUUUUCAUAAAAACACAAGAAUCGGAAUUUGUCUUACCGUAUCCUUAUUCUUCCAUGAAUGACUCAAACUUCAUAUACCAUUGCCUAGGCGCUUGCUUGAGACCAUAUAAACUUUUCCUAAAUCUACAUACAAGGUGCUCCUUGCCUUCAACUUCAAAACCUUCUGGUUGCUCCAUAUAUAUCUCCUCUUCUAGGUCUCCAUGAAGAAAAGCCAUCUUUACAUCAAGUUGUUCAAUUUCUAAAUUUAAACUGGCGGCCAACCCAAGAACAACUCGAAUAGAAGACAUCUUUACAACCGGUGAAAAAAUCUCUUCAAAGUCUAUGCCCUUCUUUUAACGAAAGCCCUUCACAACAAGUCUAGCCUUGUAUCGUGGUUGUAAACUAUUUUCUUCUGUCUUCAACUUAUACACCCACUUAUUUGUGAGUGUUCUUUUAUCCUGAGGCAACCUCACCAAUUCAAAUGUGUGGUUCUCAUGCAAGGAUUUAAGCUCCUCUUGCAUGGCUUCAUGCCACUCAUUCUUUCUUUCACAUGAUAUAGCCUCUUCAUAAGUUUCUGGCUCCCCUGCAUCAGUGAGUAACACAUACUCAUGUGGCAAAUAUUUUUGAGAAGGCCUACACUCUCUUUCAGAUCUUCUAACUUGAGGUAGGAUAAAUUGCUCUUCCUCAGCUAUUUCACUUGUGUCAGCUGAAGAAUCAACAUUAUGUGAGGACUCACCAUCUUCACGACUUCCUUGCACUUCUCCCCCAUAAUUUCUAUCAACAUUAGAAGGAUUUGGGCUGAAACUAAUUGAACGUUGAGCUGUAUUCUUUGGUCUCUCCACCUUGUCAAUGUCUUCAAUAGUUUGAUACUCACAAAACACCACAUCUCGACUUCUAAUGACUUUCUUUGCAACUGGAUCCCAUAACCUGUAGCCAAACUCUUCAUGUCCAUAACCUAAGAAGAUACACUGUUUAGACUUGUCAUUAAGCUUGGAUCUUUCAUCUCUUGGAACAUGCACAAAUGCCCGACAUCCGAACACUUUUAGAUGGCUAUAGGAAACAUAUUUGCCACUCCAAACUCUUUGCGGAACAUCCCCCUUAAGAGGAACCGAUGGAGAAAGAUUUAUCAAGUCUAUUGCUGUUCUUAUCGCUUCACCCCAAAAUGACUUAGGCAACUUCGCAUGAGAAAGCAUACACCGAAUUCGAUCAUUAAUUGUCCGGUUCAUUCUCUCUGCCACUCCAUUAUGAUGUGGUGUUUUCGGAACAGUCUUCUCAAGCUUGAUACCAUAAUCCUUGCAAUAGUGUUCAAAUGGGCCUCUAUAUUCACCACCGUUGUCAGCCCGAACACAUUUCAGCUUAUUCCCGGUUUCUCUUUCCACAUUGACAUGAAAUUGCUUGAAAGCCUCAAGCACCUGAUCUUUAGAUUUCAAAGCAAUAGCUCACACUUUUCUAGAACGGUCAUCAAUAAAUGUCACAAAGUAUAAUGCACCUCCAAGAGUUCUAGCAUCCAUGCAACAAACAUCAGUGUGAACUAAAUCAAGUACAUUUAAUUUCCUGUGUGGAGAGGAACUCUGAAAUGAGAAUCUAUGUUGCUUACCAGUCAGACAGUGAGUGCAUUCCUUUAGAUUUUUCUCUUUCAAAGGUAAAAGGUUCUUUCUAGCAAGAGUUUCAAGUCCUUUCUUGCUAGGAUGACCCAACCUCAUAUGCCAUAAAUCAACCAAUGAAUCCUCCACUGCAUUUACCUCUUCUUUAAUCAAGUCAGCUUGCAUGGUGUAGAGAGAGCCUGUCUUCUUACCUUUUGCCACUACCAUGGAACCUUUAGUCAACUUCCAUUUGCCAUCAAAGAAUGAAUUACAAUAACCAUCAUCAUCCAAGGCACCCGUAGAGAUCAAGUGAAGUUGAAUAUCCGGAACAUGUCUCACAUUUUUCAAAAGCAAAUUACAUCCGAUAUCGGUUUCCAAAUAAACAUCUCCCAUGCCAAUAACCUUGGAAACAUCACUAUUUCCCAUCCUUAUGCAACCAAAGUCACCGCUGCGAUAAGAAGCAAAGUAAUCACGCCGUGAGGUGACAUGAAAAGAAGCUGCGGAAUCAACAACCCACAUAGAGUCUUGGCAUGUAAAAUUCACAUAUCCGUCAUCACAUACAAACACAAUAUCGCCAUCGGAUGCAACCGCCGUUGUAGCUUGUUUCUCUUCUUUCUUUUGAUCUCCAUUUCUAUCAUGGAAUCUAUCUCUCUUUGGCAACCAACACUCUUUUGCAUAAUGUCCCAUUUUGCCGCAAUUAUAACACUUGACACUCCUCCUCGGUCUUGAUUUCGACCUUCCUCUUGACUUGCCUUGGGUAUCAUUUCUUUGAAACCUUCUUGAUUGACUUCUCCCCCUGUUUUCUAUAACAAGAGCAUCCGAUGUAGAGGCAUAAUUCAAGCCUUUUCUUCUUGUUUCUUCAUUGAACAAGCUUUCUUUAACCAUGCUCAUAGAAAGCACACCAAAAGGAGCCGAGUUAUUUAAUGCCACAACCAAGGUAUCCCAACUAUCAGGAAGAGUACCAAGUAAUAAGCAUGACUGCAAUUCAUCACCAAGAUCAAUCUCAAGAUUUGUCAAUUGAUUUACAAUAUCUUGAAAUUCACUCAAGUGUUCCGCCAUGUUACUCCCCUCAUUGUAUCUCAAAUUCACAAGUCGCUUAACUAGAAGAGCUUUGUUUUGUGGAAUUUUUCUCUCAUAAAGAUCUUGUAAUUUCUUCCACAAAGUAUCUGCCCUCGUUUCUUGAGCAACAUGAUGAAAAACACUAUCAUCAAUCCAUUGUCGGAUAAACCCAACUGUUUUCCGAUUCAUUCUCUCCCAUUCUUUGUCUUCCUUAUCUCCUUUUGCUUCAUCACCCUCAAUAGGAUCAAAUAAGUCUUUGCAAUAUAACACAUCUUCCAUCCAAGGCUUCCAAAUAGAAUAAUUCGAGGCAUUUAACUUAAACAUGGUGCUGCUGGUUUCUUCCAUUUAACACUAAAAUUCAACCUGGCUCUGAUACCACUUGUUGGGGAGAACCCGGGUACACCAAUUCACCACGGCCAAACUCAAUCCAGGAUCAAUUUCUCCCCCGAAGCUAAAUCAACUAAAAUUUUCUUAACCCCAGCAACAACCAGCAAUGUAUAGCCUCACAAAAUGCAAAUAUAACGCCGAAAUGAUAAGUAGACAAAGCAAAUAACGACACCAAGGAUUUAACGUGGAAAACCCGAUGCGGGAAAAACCACGGACCGCCCAAAAACAUCCACUAAUCACCAAGAAUAGCAGGAUACACAAAGUACUCUUCUCUAGUCACACACUAGAGUCUCAACAUCAACAUUACAAUCAUCUUCUUCUCACCACAUAGGUAGACAAACAAGUUUGGAGCAAGAAAACCUUAACCACAACUGGAGAAUUUGGAGACGGUUCUCGACGAACAAAAACCAUCAACUCGUAGCCCUCGGUCUCACGAACAACAUACUGAAAUUUGAGCCGAUUCCGACAAUAUUUGGCAUUCGAAUCAAAGCCGCAAAGUUGCAGCGCUCUUCCUCUCUUCUCUUUCUCCUUUGUGCAGUUUUUUUUUGUUUUCUCUCUCUCUCGUCACUUUUCCGGGCGCACACACCACGUACGAUAACUUCCCUUCUUUUUAUUCUUCUUCUUUUCUUUUGUUCUUUUUUUUUUUAAUGCUGGCUGGGCCCCACAUGAAGGUGGACCCAGCCAACAAUAACUGUGUCAUAUACUACGGAGAGACAAAUAUAAAUUUAAAAGAAAAUAAAGAAAAACCUGAAAGUCCAGCAAGAUCCACAGUGCCCCUGAUCUUUAAUUGGGCUUACAAUGCCCUUUUCUCUCCAGUCUUUCUGCACAUAUGAAGGAUUGGAAGAAAUUGAAUAUCUAAUAUUGACAUAGGUCUUAAUCUUCAAUGAUUAGCUAAUAGAUUCUACAGCAAUCAGCAAUCUAUUCCUAGGUCUCAUGGGAAGCGUUGAAACCCUGAGCGGGGGAAUGAUCGUUUCAGCAAGCAUUUUCAUUUGGCAAACAAGUGAACAAAAAAGUCCAGUCGACAUCAUGGAUGAAGCUAAUGGAUUUUUGGUACUAUAACUGAACCGUGUUUGACAAGAUGCUCUCUGUUGGUUGCUACCCUGAUGUUGCUACCUUUACUUCCUUAAUUGAUGGGCAUUGUCGAGUGGGGCAGGUGAAUGAGGGCUUGAAGCUUUGGCGGCUGAUGUCUGCUAGGAACAUAUCACCCAAUGCUUAUACCUUUUCAGUACUUAUCAACGCAUUAUGUAAGGAUAAUAGGUUGCACGAUGCUCGUGAAUGUUUAAAACAGUUGAGGUGGACGGAUAUUGUCCCAAAACCAUUUAUUUACAAUCCAGUAAUGGAUGGGUUCUGCAAAGCAGGUAACGUAGAUGAGGCAAACAUAAUAUUGGCGGAGAUGGAGGAGAAGGGAUGCAGACCUGAUAAAUUGACAUUUACAAUUCUCAUCAUUGGGCAUUGUAUGAAGGGGAGAAUGAUAAAAGCAAUGAGAAUUUACUAUAAGAUGCUGUCGGUUGGUUGUGCUCCUGACAGCAUCACAGUCAAUUCUUUUGUCUCUUGCCUUUUAAAGGCUGGGAUGGCUAAUGAAGCCUUUCACAUAAGGCAAACUGCCUUGGAGGGCCUGAAUUUGGGUCUAUCCUCUUUAAAUAGGGCUGUUCCUGCUACAAUGAAUGCAGACAUUCUUGUGGCUGUUUGAUGGAAGGUUGCCAUGUGCUGGGCUUCAAUUUUUUGCGGCUCGACUGAUUGAGUGAUGUCCUUCCACCGUCAUACAUCCUCGCAGUUGUAUAGCUUCUUGCACGAAUCAGUUAUGAAGCUGUAAGUAAUCUGGCCGACUCGUUAUUUGAAAUUAGUAAUAUAAUAAUUCUUGUUGUGCUAUUUGCGAAAGCUACCGAAUGUUCAUCAUUGUCGUUGUCGUCAUUAUGAUUAUUCUUCUUUGCUGGUGCUACAUUUAGAGAAUAUUGCGGUUUCUUAUUUGCAUUAAUGGAUGCAUGACAAUGGAUGCUACUAUCUGUCCUGCUUGCCUCCAAUCAUGUGCUGUCCUGAUUAAAGAUUUGGACACGUGUUUAGUUUCACUUUCCAUGCUCUUAAAACCAUGGUGCACACGAUCUCACUCCUUGCUUGGUUGAACCCACCUCAUUGCAAUCUUACUAUUUUUUCUCUUUUACUUAGCAUUCGACGGUCAGUUGCUCCAUCACAUCAUCGAUCUUGCCAAAGUCUUCACAUAAAUUGGCAAUAAGCAACUGGUGCCAUCACCUCCUGCUGGAUUAAUGAUCCUUGUGAUUUUGAUAGUGUGGAUGAUUCAAUUAGCGAACUGCUGACUAAGCUUGGAGAGUCGUUUUUCUCUUUUUAUUUUUGGGGAUGUUUAUCAGUAUUGAGGUGCUGAUGUUUUUCUUUGUCUGGAAAAUAAUGUGUAUACUUAUUGUGUGGAUGAUUGCACACUUGUUUUUAUGAAGAAUGAAAUGCACAGUAGGAUUUGCAGAAUAAUGUCCAUCAGUUUUUUUAGAGUGGACGUGCUUACCGACUUUGUUUUCAUCUUUGUUGGUUCUCAGGCUGGGAGGUAGUUCAAUCUGUCCUGGGGCAUGGAAAGUGGUUUGAUGUUGUGAAGAGCUUAUGCACAUCCAGUACAGCAACAUCAGGACUCGGGAGGUAAUACCUGGCAUCACAGCUCAAUUAUGCAGAGAGCUGGAGACAGUUGUUUCGUGUAUAGUAGAGAGAUUUUGAUAGCUAUCUAGAUGUCCCCAUGGAUCAGAAGUCCAAAAUGGAGACUUCUAGCAUCCAAGUCGAAAGUCUCUGGCUUAUGCAUCACUAAAGAGUGAGAUGAUCAGUAAUGAACAAUGCCCUCAGGAAAAAUGAAACGCAGCUGCUAUUGCAAGGCCUUAAUGGUCAUUAGCUUUCUAGAUCCUUUAAUCCUCUGCUCAUUUUAAAUGUAAAUAUCCGCUGUUUUUUAUCAUGCAAAAUAAUUUGUCGGCCUCCCAUUAAUAUGCAAAGGAGGAGAAAUUUUAGCAAGGUCUAGCGAAGGGAUCGAUUUUUGGGUUAUGUUUCAUCGUAAGCUAGAAGGGAAAGGAUCCAACAAUUUAUAUUCUUUUUUUGACCACAUUUAAUCUCACUCUAGGAAGUUAUUAAAUUAUCAAAGGUUUGGUACAAUUCUUUUUCCUUGGGUAAAAGAAUGAGGCAUAUUUCACCAGUCUCUCUCUCUCUCUCUCUACUCCCGAGCUGUAAUUUAUUUUGAUCGAUCGAUCGAGUGGAAUAUGAUAUAACAGAUGAAAAGAGAACUAUGAAGAUCGCGAUUUGAGAGCUUUCGAGGUUUGCAUGCGCCAACAGGGCCAUUACACCCUUACCUAUUGUUGAAUGGGAAGAUAUCACGAAGGAUAUUCAUGUAACGGACUUUAACCCGGUAUUUUGCCAUAAGUCAAUUUCUGUAAGGAUAUGAAUGUUAGCUAAUCUCCGUUAGUAGUUGGGGCUCGGGAAUGGCUGGCGGAGGUGGCCGGCCACAGGCAAAGGCCGUGAUGCCCUCGCCGGCCUUCAUCAGAGGGCCACACGAUCCACUGCUGGUUGCUAAUUUUCCUUUUCACGUAGAGACACUAGAAAAAACCUUUCUCCGCGAGCCAAGAAGAGGGCUUUUUUGUUCUGUCCUGCACAAGAAAAGAUCUUCGAGGGUCCCCACUUCACGGGCUUAUCGAGUAACGGUCGCCGGUUUCUGAAGGAAGGAACCAGGCUUACUCCAGGUUGUUAAAUGCCGAUCUCUUUGGGUCUAAGAAAAGUAUAAAAAAAGUUCUAAACCUAUUACAUUAAUAUUAGUUCAUUUUAAAAUUUUUUAAUUGGAGCAAAGUCCUAAACAUUUUCACAUUGAUAUCAAUUGAAUUAAUUAUAAAAGUAUGAAGAAAAGUUCUAAACAUAUUGCAUUAAAUAUUAAUUCAUUUAAUUUUUUUAAUUGGAUCAUAAUUUUAAACAUUUUCACAUUGAUAUCAAUUGAGUUAAUUCGAUUAAUUUAGGUAAAAAACUGUUGACGUGAAUGUCGGCCGUUCAACGUGACAUGAAUAAUAGUAAUGUAUACAUUUUUUCAAAAAAAAAAAUUUGAGAAAAAAAGAAAGAAAAAAGAAAUAAAGAAAUUCAAAAAUUAUUAAAAAAUUAUAAAAAGCCCAUUCAGUGUCAUCCGUGCAAUGUAGGGUGGGUGUCCACGUGAGCAAUUUCUAAUAUAAAUUGGCAGGAUAGACUUAAUUGGUAUUAAUGUGAAGAUAUUUAUGACUAAAUUAGUCUAAUUGAAAUGUUUAUAAUUAUAUUGAUACCAAUUAAAUAAGUUUAGGACUUUUUUGGUACUUUUUUUACCUUCAUUGUGUCCGGCAAAGGCCUGGGAGGGUUGACGAGGGCAUUCCAGCCCUCGCUUGUGGCCGGCGAUCUUCGUCAACCAUCGCCUAGGCUGGAUUGAUAGGGGGAAAUAUAUAAAAAAAAAAAAGGAAAUAAAAAAGACAAAAAGGGAAAAAAAUAGAAAAAAAUGUAGAAAAAUUUAUAAUUUUUUUUUUUAUAUAAAAUUUGUCUACGUUAGCGCUGACUAUCUUAAUAGUUGUAUCAUGUAGGAAGGCUAGCCUCUACUUCGGAGAUUGCCGGUUUAAAUUGAUUAAAAUGAUUAUAUUGGCAAAUCAUCAAAAUGUUUGAGACUAAAUUGAUCAAAUUGAAAUGUUUAUAAUUGAAUUAAGUCCCGUACAAUAAGUUUGAGACUUCUUAAAUAAUCAUCCCCCUUAUUUGCAUGCCCUGUUAUUAAUCACUCUAUCAACAUAUUAAAUUGGAAAAUCUUUGGUACUAUUCUUGUUUCUCUGGAGAAAGAAUGAGGCAUAUAUUAUGAGCUUCUCUCUCCGGCGCCGUAACCCUAGUCGAUCGAGCUCAUGGGAAAUGAUAAAUGCAAGAAAAAGAGGACCGUGACGAUUGCAAUUUGAGAGCCUCACAGUGUUUCCAGGCACCAAUAGGACAAGUCAAUUACUGUAACGGACGACCAAAAAAGAAAAGGAAAAAGAAUUACUGUUGUGCAACAUGUGCACAAUACGAUGUAAUUCGAAUUAGCAUGUUAAGGAAUGAGGAUAUGAAUGGCGGCUAAUCCAACUAUGAACUUUUGAUUAUCUUUGCAUGUGUAAUUUGCCCUGCGAAUAAAAGAUGUUGGCUACUGUCUCUUCUGGUGCAAUCAAAGCUAUUAUCACCUCUCCUAGGCUAUCUAAACAUCGCAUGGUCAGUGUUAGCAUGUGUGUAAGACCGUGCAUUCAAUCUCUACUGAGAAAAUAAGCGAGAGCGUUUGGUUCGAGUGAAAUUUUGCCCCUUCAAUCCCAUGCCGUUUUAAUGGCGGAAGAAUCAUAUUUUCCUUUGCAGCAAUGCGUUAUUCUUGCAAUGAUAGGGUUUCAUGCCAUGCAAACAUAGAUUGGCAUUUAUAAGGUCUUCGUUGACAUAACAGUAACCAUAUGAAAUUACAAUUGUCCCGAAGAUUAUUUUUGUUCGCUAAAGCAUAAACCCUUCUAUGCUACAUUACAGUACUCAACCUUGAGGUGAAGCAAAUAUGUCUCGAAUCACUUGACGCACGAGUCCAUAGGUUCUCUAAAAACAAUCUAGGCCACAAUAGGGUAUGAUGCACAAGUAGCGAUACCUGCAAUUUGAGAUCAUAGAUAGACGAGGACGGAGUAACUUAGUAGAAAGUCAGGCAUAGAAGGAAUGGACAUGGAGUAAAACAACUGCGAGAAUUUCAAAAGCAUAGUUAUCCUAGCACCGUUUUGUUCAAGUAGUUCUACCAAAACCAAAAGGGGGAACUUACCACACAUGUUCUUCCCCAUCUUCACCUUGCCGUAUCCUUUGUCGCCCCAGCUCUCUCCCCAGGAAUUCUUGAUAAGCCAGUAUGGAACACCGUUUUUAACUCCAUAACCAACAGCGAGAAUAGCAUGGUUCACAUCCUGAUAUAAUACAUUCAGUUUUCAUUAGGUACGAGCAUGAGUAUUGCCUUACAAGCAAAACUUCCUUAGCAGCAAGGAAUCAAAUUAUAUGGAUCUUGACAAGAUAGAAGCUCAAAAUUAAAUGUCAUGGUUGAGAUUUAUCGAUGUAAUUAAGAAUAAUAAUGCGAAAAAUAGAAGUGUGGAAUUUGCACGUAUUUCUAUAUAUAUUAAUGAAGAGUGAAACAAAUUAUUUAUAGGCUUUAUUAGAUAACUAUUCUAAAAUAAUAUCUCAAUCAAAAUAUGUACAAUCAAAGGGAGAUAGACAUGCAAUAUACAUGCCAUUUGGCUGCAGUAUUCGUGCAAUAUCUUGAGAGAUAUAAAUGAUGAACAAAAUUAUUAAAAUUUCUCCAAUGAUGGAAAUUAUACUGGAGAUAUCUCUAAUUAUCUCCGGCAGAUGUUUAGUGUCCAUAUCAGUGUUGGCAAAGUCAUGCAAGAUGACUAGUGAAUUUUCUGAAGAGGUAAAUCGUUGAUGGCAUUCAAGUACUCAAUUUUUCAAAUUUGUGGCCCUCAAGUGAGCACCGUACCAAGUUUAUGGUAGUGUUCCUUUGAUUUUAUUUGCAAAUGCUCACCAUGGAAGUGCUACCACACGUAUCGCUGGUGUAGACACCAGAAUUUUUGUGAUAAAACUGGAAGCCCUUCACGACCUGGAAUGCCACACUGACUGGCCGGACCAUGCCAACUGCAUGCUUAAGUUCAUCCUCAGCACCCUGAAUCCACCAUGCAUUGCAAAUAUAAACAUAUAGGCAAUCUGAAGCUAUCUUUAUGAAAUUUCCGGAGCUUUUUUUUUUCUUUUCUUCUCCUUUUCUUUUGGCUAACUCUACAGAUUGCCCAUGAAACUUACCUUGGAGAUGUUGACAGAGUCGACAACUCGGACAGCGACCCUGCGAGCCGAGAAUUUGCAGGUACCAUUUCGUGCAGUAUAAGGAUAAGCUUGCUCGGUCUCAAGCCCACCGUUGUACUUGAUGUACUCGAAGGCUUGCGACGGCAACCCACCUUUGCAUCCGUGGUUGUUGAAAUCUGUAGCGCAGUCCACGAGCUGCUGCUCAGACAGAGAAAUUCCUUUGCCGUGUUUUUGGUGAUAAGCAGCCUCGAGAGCUCCAGUGGCGCUGCAAAAGUGCAAAUUAGAGGUCACUAGCACUCCAGCAUCAUGACAUCUCAAUGAGUUGCCAAGUUAAUAAGUUUGUCAUGUACUAGGGAGAGUAACAAGUAUAAAUCUAAGAGAAGAGAAGGAGAAGAAAAAAAAAAAAAAAACCUGAAACUCCAGCAAGAUCCACAGUCCUGGCCUUGAUCUUUAACUGGGCUUACAAUCCCGUCUUUUCUCCAGUCUUUCUGCAAAUAUGAAGGAUUGGAAGAAAAAAAAGAUCUAAUAUUGACACAGGUCUCGCACUUCAAUGAUCAGCUAGUAGAUUCUACAGUAAUAAGCAAUCUAGUCCUAGAUCUCUUGAAAAGUGCCAAAACCUUGAGAUGGAAGAGAGAGAAUAAGUUGUUUCAGCAAGCACUUUCAAUCAGUAAAAGCGAGGACAAGAAAGUUUAGUUGUCAUGCAUGGAGCUAAUGGAUUUUUGUUGCUAUGACUCAAUUACAUAUGAAUGUUUCAAAGAAAACAAAGAGUGUGUUUGUUUCCUGCAACCCCAUUUUGUGGCGUUUGGUUUGCUUAGGAAAAUGAACUAAUAGAAUUAUAAUUUUCUAAUCAACGAAAAAUGUUUUCCUACUAAAAUUUAAAUUCAAGAAAACGAUUUUUCUUUUGAAAGAACCAGAAAAUAUUUUCCAAAAUGUUUUCCAAAUCUUAGACCCCUUGGUUAAUGAAAAUUUUAUUUUUAUAAUUUUUUGUAAAAAAAAAAAUCUAAUUUAUAAUAAUUUCAAAAACAAUUGAUUUUUUAUUUUUUAUUUGAUUUUUUCUUCCUCCUUCUUCCCCUUUCUUCCUCCACCGUUAGCAACCAGCCAAGACAUGGGCGGGUGAGCUCGAGGCUCAAGGCUUGGUUGAUCCAAGUGAGCCCACGCUUGGCCAAGAUUGGCAAACUCGCGACUCGGUCGAACCAAGUGAGCCCGAGCUUAGCUAAGGUCGGUGAGCUCGAGGUUUGGCUGAUCUUGACGAGCUCGAACUUUAUCGAGGUUGGCGAGCUCAUGCCUUGGCCAAUCCAAGCGAGCCUAAGCUCGCCAACCUAAGCUUCGUUGAGGUCAGUGUGCUCAAAGCUUAGCUGAAUUAGGCAAGCCCAAGCUUGCUUGGGUCGGGCAAGCCAUGCUCCGUCAUGACCGACAAACUCGCGACUUGCCCAGUCUCGGCGAGGCAAAGCUAUGGCUGUCGUCAGCCGGUAGGGGCGGAGGAAGGGAAAAAAAGAGAAGGAAAGAAAAGAAAAAUAAAUGAGAAAAAAGAAAAUUAAAAAUUCCAAUUUUUAAAAAGAAAAAUAAUAAAAGAGAGAAAUAAAUAAUAAAAAAUUCAAAUUUUAAAAAAUUUACAAGUUUGAAUUUCUUUGGCAUGAAAUAAAGUUGUGAGAUUAAAAUCAUUUUCCAAUAAUAUCCAAACAACAGAAAACAUUCUUGAUUAUAUAUCACUAAACAAAGAAAAACUAACCGUAUAUUAUUGAGUUUUUUCGUAAAACACACGCACCCAAAAAUAUGAUGCGGAUGCAAGGCAGCUAGUGGUAGCUGAGUAACUAUUUUGCUGUAAUUUAGCAGAGAAAAUUGCCAGUCGAUACAGAAGACACCACACAGCUAAAAGCAGUACAGCUGCUAGUCUAAGUCAAGUAGUUUUAUCUCAUUGACCGAAGGAUGAUACAUGCAAAAAGCUUCCGAUUGAGGCAUCGCCGUGAAAAAUACCGUUUCGGGAAGAACAUUGUCGGGAAGAACAUCGUCGGUGAGCAUGUGGCUGCCCUUGGUGGUGGCAGAGCACUUUUGAGCACCUCCCAGUUUGUGCGUCUUGAACUCCUCCCAACUCCAGUCAGCAUACUCUGUCAACCCAUCAAGCACAAAUCAAACUCAACGACGACAGCAACGACGACAGCAGCAACAGCUAAAAUAUACCAUCUCUUCGGCUUCGGGUUACGAAACAAGUCGAAACGACUAUGACCGAAUUGAUCUUCAGGUCUAAAACAAGAAAUAGAAAAGGAGAAAACGUCAAGAACUGCCACGUACGAUUAACAGCGAGAGUGUAAGGCAAGCCCUUCUGGUUGGUGGAUUGAAUGAGCUUGAGAUUCUCCCCGUAAUUAUGGAACCUCAACUUGAUCUCCUCCGCUGUCUCGUACGUCUUCCCGUGCCUAAACCAAACACCAACAACGCGGAUAAACGACACCAAUCUUUUAUAGAUAACAAAGGCGAAUUUACAAAUCAAGAACACACCCAGAUGAGUGUUAGAGACAAAAAGAAUACUUCUUGAUUUUCAAUAAGGUCAUGCAUGUAAUUAGGAUCAUGUAUUUUUUUAUUGUUUAACAUCAAAAUAGGCUUUUUCUUGAUAGCACUCUCCUAUUGUGACAACAGUCUUCUAUCAGAUAGCUUGCAUAGUCACCCUGACGUCAGCUAACUCUCUCUUUAUCAAGUCUCGCAUUUUUUGGAUCUCUUGUCUAAACUAAAAUUGAUGUCAUUUUUUGUACAUAUCCGAUAUUUCAACUUAGACGAUCAUCUAAUAAAAUUUAUAGGUUCAUGUACUCUUCAUUGUCUAACAUCCACAACUCUAUUUUUCGCAUUAUUCUUUUCUAAGUGGGGUGUUGAUAUCUAACCUUUGGGCAAAGUCUACGAAGGAGCGGGCGGGAUGGGCCUUGCCAACGGUUUGGAGGAUGGAGGACUCGAGGUCGGCGCCCUCGAAGCCAGCUGCUGCGGCGGAGCAAGCGGUCACGAGGAGGAGGAAGGAACACAGAAAUCUAGCACCAGCCAUUCUCUCUCUCUCUCUCUCCCCUAGUGGUUUCCACAAACUGUGUGGGAGUUCGGAGAUGGAACUGAGAGAACUGAGCGGAGAUGGACGGGGAUCUUUAUACUUACGGAGAAGCGACAGUAAGUCAAGAAAGACACCGAGCAGGCAAUGGCCCGAUUAGGGCUCAUCACGCGUGUAAACCCGACUGGGUCUGUGUCUCACAGCCCAAACGAAAGGAAAAGAAUAGGCGAUUUGUUCUCUUUUGUGCUUGUAUUUUCCAAAGCGUUUGGAGGGCCAUGACGCGGAGUCAAUCUCCUUCUGACAGAUUGUAUUGUCCAACGUGUCACGACAUAUAAAAAUGAAGUCCAAGAUCGUCCAUUGGGAAAUAUCUUGAAGGCCAUAUGCAUACAUGCAAUAUACUUUACGCAAGGAUUACCACAAGAUACACGUCUUCACGAGAUGAUUUUUACGAGUUUGACAGGAAAGUAAUCCAAAGCCUAGUCUCACAUAAGUUUGGAAUUCACUAUCACAUGAUUGAGUGGAGCUACAUAUAAGAAAAGAAAAUGCCAUAUCGAAUCGAGCUCGAGUUCAGUAUUGUGCCGUGAAUAUUACGUUGGAAAUCAAGUUGGAGCAGUGGACGUUGCCCGAUUCUUUGAUCGCAUAAUAUCGAAGUGGAUUACGACAGCAAGUCUUCGCAAGAGGAGACCAACUCAUGUCGUGAAGUCCAAGUCUUCGCAAGAGGAGACCAACUCAUGUCGUGAAGUCCAAGUCUUCGCAAAAGGAUCAUUUUCUCUUUCGUUUUCUUGGCCCAGGGAAUCUAAGAAUCGGUCAAAAAUCUAGAGAAGCAUACGGAAUUGAGCUCUCUUUGUUGAGAUGGUCCUACAAGUAAAGUCAUGGAGACAGGGAAUCUUUAUAUUUUCCCAUUUUUGGACUUUGAACGGGUCUGACACAUUCUUUUAGAAGACGCGAAAUAAAUAGAAGGAAUCCGGUUAAAGAUAAUAAUAAAUUUAAACCUUACCGUUGACAUCUAAAUUUUGACUAAAUACUUCAAAUUAAUUUGCAUAGAUAACUAGGGAUCAAUUUGACCCCAACAAAAAUAUUUUCUCGCAUCACCUAGGUCUUAAUUUCCAUUAGGUUUUAUAUUCUAUUUUUAUUUUUUAUGUUUGGAUUAAUUAAAAAAUAAUAACAAUAAUCAUAGUAAUAAUAAAAAAAAUUAAAAAACAAAAAAAGAAAAUGGUUUAUGGGGCUGGGCGUGAAAGCCCAACCCCUUCUUUUUGUUCUUCCCCGUGCGGGCCCCCAGGGCCCAGCCUUUUCCUUCCUGGCCCGGCCCCCUAAUCCCUUGUCUUCUUCCUCCCCAGUCUCUACAACGCACGCGUAGAGGAGUUCCGAUGCGCAUGAGACCGGGUGGAGGAGGAGACGGCGAUGUACGGCGCAGCAGAUGGGGACACGCCUUCAAUGCAAAGCAGAGCACACAAGUGGGCGGCUGAGGUGACGUCGGUUCGGCCGCACCAAGGUCGAUCGGCGUGCCAAGAACCGCCGGCCGAAGUUCUGUCAACCGACACCCUUCCGCCUAUAAAUAGGGCUACCGACGGAAGGCUAAGGACACGAGUGGAGAGAGAUCGAAGGCAGCUAGCUUCAAGGACUUCCCCCGAGAGACAUCAAGGGAGGACCGAGAGCCAGCAAGCCGGAAAUCGAAGGAAGGGAGGUCAGCCGGAGAGGGAGGGUAAGACAUGAGCGUGGGGGUUCCGGAUCUGAGAGAGAUCUGGAGAUCGGAGUCGAGAGAGGGCGGGAGAAGUUCAGUCCUAGAUCUGAGAGAAAGAGGGUCGGGAGUGUGAGCCCCUCUUCGCCGCAUGCAGCACUGGUUGCUUGGCCCAAUGCCUCCGCCACCAAUGACGCCAUUUGCUCGCAACGUCGUUGCUGGCAUUUGGAUCCAGUGAGCAGGGCCCUAUCCUCGCCCCUUUUUCGCACAUACCACGCCAAAGCUUGUGACCGUCCACCUUGCGUGAUCUCCAGCUUCGACCAUUCGUCGUAGGCUGCCAUGGUUUUUUCGUUGUCUACGCCAUGAGACUCGUUGCGAUCUUAGGUCUCGAUGAGGGCGUUCUUCUCUCCUCCCUGCUAGCGUUUCCUAGGUGCUCGGAGAAAUGUCCAAGAGAGUCCAUGCUUAGACCCUCGAGCUUGGUACCUACGACGAUGACGGGCGAUGUGGUCGGCAAUGGUGGCUGGUCGGGCGGAGGCUGACUUGUCGGUUUAGGGCUGGUUGAGGCAAUGUCGGCGGAGGCCCAAGCUCAGACUGAGACGAGCUCAGCCACCUUCACCACAGAUCGUCGAGAACAAGGGCAUGAGGGAGCCAGGUCUGCAAAGGGGAUGCCAAGUUGCCAAUCGACGGGCGUGGGUCGUCGUUCGGGUAGGAUUUGGUCAUAAUUGGGUUGCUAACCGGAUCGGACGCACGGGUUUUAGUCAGGUAGGGUUUUGGACAAUUUAGGUCAGACAUUUUUUUUGGAAUUUUAAGUGAGUUCUGGGCUGGGCCUGUGUUUUAGGCCCAUUCGGGCCAGUCGUUGGUGAUCUGAGUCGGUCCCAACUUAGGAAUUUGACCCGGGUCGUUUUUUUAUAAUAUUCCAUUAUUAUAAUAAAAAUAAUAUUUUAAAUAAUAAAAUCAAACUAUGCUAUGUUUUCCCAAAAAAAUAGAAAAAAGUAAAAAAAAAAUUAUAUUUUCAAAAAAGAUCAAAAAAUCCAAAAAUAUUUUUUAUUUUCAAAAAAUAGAAAAAUACCAAAAAAUAAGUUUUUCCUCCACAAAUGCAUGGAAAAUCCCUUGAAAAUCCAAAAAAGCCUUAGGAUUUAAGUAAUAUUAGGUACCGUAAAUGCAUUAGUGAUUAACUAGUGUAAUUAAGUCCCCGGACCUAGUUUUUCUAGUUGUGCAUGAGUGAAAUAUUUCUCCCAGUAUUUUGCUUGGGUUUCUAAUCGACCCACCCCAAAUCAAUUAGUGGCGAUUCCUAAUUAAAAUUAACUUACAGGUUAAAAACUUAGAUCAUAAGUCGUGAAUUGGUGGGUUUGAGAGAGCCCGAGCUAAGCCUAAUAGACUUAGUGAGCCAUUAGCCUCCGCCGUCGCCCGUGCGCUAGGGCACAGAUAAGGAGGUUGUGACAGCAUGACGACUUCGUUGAGGACAAUUUUUUUUGUGGACUUAGGUCUUUUUUAUCUUGUUUGAGCGCUUUAUUAACUUGGUUUUUUUUUUCUUUUGUGCAGGUUAGUAUCUUAGAAAUUAUUUUUAAUUUUAAAAUAAAAUGUCUUGUGAUUAUAAACUGUUAUGCAUGUUUUAAUGUUUUAGCACUGCACGUGGCACACACAACCAGACCACUUGGGCCGCCAUAGGAUAUUUCGGAUUGUGUUAAGAAAGAUACGGCAUUGAACGCGAGACUGCAAUGUAGAUGUUGCCUUUCUUUUCCCCGAAUUUCUUUAGAUAGAGCCGAGGUUAAGAAGAUAUGAUGCCAACGCGAGACUACAAUGGGUAGACACCUUCUUAAUUUCUCUAAACCUUCUUAGUUAGAUAUCGAGUCACACAUAUCAUAUGCAUGUCUAUGUGCUUGCCAUUUUCUUUAAAAGCAAAGUGAUUUCUUUAUCUUUUUUUUACUCAGUCUUUUUUUAUUGGCCCAUGGCAAUUUAUGUCGAUUUUUCGAGUCCCAGUUUAUAUGCGAUGGGAGGAGACGAUAUCUAGUUUAUUUUUGCCCCCAAAGCGAAGCUCUUCAGAUGGUGGGGCCAAUUGGACCAAUUUGCCCAAGAGUGCGUGAAACCCAAAGUUGGUCAUCUUCUAUUGUUGUUCCAAAUCCCUGUUCAUCUUGAAGUCCUACAGGCGAUAGCACAUUUUUGGUGCCCUAGGACAUCCGUUCUUAUGUUUGGUGGGUUCGAGCUAACCCCGACUUUGGAGGAAUACAACAUCAUUAUUAGAAUGCCUUUCGAGAAUAAGUUUGUUAGGCCACCAACAAAUAUUGACUUGUUGCAUGGGUUAACGCGACUUUUAAGAACUGAAGUUCAUGUUAUGAGACAAUUUUUUGAAACCAACCAUAAUACAUGCCCGCUAGUGUUUUUGAUUGCUUGUUUUGAAAAUCAGCCCAUGACUCAAAAAAGUGAGAUUUUCCUCAUAGCAUUUUUCGGAUUCAUCAUUUUCUCUCAAAAAAAAAGAUGCCAUAAGUCCCUCGAUGGCAUGGGUGGUUGAUAAGGUCUUAAGGGGGCAAAAUUAUAUCAAUAUGAUUUUAGCCGAAACAUUCUUGUCCCUCAAUCGUUUUAUAGAAAACAUGGAAAAAAUCACGCGGGCCUCCCCGGAAAUUUUACAGGUCUGGUUCUUUUCUCACCUAAAUGAAUUUUGAUGUCUUAUGCAAUUGUUUGAAAUAAAUGAUUUCGAAAAUCCAUUAUAGAGAUUUAUGGUUCUAGGACCAUACAUUCCUAACCAAAGCUGUUUUAAUUGGAUAAAUUUCCUAAGGAACCCUGCUCCUGACAUAUUCCUAUGGUGUGCUGGUUAGUUCCAUGAAAAGAGAGCUCGCUUUGCUUACAAACGUUGCAAUCCAAUCCCGUUCUUUGGCCUCAUCGGUGCCACUCCCUAUUACCUAUAUAGGGUGGCACGACAAUAUGGAGUCCUUCAGGAGAUCCCGCUGCCUUUCAUGACAAAUAUUUCUUCACUCUUUUUCACCCACCAAAGCCGUGACUAUGUAUUCGAGAUUUUCAUUAUCGAGGAAACAUGGAGCAAGUGCCAUCGCAAAAGGAUCGUGUUACCUGAAGGGCUUGAGGGGUAGGAAAAUGCCUAUCACUCCUCUGAGUCCUACAUCCAUAAUCAUCGUAUCCCGACAAAAUUACGACCAUUGGUCCCUAACCUGACCAACAAAAUCAGUCAACACAAGCAAGUAGGGCAUAUGCAAAGGGAUUUGGGAAUAAGCUAGGUACAUGUUUCAAAGCCAGUUCAAGAAAGCAAACAUUUUUGCAAGAACAAGGCUCCUCGUCGCAUAUAAAAUAGCAGUCAUAUGCCCUCAAGUGUUGAUAUUAUGAAAGUUUUAGUCCCAUUGUUUAGGGACUUCUGUUUAAUACCUAGUAUUUCGUUCUGUCAUUUUAAUUUCAAGUUUAGAUGUCUGAAGUAUGUUGUCUAUGAAGUCCUCUUUUGAUGAAUAAAAAUAGCUGGACUGUUGCCAUGGGUCAAUAUUUAUUUACUCCCGUGCUCAUUCAUUGUUUUUGCAACGUCUGGUAGUCAUGAAUCAUCGACCACCGAUCUCCCACAAAUGGCCUUAAGCUAUAGCAGCUGAUCGAAGCAAUGUACAAAAUCACAUCGCUAAUAUUGAAGACGGUGUCAGAUAAAUGUCCAUUGUCCUUCGACAACUCUCGAGGCAAAUGGAGUCCACUCAGGCUAAGCCCAACCCCGUAAUUGCUUUAAACGCACUUGUGACACCUACAAAUUUGCCAGAGGAUAACCAACAAGACAAACAAUUUGUAAAGAUCAUGAAGAAGCCAAGCCAGUUGUAGGGGUAAGAUCCCAUUGAUCUAUCUAAUUAUGCUUGUGUUAAGAUCUCGGAAGAACUCAAAAUGCCUAAAUGCGAGGGGUAUGCCAAUACAUCUCGCCCAGAAGCCUAUCUGCAUGCCUACCUGGUCCAAAGGAUGAUUUGAUUGUACCAAUCAAAUCUGAUUGGCCUCGCCUUGCGGUGGUACAUUGUAAGGAGGAUUAGUCUCCUUAAGACUUGAGAGAAACUGACUGAUGCUUUAUGCCAAGAAUAUGGCGUUGACAUUGACAUCGACAUUGUCCUGCCUCACAAAGAGCUAAUAUUCACGGAGAGGAAGGAUAAUAUGUUUUUAAGAACAAUUGGCGUGUCAAGGAGGAGCUCGGCCACCCAGUUUGACCUGCAGCCCAUAGAAGAAGAUAUCGAUGUAGCCUUGUAUGAUAAAUAGACGACCGAGUAGUAUCCUAUUACUGAGAAAUUUUCCACUAGGAAAGGCAAGGAGCCUACAGAUGAAGUCAACACCAUAAAACCUAUCUACAACCAAAGCACGGCAAGGCAACUUCCCAAGCUUACCGCAAGAGCUAGGGUCCAAAGAAUGCCGACCCCCAUCAACCUAGAAAGCGAAGCUCUGCCAUCUCCCAGUCCCCUUAACAAACUCAAGCUAGCAAAAUGAAGGGCUUUAUUCAAAAGAUUAGGACCCGGAGUUAAGAAAAGAAAGCCUAAGUAAUUUGAGCCAACACCUGCUGCUGAACGUAGGCAAAAUCAUAUAGCCAAUGAACUGUCACACCUAGAUUUCGAGCAUCCCCUAAGGUAUAAUCCCGAGAGCUACCCGUAUUAUACAUAUGAAAUCAUCCAUUCAUCGAAUGACUGCCUCUCACCCACGCAUAGGGUCCAAAGCCUGUUAGAAGGAGGAACAUUUGUCAUUCAUAGCUUAUCUCCCAAUGAGCUGCUAAACUUGUCACCCGACCAUGAGGAUGACAUAAACACCUUAUCCUUUGUUGGAAAUUUCGACCCGGAAUAAGGCAAUGAGAUGAUCUCGAUAGAGUCCGUUUUUCCUAAAGUAGGAGAAUUCACCACCGCAAUGGAUAUGUAAUGGGAAAACUAGCUGCCUAACCAAGACAUGGCGGGUCCAUCUUGCCUCCAUAGGAUUACGAUUCCCAGAGAAAUGGGGGUAUUUAAUCUCCGCAAGUAUAACGACACGACUUGUCCUAUGACCCACUUGUAAUAUUUCCACGCUAAAAUGAGUCGGCAUUGCAACUGGACGCCAUUCAUGACUCAAGCCUUCCAAGAAAGUCUCACAAGGCCAGUAUUGCAAUGGUUCUUCAUGGCAAGGAUUUACCUCAUGAGGGAUUGGAAUGAGCUGUUUUCCGCAUUCUUGCAUCAAUAACAAAGCCAUAUUGGAAUUGAACUGCCUUGCGAAUAUUUGGUUCGUAUCAAAAUAAGACCAAUGGAGGAUUUCCAAGCAUAUGCAGAAAGGUGGGAGGUCUUCAUGAUGCAAACCAACCCUCAACUGGCCGAAGAAGAAAUGAUGAAGCUAUUCAUAAAGGCUUUACCCUGCAAGCAUUGUUUUUGGUUGCAUGGAUUGCACUUCCGUAACUUCAAUGAAGUGGUCUUCUCAUGCGAAUAUUCAAGUCUACUAGAGACAAAGAACUCAAAGGCACUUGAUUUUAGGACCAACACUAUCAAAGUGCUCAUUUUCAUAUGAGUUUUCAUGGGUUUUGGUUGUUUUUAUGAUCUGUUUUCUAUCUUGUCUAGUAUGUUAUUGUUGCAUUUUCCAUUCCAGCAAUUUAACUUCACUUAGAAUGUACAUUUCUAAUAUUUUGAGAGCAUGAGGUGGUACUCCAAAUUGACCUGAUGAUGCUAUCCAACCAUGUGAAGAAAAUAUCUUCUAAGGAGAAUACUAAGGACUAGGCUUCCUCAUGCUUCCCCCCCCCCCCCCCAUAUAUAUACUUUUGAAAACAAAAAAUAUUUCAUUACCAAAAUUUUUUGUCAAAGCAAGAUCUUGUUUAUGUUUCUGACUUAUUCACUUCGUAUCUCAGAGCAUCAUCCCCUUUACUUGGCAUGACAGGGGGCAUUCGAAAUUGGCAUGUCAUGUGAACUUGUAGAUUCUAAAACACUUAUUCAAGAAAACAUGGACAAACAGAAAAGAUCAUCCCAUCUCAAAAAGGGUAUAUCUUAUUUCCUGAACAUAAUGACGUCAUUUCUCUUCUAUUUACAUGAAAUGAAAGAUAGGAUGUAAUAGGCACAAGCAUAUACUUUCCAAUCGUAAUAGCUUAGGGACAGGGCAGCCCGAGAAUCCUCCACCAUGUUGUUCUUAGCCUUUUGCGAACCAUCCCUGGAGCUCUAUUGCACUCCGCCUUGCAUCUGCACAACUCUGCCUCAAGUCUGAGCAAUGUCUCAUUUGCAAGACAUACCCCAAGAGGCUAGACAUUGCAGUCUCAUUGAUGGGAUAUUUAACUUUGACAAGCCUAGAAAUAUAGGGAAUGAAUUCUUUCUCUUCAUUUGAAUUGGCUACUAUCAACAGGGAGAAAAUCCAGAUAGUUGAAGCGAUCUCUAGCCCCCUAUUCCAAAUGAUGACUUUAGAAUUUGGAAAUCUCACUUCUUGUUCCAGACGCAUACUCUCCCGAGAAGUGAUUGCCAUAAAAAAACUGGAGGUUUUGAUUGUCCAUCUCAGAUUCCAUGAAAGUUUGAGGUACAUGACUUUGCCUAAGGCUACUAAUGUUCAUAUGAUUAAAGAUAGGAGAAAAAUUCCACAAUUUGAAGGCGUUAAAGAUUAAGCAACGACCAUCAAUCGUGCAUACAUGGCCGCGAAUGAGAAGGGCCAAUCAAAAGAGAUGUCGAACUGCGUCAAGACAAAAUGACUGUCAUCGACAUUCGAAUAUCCCUAGGAGUAAUCAAAUACAAACUUAGAAAAAGGGUAAUUUGGUAUUAUUUCCAAUAUUCCCCCUCUCUAACAUUGCUUUGACAUAGUUUAUUUGUUUCACAGAAAGCAUUGGGAUCCAAGAACCAAACUCAAUGGAAUAAUUUGAGCAAAUCAAUACUGGCCAAGCAGACACAUGAGAGUGACCUAUAUCGAAUUCACCUAAUUUAGUGUAAAAAGACAUGUCGCCCCUGAGUGGGUUUAGUUAAAUAAAAAAAGAAGUGCCCUACAAGCACCACCAGUGCCUCGGCCCGGUGGUAUGGGGAUUGAAGUGGUCCAGACGUGAUCGCGGGGUUCGAUCCUUGAAAACGGUAGCUAGUUGCCAUGUGUAAAAACUAAUUUUUUUUUUUUGCUUUCCUGCGAUUGCAAAAAUGAGAGAAUAAUUGACCUAACGAAAUGAAAGAUGUAGGACUUCGUGUCCUUCUCAAACUUCAAGUCUAUUAAAUCAUUAACCAAACCAAGGAAGGGUAAUGUUGUAUCGCUCCCAAUUGUUCAACUCCUCAAAGAGCCUUGACUAACAUGUUCCCUUUUAUCUGUUGUAGGAUCACCCGACAGUCAAAGAUACGGAUAACAAGUCAAUGAGAGGCACGUCGGACUCAGAUAAGCUCUCCUAAGUGAAAUAGCGUUCCAAGUAUCGCCAUGGUAAAUGACAGAAAUCCUUUAGGCCUUAACUGACAUUUGAUUUUGGCCCUAUUGAUUGAUCUAUUUUUGCAUACUCUUUUUUGCAUGGGCAAAAACAAAGGUGCUUGGUAAAUUAAUGAUUAGAUUCCUAACCCCCGCUGAUCAUUCUUGUGUCAUCUCCCUAUUAAAUAGGGACAGUUCGUCAACACUCAUUUGUGAAUAACUCCUUUGAUGUUCAUAAUUUAACAUAUUUAUAAAUACAAUUAUGUUAAAUAAAUAUCUCUAAUGCUGUUAAUAAAGUUUCUGAGUAAAAUCAAUUAUUUGUUUUAGGAGUACAAAAUUCCUCAUAUUUAAAAUACUCCAUGCCUUUUCCAAACAGAUUUUGCAUAAUGAUUUUGUUCGUCUAAAUCACUGAUUCUACUAAGGAUUAUCAAAAUAGACAGCUAACUGAAGGAUAUGAGAUUGAUCAAGCAUGCUAAAUGAGGUGCAUCAGGAUGAUGAAAGGCAAUCCAUAUCCUACACUCCAUCCCCUAUUUAUACACUUGUGAGAUGAGUGUAGAAAAUUCCAUGUCUACAAAGUAAAGGGUUCUCUCGUGAAUAGUACGAUAACCAAGGUAAUGAGGGGCAUUUCACUUCUCUACCCUAAACACCAUAGGUUAUCCAUUACUGAGCCCCAUACACUUAUGAAGUUUCUUUCAUACCCCUAUCAAGAACCACCCCACACUAGAGCAGAGUAGAGGCGAGGCGACAUCACAAGGUGAGAAAGGGGAUAGAUAUUUUUUCACUCGCAUUUGCAUCAAUCUUUGGGUGUCUUUAUUGCAUAUUGAACACUCACAAUAAUUUAAUUGCCAUAGAAUGAUGAAGAGCAAUUUUCUCUCUAUCCUAGGCACUUGUAUCCAUUGUACAGCCUAAUUGAGUUUGUAAUAUCACUCUCCCAUUAAGGUUGGGCAGAAAUUACUACCAUUUAAGCAGCAUGAUUUGGAGUGCUGACUGAAGAUGAAGACCCAAGAGUCUAGUAGCAGUGUUUUGUUUGAACUUGCCUAGGCCAGUUUUUCAAACAACAAGAAUGAAAAACUAGGGGCAUGAAAAAGUAGUGUACCUGAUAAAAGUAAGGUCAAUGUCUAUAGAUGAGAAAACUGGAAUUAAAAAAACUAAGGGCAUGAAAGCAGUGUGCUUGAUAAAAACAAGGCCGAUGCCCUAAAAAAGAAGAAGUGAAUUUCAGCCAUUUGUAUUCCCAAGUAAAGCUGCCGUUGUGGUUCAAUUAAUUGAGCCUCCAUUUGAUAGCGAGAAGAAAGACUGGUGACAAUGCUAAGGCAAUUACCAACUCUCACCCUUUUACACAUGAACCAACCCUACAUGGCGUCUAUUGACACCUCAAUUUUAUUAUUUUAUUUAUGACUCAAUCGCAUACAAAAUUAGAAAUUAGUCACUAAAAGAGAGAGAGAGAGAGAGAGAGAGAGAGAGAGAGAGAGAGAGAGAGAGAGAGAGAGAGAGAGAGAGAGAGAGAGAGAAACAAAAACAAAAAAAGAAUGUCUAGAGGUCGGGUCGGGCCGGAUCUGGCAUUGGCCCGGCUCACUGCCCGCCUCUCUUUCCUCUACGCAUAUUAUAUUAUCAAUGCAACCAGAGCAAUUAAUAAACGGAACAUAUCAAUUCAUCCAUCAAAUAAUCACAUGAGUCAUGAUUAUAAGGCCAAACCGUGAUGACAAAUCAUAUACCGUGUCACACAAUUUUGUCCCAUAAUCAAGCACAACUAUCUCUACCACUCAAGCGUGUUCCAGUUAUCAUGACCCAACGGCCACGACCAACUCAAAAGUUGGCCAUCAUCCAGCAUAACUGGGCAUCGUCUCACUCUGUUGGGCACGGCAUCAUCCCAUGUAUUCAUACACAUCAGAACGGCAUUCCUGAGAGUGCUAGUAUGAACAAAAUAAAGGAGUUAGGGAAGAGAAUAAGAACACAAGAUUUAUAGUGGUUCGGCUUAAUCCAAGCCUACGUCCACUCUCCCACGAUAACAGCCUUCUUGGCUGGAUUCCACUAUGCAAUCAACAAGAGAUUACAACUUCGAGUGCAAACACUUAGUAGUAGAUCACACUAUCUCACUAAGUCACUCUUUUGGUAUUUCUCUCACGAUUACAAACGUUUAAGCUCUCAAGAGACAAGUAUAUAAUUGAAAGUCGCUCAGACUUUGGAAUUAUAAAUUCUACGCUCCGUCUCUUACUUGCUCAUCGGUCCAUGAUCUCCUUAAAUACUCCUCCACUUCCAAACUACCGUUGGACAGUAUCCCGGAGAAUCGUCUUCCAAUAUACCCAUUGGACAGCUCUAUAUCUAGAAGAUUUGGUAGCCGUUGAGUGACAAAGGUAAAAUCCCAAAUUGAUUCCGAUCGCCCAUACAAACGAAAUCUUGGUUUCCAUAAGUAAAGCUUCUUCGUAUAGAAAGUUCUUGUCUUCAAGAUCCAAUCGUCAAUCAAAUAGAUUGAAUCAAUCAAAUCAAUCUUGAUGUGGAAUCCAAACCAGAUCACUAGCCGUUAUAUGAUUGGGCUUGAGUUACGUUCUGUCGAAUCUGGAUGUAAAGUCUGAUAGCCAUAGACUUUACAAUCUGAGUUUGUAGACUUUACAAUCUGGGUCUGAACAUAUCUGCUUCUGAACAGAUUUAGCUUUAAGGUCUGUACCCAGUUCAGCUUCAGCAUAGAGUCUGUCUUCUGGUUCAUCAUUCACGUUCAGUCUGGAAUUAGUCAGAGUGAGCAGACUUCUGAUGUAGAACAGACUUUGACACUAAAGUCUGGCAGUCUUCAAACUUUGAGUCUUGAGUCUGGCAGUCUUCAGACUUUGACACAGAAGUCUGGAAAUCUUCAGAAUAUAUUUUGGACAUGUGUUACGUUCAGUCUUCUGGUCGUCUUCUGACUUUGAUAAUAUCCUCUACAUGUUCUAACAUCUGCAUGGUCUAUUACUCAACCAUCAAACACGUUAGUAGCCUUUGAUUUAUUUUGUCAUCUUCAAAACAUCAUAAGGGAUUUCCCUAACAAUUCCCCACAAGAGCAUCGGCCCGGCCUCUACCGCGACCGGCAUCCAUUGACGUGAGGCAUCCGAACUUAAUCAAGCAUCGUCCUAUGUAAACACAUUAGGACAGGUUCACUACCCCGCGUAAACGCAUCAGGGUAUUUAGGUGAUCACAUGAGCACACCAUCAAUCAAACCCAUUUUUUAUCUUCCGUCAAUUAGUCCAAAAUACCAAAAUUUAUUUUCAAACAAUAAACCUUGCAACUCUCUUUUUUUUUUUGUUCAAAGCCUUUGGAAAUAAAUUCGUACGUGGUCACGUACUCAAAAUCAAACCGUCAAACUCUGCACGCUUCUACUAUAAAACCUCCUCAUUUUAUUGACACAUAAAAUUUGGCGUCCAAACCCGACACCUUAUUUAUUUUCUAUUUUUUUUCCCGACCAUCCUUUUUGGAACUAAACGUGGGUAAUCCCCCCCCCCCUUUUUUUUGUUCAAAGCUUUUGGAAAAAAAUUUGUAGGUGCUCAUGUACUCAAAAUUAAUCCAUCAAACUUUGCACAGACCUAGUUUAAAACCUCAUUGUUUUGUUGAGCAAAUAAGUUUUAGUGUCCGAACCCGACACCUCAUUGUUUUUUCUAAUCAAUUGCCCAUAAGGCCAUCUUUUGCAAUAAUAAUAAACAAUCACCAUAGAACAACCAUUCACAUAAUGCCACGCAUAAAUUCUCGGCAUACUAAAGCUCAACCAAAUCACAAAAUACACAUUAUCCAACAAGUAACACACCAAGAACAACCACCAAACCACAAUCGGUCCUAACUGGCAAAAACCGGGUCCACUCGCGCAUUUCCAAAAUUAAUUUCGUAAUCCUAACCAAAUGAGUUCAGAAAAUUUUCAAAUUUUAAUAUGUUAUAAAGGACACUUAAAUGAACACUUUUUAUUGGACACCUUUGACCCAAAUAUUUCUAGAAUAAUAGCAGUAAAUCGCUCAAGUUGUUACCAAAACUGUAUCCGUAUUCAGAAAUUUUGUUUUCUAAAGCCAGCUUGGUUUGAGGUCCAAAACUUAUCUGUUUGAUCUGAAAUUUGAAUACGUUAAACUACAAAAUAUGAUGAACAAGUUUUGUGAAGAAACCCUUAUGAAAAUCGAACCCUAAGAGUUUAUAAAAAUUCUUUAAACACCAAAAGGUCAUUGGUUUCAGCACCAACUGAGAUUCUGUUUUGCAUAAAACGAAGCUGAGAUCUUGUUCUUCUAAAUCUAUAAAAUCUUGAGUAAAAUAUAUGGCAUAGCUGAAGAUGUCUAAAAUAUUUUUCAAGAAUGGAGCAAUCCCAAAAUCGUAGCAUAUUUUUCCCCACGAAAAUAGCAAACGACGAGGGUCCAGUAACCAAAUCCGAGUUUAAGCUAAUCCAGCUUAACACUAAUUUAACCAGGCUAAUUAACAUUAAUCUAACCAGGCUAAUUAACACUAAUCUAACCCCUAAGCGCAAUUAACAUUAUAAUCAAGGAUUAAGGAGUUAACUCACCGGAUUAGGGCGGCAGCUGGUUCACGGCGACGGCAGCGCGACGGCUGUGACAACCCAAGACUACCGUGUCUCCGACGGUAGUCCAACGGCUGAGGAAAACAGUCCUACAAGUCUCAGCCAAAGGCUGAGAUACAGUCCUGCUUGAAGGCUGGUUCGGCUCUGCUUGGGGCUGAGGCGGGCUGAGGUCACUGGAGGCGCAGCUGUGAGGUCGGGACAGGGUGAUGCUAGGCACGGGGGCUGCUGGCCGGGCUGCUGUGUGGUGUCACUGAACUGAAGCAGGUGGCGCUGGUUGUGGAGCUGAAGCCGCUGGUGGUUGCUGGCUAAGGCGGUGAAGCUGCGGCUGUCUUGGCUGCUCGGUGGUGAGGUGAUGGAGUGGUGUUGGCGGUGGAUGGAGAUGGAGCAGCUGUCAAAAGGGAGAGGGAGCUGCUGGUGGGUGGAGUUGGCGUGUGAAGUUGCUGAGGUGGACGUGUGGAGUUGGGUCGCUGGUUGAGAUGAUGCAGCAAGAUGAAGGGGUUAUGUGGUGGCAGCUUGGUGGACGAUGGUGCUGGUGAUGAGGGAUGAUGACGAAGAUGUGGGGUUGCUGGCGGUGACGGUGCAGAGGAGAAAUGGAGAAUACGUGAAGGGGAAAAGGGAUGAGGCUGCUGGAGGCGUGAGGAAGAAAGAAGAAGGGUUGGCUGCAACAAGGGGUUCACGCAUGGGAAGAGACAAGGAGAGAGAGAGGGGAGGAAAGUCAACGAAAAAUAUCCUAAUUCACUCAUUGUAAUACCACAAAAGUCUAUGCCCGUCCAAGCUCACCCAAUCACCAAUUUUUCCUCUUAUUUCCCACAAAUAACUUCUUUUUGGGCAGCAAACUUCCCUUUUUCCUCUUAAUCCGAAUUUCAUUAUCCCUUUUUUUUUGUCCAAAAUUCAUUUUUCUGCAAAAUCCCGAACUCGAUGAAAUUUUUCCGAAAGAUGAGACAACGUUCUAAAAAUAAAUCGUGACACGCUCAAACGUCCAAUUUCCGAAACUGAAUUCAAUUUCGUGGUUAAAAUCGACUGAACGCAAUAGUACAUUCUAACCUACUGGUAGCUUUUAGAGAUUUUAGCGCGUUUGACCCGUGGUCGAUAAUUUUCGAUCCACAUUUGUGCAUCUCCGACUUGUAGAUGACUCUUGAUUGUCGUAAAAAUUGCGAGAUUUCAAUUACGGGUACCGAGUAUAAUAGCGAUAGAAAAUUAGGUUAGUGCCGUUCAACGCGAAUUUCGCAAUCACGCGGAAUCACCCGCAAUUCAAUUACGUGAUUCCGUCGAAUCGACCUAUAUCCGAUCACAAUUCAAUUAUAAUGGUGCCGUAUUGACCCUUGCCGAUUAUUAUGGUCGAGCAGUCGAUUUCCGAUCAAAUUCUCUAGUCCGUCACGUUUAUAUCCCUUAACGGCUUCACCUAAUAGGUUAGUUAACUCGUGAGGGGCUAGCUCAGAGAAAAAGGACCAUAGGCGCGUCGACGAAAUGUCCAUUUCAUAUUAUCGAGAUAGAGUUGAAUUUCGGGAUGUUGUUGGAGAAAUCUUUCCAGAAUAUUUUGAAGCUGACAAAACAUUUCUAUCAAUCUAAGUCUGGAUAUCGAUAGUUAAAGUCUCAAGACUUUAUAGUCUCAAGACUUUGUAAUCUCAAGACUCAAGACUCAAGACUCAAAAUUAUUCUCACUGACAGUCUUUCUAAUCCAGUGUUGAAGGAAAUCCAAAGCCGAGGUUUAUGGUUGAGGAUUUGAUCCUAUCCUCUGGAAUAGAUUCUUUGGUUGGAUAAUCAUUUCGGAUUCUUUAAUUCUUAUCUAAGAUCGAUUGAAGAUCCGAUGGUCGACGAAAUAAUCUUGGAUUAUUCUAUUCUUGGAAACCGAGAUCCUGAUUGUAUGGGCGAGCAGGAUUGAUGGGCUAUCAUCAGAUUCCUUAAAUAGCUCGGAUGAUCUUCUUGAUUGAUUCCGUCCAACGGGUAGAUUGGAGGAAUUCCUUUGGUAAGUGCCAACGGCUAUGAUGGCAUGAAGGAGUAUAAAAGGAAGACGUUCUAGUUGUCUUAAGUGUGUGAUCGAUAGAAAAAUUCCAGAGUCUGAAGAUCCUUGAUUGUUAGUUGAGACUGAGUGAAAUUGUAUACAGAGAGUGUUUAUACUUGGUGACGCCUUGAGUGAGUGUGGUAGAUCAUCUACACCUAGAAAUCAAGGAAGAUCAACACUGUAACAACUCUUUGAUCAUAGUGGAAUCCAGCCAAUCGGCUGUCAGUGCAGAAGAGUGGACGUAGGCUUGAAUCAAGCCGAACCACUAUAAACCGAGUGUUCAAUUCUCUCUUUCCCUUACUCAGUCUUGCGAUUGAAUUUUUAACUGUUGCAAAUUCUCUAAUUGUUUAAAUAUCGUGCAAGCUUCGAGAAAUUUUUUGUAUACCUAUUCACCCCCCCUCUAGGUACUCGUACUAGCUAUUUCAAUUGGUAUCAGAGCUCGUGUUCUUACUUUGUUUGAAGUGUUUUACUUCAGAGUAAAAGAUCCAUGGCUAGUAUGCUAGCACCGGGGCUGAUGGAGGGGCAAAGCAAUACCAGACCUCCCUACUUCGAUGGAAAGGAUUACAACAUCUGGAAGAACAAGAUGAAAGCUUUUCUACGAUCAAAGGAUCCUCUGGAAUGGGACGUUGUGGAAAAAGGAAUCACUCCUGCUGCUGCAUCAAUCUCUGAAAGAGGGAAAGAAACUGUUGAAACCAGCGGAAUGUCUCAAGAAGAAAUAAACAAGAGACAAGCACUCGAUGCUAAAGCAAUUUAUUCUUUAUAUUGUGCUUUGUUACCAACUGAAUAUAACAGAAUAUCUUCUUGUGUUACAGCAAAAGAAGUCUGGGACAGGUUACAUAUCACUUAUGAAGGGACAGAUCGAGUGAAUGAGACCAGAAUUAACAUUCUUCUUGGUCAAUAUGAAUCCUUCAAAAUGAAACCAGGAGAAUCUAUAACUGACAUGUUUAGUCGUUUUACAGAUAUUGUCAAUGGUCUUGAGAACCAAGGACAAAAAAUUUCUGAUCCCAUGAAAGUGAACAAGCUUCUACGUGGACUCUCCAAGGAUUGGAAUCAUAUAAAGACUUCAAUAAGAGAGACGCAAAGAAUCAUGCCAUUAUCUGUAGACGAACUGAUUGGAACUCUUCAGUCUUACGAAGUGGAACGAAUUAAUGAAGACGAAGAUCCAAGAGGUAAGAAAUCUAUUGCACUAAAAUCAAAUGAUGAUUCUGAUGAUGCAGAUUCUGAAGAUGAUAUGGAUGAUGAGGAGCUCGCCCUCAUGAUAAGAAGAUUCAGAAAACUGAAUAGAAAAGGCAGAAGGUUCAUCCCAAAGAAACAAAGUUUUCAGAGACAGCAGACCAAGUCUGUUGAUGAUGAGGAACCAAACAAAGAUGUAGUUUGCUUCGAAUGUAAAAAGAAGGGACACAUCAGACCCAACUGUCCUCUUCUGAAAAAGAAAAGAGGAAAAGCUGAGAAAUCUCGAAAAGCUCUUAAAGCCGAAACCUGGAGCGAUACAGAGUGUGAAGAGAGUGAUGAGGAAUAUGCCAACCUGUGUCUAAUGGCGCAAUCAGACACAGACUCUGGAUCAGACUCAGACAGUGAAUUUGAGGUAAGUGACUAUAAAAUCCCUGUCAAAGUCUCUAAAUAUAUUGAUGAGUUAUGUUUUAGUCUUAAGACUUCUCUUAAAAAGAUUUCCGAACUCAAAAAGGAAAACUCAAUUUUAAAACAAAAGGAAAACAUUUUAGAAGAAAAGGUAAAAAAUUUAGACUUGAAUGUUUCUACUCUUAAAGAGAGUGAAGACAAUCUUUCAAAAGAAAAUGCUUUCUUAAAAACUGAUUUAUCAAAUAUUUCAAAGAAAUUUUCAAUAGGGUCCGAAAAAUUUGAAAAAGUCCUUUCAAUCCAAAGACCUUACUUCAAUAAGUCGGGUCUAGGUAUGACAGCUGAAACAAUCCCUUUGAUUGAUUUUCCGAAAGUAAAAGAAAGAAUUAAGAAAAGACCAUCGAGAGAGGCUUAUAAAAAUCAUUUCAAAAGAGUUUUUGUAAAGCGUGUAGGUCGAAAUGCUUUAAGGUGUUCUAAGUGUAACAGUCAGGAUCAUUUUGAAAAAGAGUGUCCUAUGGUUUGGAAGCCUGUUAAGAGAGUAUGGCCUAAUAAUGCUCAUCCUACUAACACCAAAGGACCCAAGAAAAUUUGGGUACCAAAGAAAGCUUGAGACUCUUUUUUGAAUGCAGGUCUCUGUCAAAAAGAAGGUAAAGUGGUAUCUUGACAGCGGAUGCUCAAGACACAUGACAGGAGACUCAAAAUGUUUCAUAAAGCUUAUUAAAGUAAAUGGUGGAAAAGUUUCAUUCGGAGGAAAUAGCAAAGGAAGUAUUGUGGGAUUCGGAACUGCGAAAAUUGGAAAUCUCACAAUAAGCAAUGUCUCUCUAGUGGAAGGACUCAACUACAAUCUACUCAGCAUUAGCCAAUUGUGUGAUACUGGUUACAAGAUCUUCUUUCAAGAAGGCAUAUGUUCUGGAAUUAGCAAAGAUUCGACUCAGUCUUUCAUGGGUCGAAGGCAUGGAAACAUCUACCUCCUUGAUGUAAAGCCAAAUGAAGAACAAUGCUUAAUCUCAAUUCAAGAUGAAGCAAUUCUAUGGCACAGAAAACUUGGCCAUAUCAACAAGAAGCAAUUAGCCAAAAUCUCUUCAAAGCAGCUUGUUCGAGGUCUACCUAAACUGCCAUACCAAAAGUCUGACUUAUGCACUCCAUGCAUUCUGGGAAAGCAGGUAAGAAAUUCAUUUAAGCAAAUAAAUCAUGUAUCUACUAAUCAUGUAAUGCAGUUGCUUCAUAUGGAUCUCUUCGGACCAACAAGAACCCAGAGCAUUGGAGGUAAGAAAUAUUGUCUAGUAAUUGUAGAUGAUUACUCUCGUUUUACCUGGGUAUAUUUUCUUGCAAAUAAAUCAGAAACCUUUUCGUACUUUGAAAAGUUUGCUAAAAAGGUUCAAAAUGAAAAAGGAUGUGCUAUUUCUAGUAUAAGAACAGAUCAUGGUAGUGAAUUUGAAAAUCAAGAUUUUACGAGAUUCUGUGAUAAAUCUGGUGUUAAUCACAUGUUUUCCUCUCCGUAUACUCCAGAGCAAAAUGGAGUUGUGGAAAGAAAGAAUAGAUCUCUUCAAGAAAUGGCUAGAACACUUUUAAUUGAAAGUAAAAUUUCUUCACGAUUUUGGGCUGAAGCUGUUUCAACUGCUUGCUAUAUUAUAAAUAGAGUCUUUCUAAGACCUAUUCUUGAUAAAACCCCCUAUGAAUUGUUCAAAGGUAAGAAGCCUAUUGUUUCAUACUUUCAUGUGUUCGGUUGCAAAUGCUUUAUUUUGAAAAAUGCAAAUGAUCGAGUUGGUAAGUUUGAAGAAAGAUCAGAAGAAGGCAUCUUCCUUGGAUAUUCUACAUCAAGCAAAGCCUACAGAGUCUACAACAAAAAAAGCCAGUCUGUGGAAGAAUCAAUGAAUGUCAAAUUCCAAGACUCAGUGCAAGAUGAAUCCAGCCAGACUCAGUACGAAGAGACUGAAUCCGCUCUAGAUCUUCAAAUGUCUACAUCUCAAGAAGCAUCUCAGAUUCUGGAAGUCCAUCAUCAAGACGCUCAUGGAGAAUCAAAUAAAGAAAAAGAUCAUCAACCUGGUAACUGGAAGCACAAAUCCAGUCAUCCCAAAGAUCUUAUUAUUGGCGAACUUAAUGAAGGAAUCCGCACCAGAUCAAAAAGGCAUGAAGAAUCUAGUGAUGUGGCUCUCAUCUCUGAAAUUGAACCAAAAAGCAUAGAAGAAGCUUUAUCUGAUGAAAGCUGGAUCGAAGCUAUGCAAGAAGAGCUCAGACAGUUCAACAUCAAUGAUGUCUAGGAAGUGACAUCUAAACCAAAAGGUAAAACUGUUAUUGGAACCAAAUGGGUAUUCAGGAACAAAAUGAACGAAAAAGGAAAAGUCGUACGAAACAAAGCAAGACUCGUGGCCAAAGGGUAUACGCAAGAAGAAGGAAUAGACUAUGACGAGACUUACGCACCCGUUGCAAGGUUAGAAGCUAUUCGUCUAUUACUUGCGUUUGCUUGUUACAAAAAUUUCAGGUUAUUCCAAAUGGACGUCAAAAGUGCUUUCCUAAAUGGAUUUAUCCAUGAGGAAGUUUAUGUGGAACAACCACCUGGAUUUGAAGACCCAAAGAAGCCAGACUCAGUCUUCAGACUGAAAAAGGCUUUGUAUGGUCUAAAGCAAGCACCUCGAGCUUGGUACGACAGACUAAGUAAGUUUUUAUUACAAAAUGGUUUUGUCAAAGGUAAAGUAGAUACUACUUUGUUUAUCAAAAAGGAAAACAAAAACUUUUUACUUGUUCAAAUAUAUGUUGAUGACAUUAUUUUUGGAUCCUCUAAUGAAAGUCUUUGCAAGAAAUUUUCUAAGUCUAUGCAGGAUGAAUUUGAAAUGAGUAUGAUGGGAGAGUUAACAUUCUUUCUUGGACUCCAAGUGAAACAAAUGAAGGAAGGAACUUUCAUCCAUCAAGAAAAAUAUGCGAAUGAUCUUGUCAAAAGGUUUGGAUUGGAAAAGUGCAAAAAGAUCGACAUACCAAUGUCAUGUUCUCAGAAGAUAGACAAGGAUGAAGAAGGGAAGAAAGUAGAUCAAAAGCUGUACAGGAGCAUGAUCGGUUCACUUCUUUAUCUUACUGCUUCUAGACCUGAUAUUUUGUUUAGUGUUUGUAUCUGUGCUAGGUUUCAAUCAGAUCCUAGAGAAUCACAUCUCAUUGCCGUGAAACGAAUUAUCAAAUACGUUGCUUCAUCUUCAAGCAUCGGUCUUUGGUAUCCAAAGAGGGGAGACUUUAAUCUUCUAGGAUACUCAGAUGCAGAUCUGGCCGGUUGCAGAGUCGAUAGAAAGAGCACUUCUGGAACUUGUCAACUACUUGCAAACAGAACGGUGUCUUGGUUUUCAAGGAAGCAAAGCACUGUAGCUCUCUCAACAACAGAAGCAGAGUAUGUAGCUCUUGGAAGCUGCUGUUCGCAAAUUCUAUGGAUAAAACAACAACUACAAGACUUUGGCAUUGAAGACUCAUGCACAGAAAUCAGAUGUGACAACACCAGUGCGAUAAAUCUCACCAAAAAUCCAAUCCUUCAUUCAAGAGCAAAGCAUAUUGAGAUUCGACAUCACUUUAUUAGAGAUCAUAUUCAAAAUGGAGAAAUCUCGAUUCAAUUUGUUGAUUCAAAAAGUCAACUAGCGGACAUAUUCACAAAGCCUUUGGAGAAGAAUCAGUUCGACUUUAUCCGCUCGAGACUCAACAUUUUGAAGCUUGAAGAAAUUAAAGUCUAGAGACUCACCAACUCUAAGACUCUGAUCUCUUAGACUCUAAAUCCUGAGACUCAAUCAUCCAUGGCUAUAGACUGUAAGUUGUAUUUCAUCUAAAAAGUACUAAUAUUAACUCGAAAAGGUACGAUCCUUCGUUUAAUAAUUUUGGCAGUUAUUGAUUUUGAAAAGAAGUGAUCGUUCACUUUCCUUGCACCGAUUGAACUUCCUUUUUCAAAACUGAGUUAUAUAUAUACAGUUUUUCUUUUCCCCAAUCUUCAAAACCCUAAAAGGCACUCUCCUCUCUAUACUGUUUUACUGCUUAUUCGUCGUCGAGAAAGUGGUCAUUUUUCUUGGGAAAGCAAGUGAAGGAAUCCUCCAAUAGACAAAGAAAGAUGUCGUCUUCGAGGAAAUCAUCAAGAAUCGCAAACAGGGGACCACAAAGAAUGAAGAAGGGACCGACUCAUUUCGAUCUCACUGAGGAAGAAGACUUAUCAAGUCAGCGACAGAGUCCGAUUCGCUCUCCUCCACGUCAUUCAGCAUCUCCUGCCCCACAAAGUGCAAGUCAUAAUCUGGAAGAAGAGAUAAUCGAGGAUGCCGACCCAGUAAGAGUUCAAAAGCCCUCCUUUUUGUAUAAACUUUAUCGUGCAUUGAAAAGCACAGGUACUCCAUUGAACUAUAUAGAUGACUUCCUUAAGGACAAAAAUUAUGGGAAUGAGUAUCUUUUUCUGAAGAAAAUGGAGGAAUGGGGAAUUGCCCUGAAAGGAAAAGCAGAGGAAGCACUUGCGAAUAUUCCAAGAGAUCCUCGUAUGCCAGGACAAAAUCUGAUUGACGGGAACGAUGAUGACAAAAUGUUCCUUGAAUUUAAACCUAAAAUGGGUGUGGCAGCAAAGGUGAAAGGAAAUCGGAUGGAUUUGUUUAAAUCCAAGGAUCAGGAAAAAGUGUAUUUCAGUCUGUUGAAAAGAGGGGUAAUCAACCCUAGAAGUGUCGAUUUUGACUUCCUGGAUUCCAUCAACUUGAACCUAAGAGAGAAGUUGAAUUUGCUUCAACUUGAGACUUUCUGCUCUGACUCUACAGACGGGUAUGAUCAUCUGACCGCUUAUUUCUAUUCAAAUCUUAGCUUUUUGGAUGCGAAUAGAAUUUCAUUCAGUGUUCGAGACAAAGUCUAUGUGGUAGAUGUGAAUAUGUUGGCGGACAUAGUUGGAGUUGAACGGGGACGCUAUCUCCCAAUCAAAGUCUCACCUGCUCGAACUACUCUGGAUCUUGUCAAAGAUAGGGAUGUAGAUAAGAAAAUUAUCUAUUCCAGGAUGAAUGCCAUCAACAUUGUGCUUCACAAGAUUGUGAUCAAUUGUCUCAGACCUAAGUCUACUUCAAAGACUUCUGUGUCUCUUUCUGAAGCAAAAUUGAUGUAUGCGAUCAACUCAGGACGGAAGUUUUCUCUCCCGCACACUAUUCUUUUCCAUAUGUACAGAGCAGUGUCAAAAGACAAAGGACAAUUGCCUUAUCCUGGUCUGGUGACCAAGAUCUUCAGACAUCUGAAUAUUGAACUGCCACAUACUUUUUGUGUUCGAACGUGUGAUAAGAUGGUGGUAGGGUUGAAAAUGUUAAUGAAGAUGCGUCUGCAAGAACUCUCUAAGGCAAUGGAGAAAUUCAAAGUGAAAUCUCCAGUCCAGUCUGCUUCAAAAAGGAAAGGAAAGAAGGACAUUGGUGCUUCAUCGAAAAAGAGGAAAAGAACUUUUAUCCUGGAGGAUGAGGAUGAGGAUGAAGAUGAUGAAGAUCCCACUAUUCCAGCACUGACAAGAACAAGAUGUUCUGUGUCUUAUCCGACAGAACUUCAGCAGAGCAGAGAAGAAGAAGAACAGAGAGAGAAGGAGAAAGAAGUUGAGGAAGAAGGAGAAGAAGAAAAAGAAUAGUCUGCAGAUAACUCUGGAGAGAAGGGAAAUCAAGAGCAUGAUCAUCACUCUUCCCCUUUCGAUGUCUUAGAGACAGGGGGAGUUAGCGAGCAAGAGAGGUCUCCACCUCAUGCUGCUGAAGAUCCAAGACAAUCUCCAGAAGACCCAGAGGAAGUUCAGGUCUCUCAAUUGCCUGAAGAAGGUGAUACGUUGAUUCCAAAUCUGCCAGACCGUUCAGAAGCGCCAUCGUCUGCAUACACACCAUCUGAGAAAGCCAAUGCCAGUACACAGACGGAUGAUUCUGCAGAUCUUCGUAGUAUCAUGAAUAUUCUUCUGGAAAUGCGUAACCAGAUAUAUAUUCUGGACUGUGAAAUCCAAGCUUUGAAGCAUGCUGGACAAGCAUCUUCAGUCUCUCUGGAAGAUAAAUUCAAAGACCUCGCUCUGCAACUUCAAGCCAAUGCCAAGAGAGAAGAGGUAGCUCAUCUGCGAGAAGAUCUGAAGAAGCUCGAAGGAGUAGUCCAGUCCAUUGGGGAUUUCCAGAUCGUGCGCAUUCCCAAGCAGACAUGACUCCUUUCUCACCCUCUUUUUAAUGAUGACAAAAAGGGGGAGAACCAAUUUGAACAAACAUUAUUUUAAAACUUUAUUUGACUUUUGUGUUUAUGUUUAUUUUUGAGUAUGACUUGAGAACUUGAACUUGAGUGUUAGACUGAAUUGGCUGUGGAUUUUGAUGCUUGACUAGUUGCAUUUAUAUCAAGUAUUGUUACAUGGUAUUACUCAUGAAAGACUAACCAAUUUGCUGUGGAUGCAGAGUCUGGUUGUUUAUUAAUCUUUAUGAGUUAGCCAUAUUGCUUGAGAAAUGUUUUUGCAGGUCAAAGUUGUUCAAAUCUUCAAGAAAGUUUUGUCACCAUCAAAAAGGGGGAGAUUGUUGGAGAAAUCUUUCCAGAAUAUUUUGAAGCUGACAAAACAUUUCUAUCAGUCUAAGUCUAGAUAUCGAUAGUUAAAGUCUCAAGACUUUAUAGUCUCAAGACUUUGUAAUCUCAAGACUCAAAAACAUUCUCACUAACAGUCUUUCUAAUCCAGUGUUGAAGGAAAUCCAAAGCCGAGGUUUAUGGUUGAGGAUUUGAUCCUAUCCUCUGGAAUAGAUUCUUUGGUUGGAUAAUCAUUUCGGAUUCUUUAAUUCUUAUCUAAGAUCGAUUGAAGAUCCGAUGGUCGACGAAAUAAUCUUGGAUUAUUCUAUUCUUGGAAACCGAGAUCCUGAUUGUAUGGGCGAACAGGAUUGAUGGGCUAUCAUCAGAUUCCUUAAAUAGCUCGGAUGAUCUUCUUGAUUGAUUCCGUCCAACGGGUAGAUUGGAGGAAUUCCUUUGGUAAGUGCCAACGGCUAUGAUGGCAUGAAGGAGUAUAAAAGGAAGACGUUCUAGUUGUCUUAAGUGUGUGAUCGAUAGAAAAAUUCCAGAGUCUGAAGAUCCUUGAUUGUUAGUUGAGACUGAGCGAAAUUGUAUACAGAGAGUGUUUAUACUUGGUGACGCCUUGAGUGAGUGCGGUAGAUCAUCUACACCUAGAAAUCAAGGAAGAUCAACACUGUAACAACUCUUUGAUCAUAGUGGAAUUCAGCCAAUCGGCUGUCAGUGCAGAAGAGUGGACGUAGGCUUGAAUCAAGCCGAACCACUAUAAACCGAGUGUUCAAUUCUCUCUUUCCCUUACUCAGUCUUGCGAUUGAAUUUUUAACUGUUGCAAAUUCUCUAAUUGUUUAAAUAUCGUGCAAGCUUCGAGAAAUUUUUUGUAUACCUAUUCACCCCCCCUCUAGGUACUCGUACUAGCUAUUUCAGAUGUCACAGUUUGAAUCAUGGACAAAAGCCGAUGAUGAUAUUGAUCUUACUCUUUAUAAUUUGGGAGGAACUACUUUGUCGGGAUUGAUAAUGAAGUUUUCUUUUUAUUUUUUCAUUUUUUAAUGGUCGGGAAGAAAAUUUUCAUUUCAUAUCAAAGAGGUACAUAAUUUCAAGACAAAGAUGCAAUCUCGCAGAGCAAGUAAAUCUGAAAAGCAAAUCAACUUAGUACAACUUGUAGAGACUAAGCUCAUUCCACAAAAAGGGAUCUAUUAAAGCAUCAAAGCACAACCAGUGGCCGAUUACCAAAUCUCACAUUAUUAUCAGUGAUGAGCACAUACCAAGAAAUCCCUUUGUAGUAGCUACAGCUUUGCUAAAAGACGGUACGCGCCUCGAUUUAGCGUCCCUAGCACCAUCACCAUAUAAAGACCACGACAAUACCAAAAGGUAGAAAGACCACUGAAAAGUUAAAAAUAAGCCAAUUCCCAAAGGCAAUAACAAAGGAGCCUUGGAGACUUGUGGAGUACUCAACUAUCUGGAAGCAAGCACCCGAAGUCGGAGUGAGCAAGCAAAUCCAGAUAGAGCACAUUCUUCUGAGGCACUCGCACUUUGAUCCUCAAAGCUAACUUCCAUGGAGGAUGUCGACAGCAUCAUCCAUGAAAUCAACAAAGAAAUCUAUGAGAGAGAGAGAGAGGUCCCUCACGGGAAAUCCUAAGAGAGACACUCAAGUGGAAUUCUAACCGAUAGAAAAGGUUCACGAAUAGGAAUGAUCAUCGAUCACUUUAUCAACUCAUGUAAGCCCUUGAAGUUUCUAAUUUUGUUGGAAAAUUACCCAAAAAAAGUUAUCCUAUUGCACUUGCAUCAAUUCAAUUUUAAACAUUUUAAUGAUUCGUUAGUUACCCAAAAAUCUAGGAUAACGCUCAAUUUAUCUCAUUGUUAAAUAUGUCUCGAGUUUGAGUCCAAUGCGAAAUUCCGAAUAUUCUGAAUUGGAAAUUUUGUGGAUAUUCAGAAUUGGCCUCAAAUAGGAAAGUCCAAAUGUUAACUUGGACUUGGAUUUAUUUAAAUAUGUGUAAAUAUAUUUUAGGCUGAAGUCAGCAAGAUAACACAAAGGAAGAAAAAAAGGCGAAGGAAGCAGCGUGGGCUUCGUGGAACCAAAAACAAGAAAGGUGGGGCCCAAGGUCAAACUUUUGACCUUGGGCGCACACACACACAUAUAAAAGGGAAUCAUAGAGUAUUGCUUUGAUGCUGCACGUACAAGCCGAAGAUAAGAGGGAGCCGCUCAACGUACGUCUGCCGCUCAAACCCUACGUAGAAGUCGCAGAAAAAAAAGCCGCGAAAGAGGUCCUUUUUCGGGGUGUUGCUGCUGCACCCGUACGAGAGAAAAGGAGGAGCCGCAUGUCUUCAAGCUGAAGCGCUAUCAAGAAAAAGAGUUCUUUUUCAGCGUUUGUUUUGAGCUUGUGUGAUAAUUUUGUGCCGUGACUUGGGUUUGGAUUAAAUUGGGGUUUGGGAAACACCGAGAGAGUGUUUGAAUGACUUGAGUGUGUAAUUUCCUUGUAUCGCUUGAUCUAUAGUGAAAUUCGCUGCUGCUCUCCCCGUGGACGUAAGUCUUUACGACUGAACCACGUAAAUCCGGUGUCCGAUUUAUAUUUUUUCUUCUUUUGUCUAUAUUUUGUUCGAUCGCUCGCCUUAUCGCAACAAGUGGUAUCAAAGCUAGGUUUGGCUGAGUUGAAGCGAAUCGAUGGCGACCGAAGAAGUAAAAAUGAGAAUCAACAAAUUUGAUGGGAAUGAUUUUAGUUUCUAGAAGAUGCAGAUUGAAGAUUAUCUUUACCAGAUGAAUUUGCACUUGCUUUAUUUGGGGAGAAACCAGAGACGAUGAAGCAAGCUGAUUGGGAUUUGCUGAAUAGACAAGCUAUGGGUGUUAUUCGGCUAACGUUGGCUCAUAACGUCACGUUUAACAUCCUAAAGGAGAAGACCGUUGCUGAUUUGAUGCAAGCCCUGUCGAAUAUGUACGAGAAGCCAUCUGCGAUCAACAAGGUCUGUUUGAUGCGACGUCUAUUUAACUUGAAGAGGAAAGAAGGUGCAUCAGUUGCAGAUCAUAUCAAUGAAUUCAAUGUGAUUGUUAGUCAAUUGAGUUCAAUUGAGAUUGAUUUUGAAGAUGAGGUACAUGCUUUGAUUCUAUUAUUCUCAUUGCCUGAUAGUUGGAAUACUACCGUUACUGCUGUUAGUAAUUCCUCUGGGUCAACAAGUUUGACGUUUGAUGGGGUUCGAGAUUUGAUUCUGAGCGAGAACAUUCGUAGAAGAGAAUCUGGCAAAUCUGUAUCUACUGCUCUAGUAGGUGAAAAUAGAGGAAGAUCGAUAACACAUGUGGGUAAUGGUAGUACUAAUAUAAACAAACAUAGUCAAUCUAGGACUACUAAUGUUGUCUGUUGGAGCUGUGGCAAGAGGGAGCAUCUUAGAAGGGAUUGCCUUAAGCUGAAAAAUGAUAAGGGUAAGGGAAUUAUGGUUGAUUCUGCAGAUAAUGUUGCAGCUGUAGCAGAUAAUGUCGAUUAUGUUUUGUCUGUCACUAAUGAUUCAUUACUUGAUGGAUGGGUUAUGGAUUCCGAUUGUUCUUUUCAUGUCACACCAAAUAGAAACUGGUUUAUCACUUAUCAGUGCACGGGUAGUGGUAAAGUCCAGUUAGGGAACAAUGUUGAGUGCGAUAUUGUGGGUGUUAGUAAUGUUAAAAUUAGAAUGCAUGAUGGUAUCGUGAGGACAUUGACUAAAGUGAGGCAUGUUCCAGAAUUGAAAAAGAACUUAAUUUCCUUGGGUGCCCUAGAUUCAGCUGAUUGCAGGUAUUCUUCAAAAAGUGGAGUUCUGAAGGUUGUUCGAGGUGCCCUGGUGAUAAUGAAAGGAAUCAAGCAUGAUGGCCUGUAUAAACUUCAAGGUGAGACAAUGACAAGUUUCGCCCUGGAGACGUCGGAUGCAUCUGUUCGAGAGUCUUUUGACUGCUCAAGGAAGACCUGGGUGUUUGUGCUAAGGCACAAGUUUGAUGCUGGUGUCAGGAUCUUGCAGUCAAAAGCUUUGAUCGAGACGGAGACUGGUAAGUCGAUCAAGCAUGUGCAGACUAACAAUAGCAUGGAGUUUUGCUCGGAGCUGGCAAAUAAAUUCUGCAUGAAAGAUAGCAUAGUGAAACACCGCACUAGUGCCAAUAAAUCACAACAAUUUGCAAAAUUGACGAGCAGAACAUUACUAGAGAUGGCCCGAAAAAUUAUCUCUAGUGCUGGUAUAGCUAGGAGAUUCCUGGUUGAUGUGCUAAGUACGAUAGCUACCUGGUGAAAAGAUCCCCAUCAAUUGCUAUUGAAUGGCGGACUCCUGAAGAAGUGUGGUCAAAUAACGUUGCUGAUUAUUCUAUUCUUAGAAUGUUUGGUUGCCCGUGUUAUUUUCGAGUGAGUGAUGGUAAGCUUGAUUAGAGGGCAAUGUGUAUAUUCCAUGGCUAUGCACAAGGUGAGCGGGGCGAUCAGUUGUGGUGCCCAAAUAUAAAUUCACCUGUUAACAGUAGAGAAGUUACCUUUGAUGAGUCUCAAGUACUUCUACCUAGGAGUGAUUAUAGCAAUGUUAAUAUGGAUCUGAAUGGUGUUCAGCUUGAGGUGGAGUUGCAACUAGAAACUCCUAAGGUAGCAAGUACGAGUACUAGCAAAGUAAUCGACACAGAUGGUGCUCAUAGCGAGGUGGAGCCUAUAGAACCAAUGGUUGCUGUAACUGCUUAAAUUAAUAAGGUACGUUUUCGAUCUCCUGAUAGAUAUAGAUGUAACAAUGGUUUUGCUUUAUCUGCGAUUGAGGAGGUUGCGUCGGAAAAUCCUUGCGAAGCAGUUAAAGGUGCAUGUAGAGUUGGUAUUCUGAUGAGAUCCUCGGUUAUAGCAAAGUUCAAGCGAGGCUUGGACUUGGACAAUAUUUGUGGCGGUUGAGCCCAUCGGGGGCUAUGGGAAAGUAGCAACAGAAUUUGAAUUUUUGCGAAGCGAUUGCAACUUGGCUCAAACAUCGAGCCAAUGUGGAGAUUGUUAAUUAUGUCUCGAGUUUGAGCCCAAUGCGAAAUUCUGAAUAUUCUAAAUUGAAAAUUUUGCGGAUAUUCAGAAUUGGCCUCAAACAGGAAAGUCCAAAUGUUAACUUGGACUUGGAUUUAUUUAAAUAUAUGUAAAUAUAUUUUAGGCUGAAGUCAGCAAGAUAACACAAAGGAAGAAAAAAAGACGAAGGAAGCAGCGUGGGCUUCGUGGAACCAAAAACAAGAAAGGUGGGGCCCAAGGUCAAACUUUUGACCUUGGGCGCACACACACACACAUAUAAAAGGGAAUCAGAGAGUAUUGCUUUGCUGCUGCACGUACAAGCCGAAGAUAAGAGGGAGCCGCUCAACGUACGUCUGCCGCUCAAACCCUACGUAGAAGUCGCGGAAAAAAAAGCCGCGAAAGAGGUCCCUUUUCGGGGUGUUGCUGCUGCACCCGUACGAGAGAAAAGGAGGAGCCGCAUGUCUUCAAGCUGAAGCGCUAUCAAGAAAAAGAGUUCUUUUUCAGCGUUUGUUUUGAGCUUGUGUGAUAAUUUUGUGCCGUGACUUGGGUUUGGAUUAAAUUGGGGUUUGGGAAACACCGAGAGAGUGUUUGAGUGACUUGAGUGUGUAAUCUCCUUGUAUCGCUUGAUCUAUAGUGAAAUUCGCUGCUGCUCUCCCCUUGGACGUAGGUCUUUACGACUGAACCACGUAAAUCCGGUGUCCGAUUUAUAUUUUUUCUUCUUCCGUCUAUAUUUUGUUCGAUCGCUCGCCUUAUCGCAACAUGAAUAUGGUAAGAUGCCAUCAAGUUCCAAAUGAACGAUCCAAACGCGACAUUAUUUGUGUUUGAUAACAUGGAAUAUUUGAUGACGUGGACUACGAAGAUAGCCUUCAUAUGGUAUUCAAUAGAGGAACACACAUCGGGGGCUCGCGAAGUGAUAAUGCUUGUGUUUAUGUAAAGAUUCUUCACGUAGGGGGGCAUUAUUUCCGAUGAUAAAGACAAGGUGUCUCCCUCUUUGGCCAGCCAAAAGUAGGUUUCGGUCGACCCAUCCCAACGUUAAACUUCCAGGAAACCCCACUUAUGGGGACAACAUCUCAUUCAUUGAAUGUUAUCCUCACUCGUCGUUAAUAAUGCAAGUAGUAAAAUACUGCCGCACGCACGAAGCGGCGUGAUUCGGUCGUGGGCACUGAAUAUGUGACAUGACAAGGGUGAAGAAACAGAUCAGUCUUGGUUGACGAUGACUCGGCCACUUCGUUGGACCAACAUGCGCACCUACACUCCCCAGUGAGUGACCACAAAGAUUUUAGAAGAAGAGCAGUUAAAUCUAAUUCGAUCUGAAAUAAAGUAGUGUUUAGAUUUAUUAUUAUCUUUAACCGGAUUCCUUCUAUUUAUUUCGCGGCUUCUAGAUGAAUGUGUCGGAGCCUUUCAAAGUCAAAAAAUGGGAAAAUAUAAAGAUUCCGUCUCCAUGAAUUUUCUUGUAGGACCAUCUCAAGAGAGCUCAAUUCCAUCUGCAACGAUUUUUGACCGAUUCUUAGAUUCCCUGGGCCAAGAAAACGAAAGAGAAAAUGAUCCUUUUGCAAAGACUUGGAAUUCACAACCUGAGCUGACCUAAUCAAGUUCAAUAUGAUGGGAUCAAAGAAUCGCGCGAGGUCAACUGCUCGAACUUGAUUUCCAACAUAAUAUUCUCGGCAUAAUAAUGAGCUCGAGCUCGAUACGAUGUGGCAUUUUCUUUUCUGCGUGUAGCUCUACUCAAUCAUGUAACAGUGAAUUCUAAGCUAAUGUGAGACCAGGCUUUGGAUUACUUUCCUAUUGAACUCAUAGAAACCAUCUCGUGAAGACGUGUAUCUUGUCGUAAUCCAUGCAUAAAGUAUCUUGCAUGCAUGCGUAUGGCCUUCAAGAUUUUUCCCCAUGGACGAUCUUGGACUUCAAAUUUUUUAUGUUGUGGCACGUUGGACAAUACAAUCUGUCAGAAGGUGAUUGAUUCCAUGUCAUCGCCCUCCAUACGCAUUGGAAAAAACAAGCAACAAAAGAGAAAAAAUCGCCUGUUCUUUUCCUUUCGUUCGGACUGUGAGACACAGACCCAAUCGGGUUUACACACGUGAUGACCCCUAAUCGGGCCAUUGCCUGCUCGGUGUCUUUCUUGACUUACUGUCGCUUCUACGUAAGUAUAAAGAUCCCCGUCCAUCUCCGCUCAGUUCACUCAGUUCCAUCUCCGAACGCCCUCACAGUUCGUGGAAACCACAGGGAGAGAGAGAGAGAGGGAGAAUGGCUGGUGCUAGAUUUCUGUGUUCCUUCCUCCUCGUCGUGACCGCUUGCUCCGCCGCAGCAGCUGGCUUCGAGGGCGCCGACCUUGAGUCCUUCAUCCUCCAAACCGUCGGCCACACCCGUCCUUCCCUCUCCUUUGUAGACUUCGCCCGCGGGUUAGAUAUCAACACCCCACUUAGAAAAGAAUAAUGCAAAAAUUAGAGUCGUGGAUGUUAGACAAUGAAGAGUACAUGAACCUAUAAAUUUUAUUAGAUGAUUGUCUAAGUUAUAAUAUCGGAUAUGUACAAUCGAUGACAUCAAUUUUAGUUUGGACGAGAGAUCCGAAAAAUGCAAGAGUCGAAAAAGAGAGAAUUAGCCGAUGUCAACAUGACUAUGUAAGCUAUCCGAUAGAAAGCUAUUGUCGCAAUAGGAAACUUCUAUCAAGAAAAAGCCUAUUUUGAUAUUAAACAAUAAAAAAUACAUAAUCCUAAUUACAUGCAUGACCUUUUUGAAAAUCAAGAAGUAUCCUUGUUGUCUCUAACACUCAUCUGGGUGUGUUCUUGAUUUGUCAAUUCGCCUUUGUUAUCUAUAAAAGAUUGUUGACCUUUUCGAUUGUUGUCGUUUAUCCGCGUUGUUGGUGUUUGGUUUAGGCACGGGAAGACGUACAAGACAGCGGGAGGAGAUCAAGUUGAGGUUCGAUAAUUACAGGGAGAAUCUCAAGCUCAUUCGAUCCACCUACCAGAAGGGCUUGCCUUACACUCUCGCUGUUAAUCGUACGUGGCAGUUCUUGACAUUUUCUCCUUUUCCAUUUCUUGUUUUAGACCUGAAGAUCAAUUCGGUCAUAGUCGUUUCGACUUGUUUCGUAACCCGAAGCCGAAGAGAUGGUAUAUUUUAGCUGUUGCUGCUGUCGUCGUUGAGUUUGAUUUGUGCUUGAUGGGUGGACAGAGUAUGCUGACUGGAGCUGGGAGGAGUUCAAGACGCACAGACUGGGAGCUUCUCAAAGCUGCUCUGACGCCAUCAAGGGCAGCCACAAGCUCAGCGACGAUGUUCUUCCCGAAACGGUAUUUUUCGUUGGUUCAUUUUUCUAAGUGAACCAAAUGUCAAAAAAUGGGGUUCCGUGAAACAAACACAUUCUUCGUUUUCGUUGAAACAUUCAUAUAUAAUUGAGUUAUAACGACAAAAAUCCAUUAGCUCCAUCCAUGACGACUAAACUUUCUUGUCCUCGUUUUUACUGAUUGAAAGUGCUCGCUGAAACAACUUAUUCUCUCUUCCAUCUCAAGGUUUUGGCACUUUUCAUGAGAUCCAACACUAGAUUGCUUAUUACUGUAGAAUCUACUAGCUGAUCAUUGAAGUGCGAGACCCGUGUCAAUAUUAGAUCUUUUUUUUCUUCCAAUCCUUCAUAUUUGCAGAAAGACUGGAGAAAAGAGGGCAUUGUAAGCCCAGUUAAAAAUCAACGCGGCUGUGGAUCUUGCUGGAGUUUCAGGUUUUUCUUUGUUCUCCUUCUCUUCUCUUAGAUUUAUAUUUGUCACUCACAUUAGUACGUAACACACUUAUUAACUUGGCAACUCAUUGGGAUGUCAUUACGCUAGACUGCUAGUGACCUCUAAUUUGCACUUUUGCAGCGCCACAGGAGCUCUCGAGGCUGCUUAUCACCAAGCACACGGAAAAGGAAUCUCUCUGUCUGAGCAGCAGCUCGUGGACUGCGCUACGGCUUUCAACAACUUUGGAUGCGAUGGCGGGUUGCCGUCGCAAGCCUUCGAGUACAUCAAGUACAACGGUGGCCUUGAGACCGAGGAAGCUUAUCCUUAUACUGCACGAAAUGGUACCUGCAAAUUCUCGGCUGGCAGGGUCGCUGUCAAUGUUGUCGACUCUGUCAACAUCUCCAUGGUAAGUUUCAUGGGCAAUCUGUAGAGUUAACCAAAAGAAAAGGAGAAGAAAAGGAAAAAAAAGCUCCGCAAAUUUCAUAAAGAUAGUUUCAAAUUGCCUUUAUGUUUAUAUUUGCAAUGCAUGAUGGAUUCAGGGUGCUGAGGAUGAACUGAAGCAUGCAGUUGGCAUGGUCCGGCCAGUCAGUGUGGCAUUCCAGGCCAUGGAUGUCUUCCAGCACUACAAGUCGGGUGUCUUCACCAGCGAUGCAUGUGGUAGCACUUCCAUGGUGAGCAUUUCCAAAUAAAAUGAAAGGAACACUAUCUCCAUCUCAAUCAUGUUCAAAGGAUGCCAAUGCGCAAGAUUCAUGUGGCUUUCUAAACAUCUGUUGGAAUUAAUUAGGGAUUUCUCUAGGAUAAUUUCAAUUGUUAGAAAUAUUUUAAUAAUUCUGUCCAUAUCUCUCAAGAUAGCACGUAUAUUACACAAAUAUCGCAGGCAUAUAACACAUAUAUUGCACUUAUAUCUCAAUUUGAUUGUAUAUAUUUUGAUUAAGAUCAAACCUAAAAAUAAGUUGUUAUAUUCUUCAUUGAUAUAUACAUUGAAAUAUGGGUUAAGAAUAGCACAACUACCAUAACCUUGGUACGGUGCUCACUUGAAUGCCACAAAUUUGAAAAAUUAAGUACUUAAAUGCCAUCAGUGAUUUAUCUCGUCAGAAAAUCCACUAGUCAUCUUGCAUGGCUUCGCCGACACUAACAUGGACACCAAACAUCCACUGGAGAUAAUUAGAGAUUUCUCCAGGAUAAUUUCCAUCAUUAGAGAAAUAUUAAUAAUUUUGUUAAUUAUUUAUAUCUCUCAAGAUAUUGCGCGAAUACCGCAUGAAAAUGGCACGUAAUGUAUAUCUCCCUUUGAUUGUACAUAUUUUCAUUGAGAUAUUAUUUUAGAAUAGUUAUCUAAUAAAGCCUAUAAAUAAUUUGUUUCACACUUCAUUAAUAUAUAUAGAAAUACAUGCAAACUCCACAUUUCUAGUUUUCGCAUUAUUAUUCUUAAUUACAUCGAUAAAUCUCAACCGUGACAUUUAAUUUUGAGCAUUUAUAUUGUCAAGAUCCAUAUAAUUUGAUUCCUUACUGCAAAUAAAGUUUUGCAUGAAAGGUGAUACUCAUGCUCAUGCCUAAUGAAAACUGAAUGUAUUGUAUCAGGAUGUGAAUCAUGCUGUUCUCGCUGUCGGUUAUGGAGUUGAAAACGGUGUUCCAUACUGGCUUAUCAAGAAUUCUUGGGGAGAGAGCUGGGGCGACAAAGGAUACUUCAAGAUGGAGAUGGGGAAGAACAUGUGUGGUAAGUUCCCUCUUUUGGUUUUGGUAGAACUACUUGAACAAAACGGUGCUAGGAUAACUAUGCUUUUGAAAUUCUCGCAGUUGUUUUACUCCAUGUCCAUUCCUUCUAUGCUUGGCUUUCUACUAAGUUACUCCGUCCUCGUCUAUCUAUGAUCUUAAAUUGCAGGUAUCGCUACUUGUGCAUCAUACCCUAUUGUGGCCUAGAUUGUUUUUAGAGAACCUAUGGACUCGUGCGCCAAGUGAUUCGAGACAUAAUUGCUCCACCUGAGGUUGAGUACUGUAAUGUAGCAUGGAAGGGUUUAUGCUUUAGCGCACAAAAAUAAUCUUCGAGACAAUUGUAAUUCCAUAUGGUUAAUGUUAUGUCAACGAAGACCUUAUAAAUUCCAAUCGACGUUUGCAUGGCAUGAAACCCUAUCGUUGCUAGAAUAACACAUUGCCGCAAAGGAAAAUAUGAUUCUUCCGCCAUUAGAACGGCAUGGGAUCGAAGGGGCAAAAUUUCACUCGAACUGAACGCUUUCGCUUAUUUACUCAGUAGAGAUUGAAUGCACGGUCUUACACACAUGUUAACACUCACCACGCGAUGUUUAGAUAGCCUAGAUGUGAUACUAUCUUUGAUUGCACCGGAAGAGACGGUAGCCAACAUAUUUUAUUCGCAAGGCAAAUUACACAUGCAAAGAUAAGCAAAAGUUCAUAGUUCGAUUAGCCGCCAUUCAUAUCCUCAUUCCUUAACAUGCUAAUUUGAAUGAAAUCGUAUUGUGCACAUGUUGCACAACAGCAAUUCUUUUUCCUUUUCUUUUUGGUCGUCCAUUACAGUAAUUGCUUGUCCUAUUGGUACUGAAACACUAUAAGGCUCUCAAAUUGCAAUCGUCACGGUUCUAUUUUUCUUGCAUUUGUCAUUUCCCAUGAGCUCGAUCGACUGUAGUUACAGCUCCAGAGAGAGAAGCUCAUGAUAUAUAUGCCUCAUUCUUUCCCCAAAGAAACAAGAAUAGAACCAAAGAUUUUCCAAUUUAAUAUGUUCAUAGAGUGAUUAAUAACAAAGCAUGCAAAUGUGGGGGAUAAUUGUUUAAAACGUCUUAAAUCUAUUGUACAGGACUCAAUUCAAUUCUAAACUUUUGAUUUAUUCAAUAUGAUCCCUAAACUUUUAGUAAAUACUAAAUUUAGUCUAUAAAUUAUAUGAAAACGUCAAUGUUAUCCUUCCUUUAAUUUAAGUAAAUAGAAUUUACUAACUUGGUUUCCGAUCUAGUACUAUUGAAUGGUGGACAAAAAAAAAACAUUAUACGUGAAAAAUUCAUGUAAUUAUAAUAUAAUAAUCAUUUUAAUCUGUUUAACUUGAAAAAAAAUGAUUAUCUAUGUUACUUGAUGAUGUGGAUUAUUAUAUCAUUAUCUCAGUUGAAUAUCUUACAUGGAAAAUUCUCCUGUAAUUUUUUUUUUUUUUUGGUCUAUCGUUCAAACUUGCUAAAUUGGAAGCUAAAUCAAUAAACUCCUUUUAAAUUAAAUUAAUGAAAUGAUAACAUUAGAUAUCUUCAUAUAAUUUAGAGAUUAGAUUAAACAUUUAUCAAAAGUUAAUAUAUUAUAUUGAAUAGAUUAUUCAUCUGAAUUAUAUCAUUUGGAAUUUUGAGAUUAUGAAAAUAAAAUUAGUUUAUGAUCAUGAGGGGGAUCUUAUGCUUGCGAAUGUUGCUUUCGCCGAAUAAAUCUUUGGCUUUUUCCUUGAUAAUCCCUACAAGUGUUUAAAAUAAAAUAACAAAUAAAAAACGCGACAAAGCACCCUUUUAGAGACAUUCUAGAAGCUCCAUUCAAUAGAAUAGGAUACUUGUGUGCUCCAGUCUGUUCCAAUCACAAAAUAAUAAUUUUUUUAUAAUUGGAAUGAAAAAGUUCCCCCCAAUAGCUGUUCAUCAGGACACAAAAUUAAAUAAAAAUAGGGCUAUAUAUUUAAUGUCUUGAUUUUGUAGCCAUGACUAAGUUUAUAUUGUGGGACAAGGCCAGCUAAGGCAAAAUGCCAAGACGAGAGUUUUGUCCUAAGAAGCACUGACACUCUCCGGAAGCUUUCGUGUCGUGUCCGACAUUCCAACACGCUCUGACAUGCUCCAACACGCUCCGACACGUUCUGACACGCGGUCAACAAGUGUCAGAAAAUCCGGCACGUGAUCAACUCUUUCCGACACGCGAGUCCGAAAUUCUGACGCGCGAUUCCGACACACACGGGAUCAAUUUUAAAAAUUUUCAAUACUUGAUGGGUCAAAAUAUAAAUAUAUGAAAAAAUAAUGAAAAUAACAAAAAUAAAAGGGAAAGAAGAAAAUUCUUACUUUCAAAUUUCUCACUUAAAAGUCUUGAUCUUCCCGUGAGUGACGAUGGAACACCCCUCUUCUCGUCGGCGUCGUUUCGUUGCCCCCACAUACUUAAAGUUAUAAUUUUUUUUUUGCUUCUUUUCGCCUCUCGCAAGCAUCGCUUGCGAGUUAUCUCUUUUGGUCUAUGUUAUUGGCUUGUGAGUUAUCUCUCACAUUUUCCAUGGCGAAUAUAGUGAUUUCCUGUUCUUUUGGUCAUACUUCGAGAGUUCUUGUCCUCGAUUUUCACUUUUCUCGAACCUUGUUUUGCAAAGGAGCUCCAAGCUAGUCUAUAUCAUGAACUCUAUAAACUCUGUCUAAGACUAUAAGAAAUCUCACUAAUCUCCGACAAGUAUAAGAAAACAUGACAUGUUCUUUCAAGUUUACUCUUUCAUGUUUGCAAUUUUUGAAUUUCUCGUUCAACCUCUGUCAAAUUAAAACAAUGAAUGAUAUUAACAAAUGUUUGAUUAAUAUUUUUAGUACAAAUUAAUUCUAUGCUCUUUUAUUAUUAUUUAUUUAUUUAUGCAUUUAUAUAUAAAAAUAUAUAUUUAACAUAUAACUUGUUGGAACAUGUCAGAAUUCUUUAUUUUUUUUAAAAAAAUGACGUGUCGGCAUGUCGUGUCGUGUCGUGUCGCGUCGCGUGUUGCGUGUCUAUGUCGAUGCUACAUAGGUUUUGUCUACCUCUGCCAAGCAGACCCCAAUUUGCAACUUGCAUUUCAGUGGAUAGCUCAAUUUGCUAAAAAUUCCUAACAAAUUUUGACUGGAGAAUCAAAGCAUUUAUCAAUUAAGCUGUUUCCUUAAGAAGGAAAAAAAAGAUCUUAAUACUAUAUAGCUGAAUAAAUUAUUGAAACACGACUUCUAAAACUUUGCAUAGUAUUCAUCUUCUUUCGGAAUUCAAUCUACCAUCAAUAAUUAAAACCGAAGCAAAUAUUGUGCACAUUAUAAAAGUGAAGUUGUCGAAUUGAAAUUCAAAAGAAUUCUAUAAUGCAUUGUAUAUCCUAGAAUAUGUCCCAUUCUUCUACUCUUUCCCGAGAGUCAAUGACUAUUCAUAAUUUUACCUUGACACCAAUGAAUUUAGAAAUUAUUAUAUCAUAUCAAUAACUAAUCUUUUUUUAAUAACUCCAAUUAUAACAUUGUUUUCAUUAUUUACUGAACUCUCUCUCUCUCUUAAAAAAACAAACUUUGGCUUAGUUGGAAGAUCACAAAAAAACUACAAUUUGAAAAAUGGAAGAGGCAGAUUAUAUACUGCAUUAAGGAUAAGUAAUAUUUGGUCCAUCUAUAUAGUUUUAUUUCCCGAUUUUCAUUUCUCGAAAAAUGUUGCUAAUUAGAUCUUUUAGAAUUUGCACAUGAUCAUCUAGUUCUAAUGGUCAAAAGAGGGUGACCAAAUGCUACGAACGUUCCUUGCAAUUGCAACCACCUCACCUAGACUUAUGGAAUUUCACCGAACCACCUAAUAGUCAAUUUUCUCAUUCAAAAACAAUGCUAACCAUGUCACCCAUUGACCACGUUAUUCGUUUUCCUUAAGGAUUGCCAUCACGGCACUUUGGCCCUUUUAUUUCUUCCUAAGAUCAAUAGAUUAGUGGCGGCCGUGGUAGAAACUAGAGAAUUGCAUAGGAGAUGUCAUCACGGAUGACAUACGGAACGAGGUGAUGUGCAAAGGCGAAGAACAUUAGUAGGAGAGCAAGCUUCAUUGGGGCAUGGGAGGCUUAAUUUCUUAAUCAUCUUGCUGAAAAGUAUAAUCUUGCGUACUAAGCAAACAAAGAUGCAACAAUUUAUCAUUAAAAAUAUGGCGCUUAAGUUUAAAUGUAUAGAUUAUUUUUAUGUAACAACCUUUUCUAUGUGCGAUCAUCGUGCCAUGCUUCAAUGGAGCACGUUGUUCUCUCUCACACACGCGCAAUUAAUUCAAACGCAUGAGGAAAUUAUACUAUGGCCGCCAUUAAAAUGACAGGGAAAAUUUCAAUUAAGGGCCUGAAAUGAAACCGUUUUCUCAAAAAAUGGCCUAAAGUGGACAUUGUAUCAAAUAAGGGCCCGAAGUGACUGACUUAGUCUCGAGUAAGGGUUUCAACUUAAAAGCCAGUCAAAUCUUAUUUGCAACUAGGGGUAUUUUCGUCUAAAGACUUUUUCUCUUUUUCCUUUUUGUUUUUCUUUUCUUUCUUUUUUCAUCUUGCUCACCUCCUUCUUGACAAAUGCAUCAAACUCCUGACGCACAAGCUUGAACAAGUGCAAAACAAUUUGAACAAUUUAGGAAAAGAAGAAAACAAAAACAUAUUCAAGAAGUUAUGCAGUUUUGCAAAACUGCAAAUUGCGUGCUUCAGUUCUGCAGCCUCCCCAUCAGCAAACUUCAAAGCGCAUGCUCUACAUUAUGCAAUUUUGCAUCCUCACCCAAGAACUCAUCAAUCUCGGCAUGAGCCGUUUUUUAAGUUAUUCGCCACCACUCACCUUCUCUGAUGACGAUAAUGAACUUGAGAAUCAAGAAAUAUCCAUAAGUGAGUUUUGUUUUUAUUCAAUUUGCUUGUAAAAACUUAUUAUGGCAAUCAAAGUAACAGUUUCAUGCUCUCCCCACCAAUGAAAUUGCCUAUGCCAUGAUAACUUUCCCUCGUAGCUUCUUGGGAAUGUUUUAUUGGGUCUAGGUUGGAUUAUUCAUAACAUUCAUGAACGUAGCUUGCAUUGAGGUGAACUAUGUGGCUUCAUGAGAGGGUCUAAUUGUGUCGUGCAUGCUGGUUAUUUUCAAAGGCUGCUGAAUCAUUCUGACCCGUGAUUGAAGAUACUCACCUUUGGUGGCGAUUCGAAUCAAACAGCACUCAAUCUAAAAAACAAAUGACUCUGGUCUACACAUGUUCAAACAAAUUUGUCUCUCUAACUAUGAAAUAUUAUCUAUAGAGAUUUGAGAGAAAAUAACAAGAUGAAAAAAGUGCAAAAUCGCUUAGAAAUUCCCAAAACCACGUAUUUCACUAAACAAAUUAAUGCACAUGAGUAUCACAAAGAUUUCUCAAAAACCUCUAAUAAAUUGGGCUUAGGCACUUCAAUCUGGCUUCUCCUCGCUAAGAUCGAUCAUAGCUUGCGUGAGCACCGAUUUGAAUUCAAGCAUUGAUGACAACGAGGGUAGCAAGCUAAUGGCUUACAUCUCAUCAUGCUUCGUGCUUGACCACGACCACAAGAUGUGGGGAUCGAAUCGAGCUAAGCGUCACAUCUUGGUCCACUCAUACUCGAUCUAGGGCUUGGAUUGACCUCUUCUUUCAACAAAGGUACUGGAAUUGCUAUUGAGGGCAAUGACAAAUGAGGUUGAGGGCGUUGAUGGCUAAUUCAGCAAGGAAGAUAGAGAUGGACUUUGGAGAACGUGAUCUAAAGAGUGAAAAAGGUGAAGGCUCGAUGAUGAUGAAGAAAAGAAAGAGAAGGAGAAAAUAAAUUAAGAAAAGAAGGAAAAGAAAGUCUUUAGACGAAAAUAUCCCUAGAUGCAAAUAAGAUUUGGUUGGUUUUUAAGUGAGGCCCUUAUUUGAAACCAAGUUGGUCACUUCAGGUUCUUGUUUAAGACAAUAUCCAUUUUGGGUCCUUUUUUGAGAAAACGGUUCCACUUUAGGUUCUUAAUUGAAAUUUUCCCAAAAUGACGUGAUCUUACCUUUUGCUUUAUGGCAACUUUGAUCCCCAAAACGUGUCCAACAAUCAAAACAUAGACGGGGAUUGUAUAAGCUCGUGCGGAUACCAAAAUCAGUUGUCCUUAUUCGUGUAUCUAUCUUCCGUUUCUGUAUCGUCUCUCACACGCCACACGCCAUAGCGUAAAAUAGAAAUGAACCAAGCCAACUCAUCCAUAGCUCAUCAAGCAUGAGAGCUCAAGGAACACACGGAGUCAUCGAAUGAGAUCGCAUCCAUAUUGCUAGACGCGAGAACACCAAUAUCUUGUUCGGGUCGUGGAUUGAUAGCGCGUGGCUUGUUCAUUCAUGCCCAAGGCACAAUCUCGUCUUAUCGAAAAGACUCAUAGAUUCAUCAAUUCCCAAGUAACUCAGUCACCGAUUCAUCAUCUAUGGCCACUUGGCUUGAAAACAACCCAUGCACUGAGCCAUGAUCCUUCGUGUGGGGAGCCACGCGAUACAUCCGUCUUUGUCUAGAGACGCUCUUUUCGAUCGGUCGAGACCGAGGAUUAUUGAACGUUAUUAUGACUCAUUCUUGAUUCAUUCAUGUGCCUCUGACAUGAGUCAUGCAUCGCCCGAUGAUCGCCCAAACGAGAUCGUGCCAUCUUUCCAACUUAUUUCGAACCUUACCGGACCAUAUUAUUGUUUUUCUCAAACCCAAUUCAUCCCUGCCCCUUUCUCUCCAUCUCUGGGCACAACCCCAUGAACGGCUACGUCCCUCGCCUUGCUUGAUUACCACGGCGACAGCGACCACCACCACCCUUGCCGGCGCCAACGAUGGGGGCGUGCGUAUAUCGCUCUCCUCUCUCUCUGGUCGUGUCUUUGUCUUCUCUCUCUCUCUCUCUCUCUCUCUCUCAUCUCUCUUCUUCGUCAAAGGCCGAGCUCAGCGGCGUGAAUUGUCGACAUCAAGCCCAGCGCAGCAUGACGACAGGGUGAGCAGAGAUGGGCUAUUGGAUAUCUGGACAACGAUGAUGGACACGAUGACAAACCGGUGGCGGCGCUCGAGUGGUUUAGUGGGCGACGGAAGGCGGCUGCAGGUUGAGGUGCAUAGGAGAUGGAAAGAGGCUGUGCUUGAAUUCGUGCGGGAUUGAAUCCGAUGCGGUGAACGCUCAAAAUGUGAUGGACAGGCGACACGGUCUCGUGAUGAGUGACAAAGAAAUGCAAACAUAAAUGGAGAUAGCCGACCUGCAUCCAGCAUGUGGACAUGCACGCUGGCGAAAAGCUCCAAUCAUAUUAACUUUCAUUAAAACUUGUGUUCGGAGAUAAGAAAAAAUUUGUCAAAAUACAUGAAUCUCUUGCUAAAUGACGUUGCAGUAUUUUACGAUGUAAACCCACUUUAGAUAAGCUUAAAAACUGAAAGCUAGACGCAGUUGGCCUUUUUUUCCCCCCAAGUAUAGUGUUGAUCAAGCAACAUAAACCUUCUUUUCUUUUAUUUUUUGCCAUCUUCCCUCCUCAGGAGAUGCGUCCUUCUCGAACGAAAAUUCCACAUUUUAUAUAUUGUUGUGCGAUUUCACGGCCCGUUAUCAACCGGAACGGGCUAGUUUUCUAGUGGGCUCAUAUGUUGGUUUUGUCAUCUUAGGCCUCGUCUGAAUCUUGGACAGAGUCGAUGGUGACAAUUCGUCUUGCUCUAUGUAAUUUUGGGAGGAAUUGCUUUUGUCGUGAGUCGAUGGCAAAGCAUCGCGAGUAGGAAUCUCAUUCAGGCCCUUUGAAGUUUUGAAUUCCGAGAUUUUCUUGAAACUAUCAUGUGAGCUCUUUGCGAGACUUAUCGUGACAGUACUUUUUUCGCCUAAAGCAUCACGAGUAGGAAUCAUCAUCUAUCACUUCACCAUUCUCAUUCAGGCCCUUUGAAAAUUACAAGAUUUUCUUGAAACUAUCAUGUGCUACUCUUUGCGAGACUUACGUGACCGUACUUUUUCCGCCUAAGAGAUAGGUUAAGUUCUAUUACAUAGGAUCGGAUGGAGUUUUAACUCCUUUCACAUGAAUUGUGGGAUCCAGUAAUCUCUCAUUGAAUUUCAGUGGGUUCGUCCUAAACCAUACAAGUCAUUUUCCACUUGCCUAGCAAAUUGUUAUGAAGAAAGCCUAUAGAUAAAGUGUUGAGUCCAUCAAGCCCUCAACUUACCUCACGAACAAGGUCAAAUGCAAGCCUAAUCCCAAUGAAAGGCUCAGGCCAAGCACGACGCCAUCAGCCGUAUCCGAUGACGUUGAAAAUCGAAUCUAUACCUAGAGCUCUUAGAAUAAACGCAAGAGCAUCCUAUUGCCCAUCAGCUCUCUUGAUCUCACAUUCAUCAAAUGGUUCACAAAGUGAUAAGGUCGUGUGUUUUUAUUCGUAGAUUCUUGUCAUAGGAGCAAUAUCGCCAUCAAUCAAGACAAGACAAGGCGUCUCUCUCUGUCAAUUUUCUUGGGCUGAAGAAAUAUCUCAUCUCUACAAUCGAUCUCAUGCUUCUUGUUAUUUUCUAAAUAAUAAUUCAAGUGGUCGAAUAAUACAACACAUACAAGGCAGAAUAAUCUGGUCAUGUGCGCUCCACUAACAUAUGACAAAAAGGGAUUGUACACGUUGAACAGACUCUUUUGGUGAUCAUUUUGAAUGACCGUGGAUGGCAAUUUAGAAAAAAAAAAUGAAGAUCUAAUUCGAUCGGGGAAUUGAGUGGGAUCGAGAUGUACUUUUUGAGUAGAUUAUCCAUGCUAAACACUUCAAUUUAGCUCUAAUCUUAUUGACCAUGUCACAAAAAAUCUCCAACCAAUAAACUUGUACUAUAUUUGUCUCUAAUUAGUAUAUACCUAUGCUAGUUUUACACCAAAAUUGUGGUAAAUUCGAGAUUUUUAUAGGAUAAUUAUAAUACAGGUGUAAUGAGUUAAAAUGAAUAUAGUACGGAUAUACCAAUUUAAAAAAUGUGGCACAAAUCUAUCAAUUCAAAAGUUUUUAUGACGUAAAAAUUAAUUUGACAUAAAUGUGAUAUGAAUAUACCAAUUUAAGUUUUUUUUUGGUUUUAUCCUUUCAAAAAAAAAAAUCAAGACCAAUCAUUUGAAUAAUUAUUGCAUCAUUACAUUUAUGAUGUCCUUUUUUCUGAAUUCAUCGGCACAUUUCUCGAUAUAGUCGACAAGACCUAUAAACUCAAGAUUUCGAAUUGCGCUAAAUGCUUGAUUUCAUUGAUUCCUCAUAUUCCUUUUUUUGCAUCUCCUUAAUGAACAUAUUCCAAGCCGUUCAUCAUCAAAAUGGGGAAAGGUUGAAGCUUUCCAUCUCCAUGACUUUUCUACGACUUUUCGUGUAGGAUCUCAAUUUUAUCACCAAAUCUAGAUUUUUGGCCAAAAAAAUCUCCAAUUCUAGAUUCUUGGGCCAAUCAAGAAAGAGAGAAUAUUUCUUAAGCGAAGUUUAUGGAUCACAUGACAUUAUCUGGCCUUUGUCUUGGUGUGACUAAGUUCAAUAUACUCGAAUUGAAUAGAAGGGGUGAAGUCAAUUAUGCGAGCUUGAUUUCUCACAUAAUGUAUUUAUUAUAUUCAUCACGUGCGAUGCCUAACUUUAAUUCAAUAUAGUAUUUCUUUUUUCGCAUGUAACUUGACUUAAUCACACAUCAAAAGUAAAUUCUAAGCUCAUUCGAGUUUGAACUUUGCAUAAAUCCCAUCCUAUUCAUAGAAAUCAAAGUAAACAUCAAUAACAUGUUUCUUACUAUAGUGAAUGUAUGAAUAGAACUAAGAUUUUAUGAGAAUCCAAUUAAUUAUAUUAGAUUCGCCAACCCAUUCAAAUCACGAAUUUCCAAGCUGGACUUCCAACUCGGAGCAAGCCCAAAAAAGGAGGGGUCUUGCUAAUGACUAUAUCUAGGCAUUUGUUAAAUUAUGCCUAAGGAGGAAAUAUGCAAUUUUUGAAGCAACGGCUGUGCGCAUUAUGAGUACAAUCGGCAUUUAUGCACUGUUUCCUCAUUUAGUUGUUUGAUAAGUGCCUUGAAAGCCCUUUUAAACAAAAUUCGUGAUAAAAAAGAACUCAAUCUCCCAUAAUUGACGUACUCAUAUCGAAAAAGGGGGAUUGACUCCGCGUCAUCGCCCUCCAAACGCUUUGGAAAAUACAAGCACAAAAGAGAAAAAAUCGCCUGUUCUUUUCCUUUCGUUUGGACUGUGAGACACAGACCCAGUCGGGUUUAUACACGUGAUGAGCCCUAAUCGGGCCAUUGCCUGCUCGGUGUCUUUCUUGACUUACUGUCGCUUCUCCGUAAGUAUAAAGAUCCCCGUCCAUCUCCGCUCAGUUCAUUCAGUUCCAUCUCCGAACGCCCACACAGUUCGUGGAAACCACUGGGGGGAGAGAGAGAGAGAAUGGCUGGUGCUAGAUUUCUGUGUUCCUUCCUCCUCCUCGUGACCGCUUGCUCCGCCACAGCAGCUGGCUUCCAGGGCGCCGACCUCGAGUCCUCCAUCCUCCAAACCAUCGGCAACGACCUUCCCGCCCGCUCCUUCGUAGACUUUGCCAACAGGUUAGAUAUCAACACCCCACUUAUAAAAGAAUAAUGCAAAAAUAUAGAGUUGUGGAUGUUAGACAAUGAAGAGUACAUGUACCUAUGAAUUUUAUUAGAUGGUUGUCUAAGUUAAAAUAUCGGAUAUAUACAAUCAAUGACAUCAAUUUAAUUUUAGUUUGGACAAGUGAUCCAAAAAAUGCGAGAGUGGAUAAAGAGAGAAUUAGCUAAUGUCAGCGUGACUAUGUCGAGGCUACUAUGCAAGCUACCUGAUAGGAGGCUGUCGUCACAAUAGGAGAGUACCGUCAAGAAAAGGCCUAUUCUGAUGUUAAACAGUAAAAAAUACAUCUUUACCAAAAAAAAAAAAAAACAGUAAAAAAUACAUGAUCCUAAUUACAUGCACGGCCUUAUUGAAAAUCAAGAAAUAUUCUUGUUGUCUCUAACACUCAUCUGGGUGUGUUCUUGGCUUGUAAAUUCCCCUUUGUUAUCUAUAAAAGAUUGUUGACCUUUUCGAUAGUUGUCGUUUAUCCGCGUUGUUGGUGUUUGGUUUAGGCACGGGAAGACGUACCAGACAGCGAAGGAGAUCAAGUUGAGGUUCAACAAUUACAGGGAGAAUCUCAAGCUCAUUCGAUCCACCAACCAGAAGGGCUUGCCUUACACCCUCGCUGUUAAUCGUACGUGGCAGUUCUUGACAUUUUCUCCUUUACUAUUUCUUGUUUUAGACCUGAAGAUCAAUUCGGUCAUAGUCGUUUCGACUUGUUUCAUAACCCGAAGCCGAAGAGAUGGUAUAUUUUAGCUGUUGCUGCUGUCGUCGUUGAGUUUGAUUUGUGCUUGAUGGGUGGACAGAGUAUGCUGACUGGAGCUGGGAGGAGUUCAAGACGCACAGACUGGGAGCUUCUCAAAGCUGCUCUGCCACCACCAAGGGCAGCCACAAGCUCGCCGACGAUGUUCUUCCCGAAACGGUAUUUUUCACGGCGACGCCUCAAUCGGAAGCUUUCCGCUCGUAUCAUCCUUCGGUCAAUGAGAUAAAACUACUUGAUUUAGACUAGCAGCUGUACUGCUUUUAGCUGUGUGGUGUCUUCUGUAUCGACUGGCAAUUUUCUCUGCUAAAUUACAGCAAAAUAGUUACUCAGCUACCACUAGCUGCCUUGCAUCCGCAUCAUAUUUUUGGGUGCACUUGUUUUACGAAAAACUCAAUAAUAUAAAAAAUUGCUUUCCAGUAAAAUAUUUUCUAAGAAUAUGGUUAAUUUUUCUUUAUUUAGUGAUAUAUAAUCAAGAAUGUUUUUUGUUGUUUAGAUAUUAUUGAAAAAUGAUUUUAAUCUCACAAUUUUAUUUCAUGCAAAAGAAAUUCAAACUUAUAAUUUUUUAAAUUCGAAUUGUUAAUUUUUUUAUUUCUCUCUUUUUUUAUUUUUCUUUUUAAAAUUGGAAUUUUUAAUUUUCUUUUUUCUCAUUUAUUUUUCUUUUCUUUCCUUCUCUUUUUUUCCCUUCCUCCGCCCCUACCAGUUGACGACGGCCAUAGCUUUGCCUCGCCGAGACUAGGCAAGCCACGAGUUUGUCAGUCACGACAGAGCACAGCUCGCCCAACCCAGGCGAGCUCGGGCUCCCCUGGUUUAGCUAAGCUGCAGCCACAUUGACCUCGACGAAUCUUAGGUUGGAGAGCUUAGGCUCGCCUAGAUUGGCCAAGCCGUGAGUUCGUCUGCCUCGAUGAAGCUCGGGCUUGCCUAGAUCAACCAAGCCUCGAGCUCACUGACCUUAGUUGAGCUCGGGCUCACUUGGUUCAAUCGAGUUGCGAGCUUGCCGAUCUUGACCAAGCUCAAGCUCACCUGGAUCGACCAAACCUCAAACUUGCCAGCUCGUAUCUUGGCUGGUUGUUGACGGUGGAGGAAGAAGGGGGAAGGAGGAAGAAAAUAAAUAAUAAAUAAUUAUUUUUUAGAAAUUAUUAUAAAUUAGAUUUUUUUAAAAAUAUUUUUUAUUUUAAAAAUAAAAUUUUCAUUAACCAAGGGGUCUAAGAUUAGGAAAAAAAUUUGGAAAAUGUUUUCCGGUUCUUUCAAAGGAAAAUUAGUUUUCUUGAAUUUAAAUUUUGAUAGGAAAACAUUUUUCGUUGAUGAGGAAAAUAUUUUUCUGUUAAUUCAUUUUCCUAAGCGUACCAGAAAAUGGGGUUCUGGGAAACAAACACACUCUUUGUUUUCUUUGAAACAUUCAUGUAUAAUUGAGUUAUAACGACAAAAAUCCAUUAGCUCCAUCCAUGACGACUGAACUUUCUUGUCCUCGCUUUUACGAAUUGAAAGUGCUUGCUGAAACAACUUAUUCUCUCUCUUCCAUCUCAAGGUUUUGGCACUUUUCAUGAGAUCUACGACUAGAUUGCUUGUUACUGUAGAAUCUACUAGCUGAUCAUUGACGUGCGAGACCUGUGUCAAUAUUAGAUCUUUUUUUUUAUUCCAAUCCUUCAUAUUUGCAGAAAGACUGGAGAAAAGAGGGCAUUGUAAGCCCAGUUAAAGAUCAAGGCACCUGUGGAUCUUGCUGGAGUUUCAGGUUUUUCUUUGUUCUCCUUCUCUUCUCUUAGAUUUAUAUUUGUUACUCACAUUAGUACGUAAUACACUUAUUAACUUGGCAACUCAUUGAGAUGUCAUUAUGCUAGACUGCUAGUGACCUCUAAUUUGCACUUUUGCAGCGCCACAGGAGCUCUCGAGGCUGCUUAUCACCAAAAACACGGCAAAGGAAUCUCUCUGUCUGAGCAGCAGCUCGUGGACUGCGCUACGGCUUUCAACAACUUUAAAUGCGCUGGCGGGUUGCCGUCGCAAGCCUUCGAGUACAUCAAGUACAACGGUGGCCUUGAGACCGAGGAAGCUUAUCCUUAUACUGCACAGAAUGGUACCUGCAAAUUCUCGGCUCGCAGGGUCGCUGUCCAAGUUGUUGACUCUGUCAACAUCUCUAUGGUAAGUUUCAUGGGCAAUCUGUAGAGUUAGCCAAAAGAAAAGGAGAAAAAAAACAAAGCUCCGGAAAUUUUAUAAAGAUAGCUUCAAAUUGCCUAUAUGUUUAUAUCUGCAAUGCAUGGUGGAUUCAGGGUGCUGAGGAUGAACUGAAGCAUGCAGUUGCCAUGGUCCGGCCAGUCAGUGUGGCAUUCCAGGCCCAGCAUGACUUCCAGCACUACAAUACGGGCGUCUACACCAGCGAUACAUGUGGUAGCACUUCCAUGGUGAGCAUUUCCAAAUAAAAUGAAAGGAACACUAUCUCCAUCUCAAUCAUGUUCAAAGGAUGCCAGUGCGCAGGAUCCAUGAAGCUUUCUAAACAUCUGUUGGAAUUAAUUAGGGAUUUCUCUAGGAUAAUUUCCAUUGUUAGAAAUAUUUUAAUAAUCCUGUCCAUAUCUCUCAAGAUAACACGUAUAUUGCACGAAUAUCGCAAGCAAAUAACACAUAUAUUGCACUUAUAUCUCCAUUUGAUUGUAUAUAUUUUGAUUAAGAUAAAACCUAAAAAUAGGAUGUUAUAUUCUUCAUUGAUAUAUACAUCGAAAUAUGGGUUAAGAAUAGCACGACUACCAUAACCUUGGUACAGUGCUCACUUAAAUGCCACAAAUUUGAAAAAUUAAGUACUUAAAUGCCAUUAGCGAUUUAUCUCGUCGGAAAAUCUGCUAGUCAUCUUGCAUGGCUUCACCGGCACUGACAUGGACACCAAACAUCUAUUGGAGAUAAUUAGAGAUUUCUCCAGUAUAAUUUCCAUCGUUACAAAAAUUUUAAUAAUUUUGUUGAUUAUUUAUAUCUCUUAAGAUAUUGCGCAAAUACCGCAGGAAAAUGGCACGUAAUGUAUAUCUCCCUUUGAUUGUACAUAUUUUGAUUGAGAUAUUAUUUUAGAAUAGUUAUCUAAUAAAGCCUAUAAAUAAUUUGUUUCACACUUCAUUAAUAUAUAUAGAAAUACACGCAAAUCCACAUUUCUAUUUUUUGCAUUAUUAUUCUUAAUUACAUCGAUAAAUCUCAACGGUGACAUUUAAUUUUGAGCAUUUAUCUUGCCAAGAUCCAUAUAAUUUGAUUCCUUACUGCUAAUGAAGUUUUGCAUGAAAGGCAAUACUCAUGCUCGUACCUAAUGAAAACUGAAUGUAUUAUAUCAGGAUGUGAACCAUGCUGUUCUCGCUGUCGGUUAUGGAGUUGAAAAUGGUGUUCCAUACUGGCUUAUCAAGAAUUCUUGGGGAGAGAUCUGGGGCGACAAAGGAUACGCCAAGGUGGAGAUGGGGAAGAACAUGUGUGGUAAGUUCCCUCUUUUGGUUUUGGUAGAACUACUUGAACAAAACGGUGCUAGGAUAACUAUGCUUUUGAAAUUCUCGCAGUUGUUUACUCCAUGUCCAUUCCUUCUAUGCUUGACUUCUACUAAGUUACUCCGUCCUCGUCUAUCUAUGAUCUUAAAUUGCAGGUAUCGCUACUUGUGCAUCAUACCCUAUUGUGGCCUAGAUUUUUUUUAGAGAACCUAUGGACUCGUGCGCCAAGUGAUUCGAGACAUAUUUGCUUCACCUCAAGGUUGAGUACUGUAAUGUAGCAUAGAAUGGUUUAUGCUUUAGCAGGGUUUAUGCUUUAGCGUACAAAAAUAAUCUUCGGGACAAUUGUAAUUCCAUAUGGUUACUGUUAUGUCAACGAAGACCUUAUGAAUUCCAAUCUAUGUUUGCAUGGGAUGAAACCCAAGCGUUGCAAGAAUGACGCAUUGCUGCAAAGGAAAAUAUGAUUCUUCCGCCAUUAAAACGGCAUGGGAUUGAAGGGGCAAAAUUUCACUCGAACCAAACACUCUCACUUAUUUACUCAGUAGAGAUUAAAUGCACGGUCUUACACACAUGCUAAACACUGACCAUGCGAUGUUUAGAUAGCCUAGGAGAGGUGAUACUAGCUUUGAUUGCACCAGAAGAGACAGUAGCCAACAUCUUUUAUUCGCAGGGCAAUUUACAUAGGCAAAGAUAAUCAAAAGUUCAUAGUUCGAUUAGCCGCCAUUCAUAUCCUCAUUCCUUAACAUGCUAAUUCGAAUUACAUUGUAUCGUGCACAUGUUGCACAACAGUAAUUAUUUUUCCUUUUCUUUUUUGGUCGUCCGUUACAAUAAUUGACUUGUCUUAUUGGUGCCUGGAAACACUGUGAGGCUCUCAAAUUGCAAUCGUCCCAGUCCUCUUUUUCUUGCAUUUGUCAUUUCCCAUGAGCUCGAUCGACGGGAGUUACAACUCCGGAGAGAGAAGCUCAUGAUAUAUGCCUCAUUCUUUCCCCAAAGAAACAAGAAUAGUACCAAAGAUUUUCCAAUUUAAUAUGUUCAUAGAGUGAUCAAUAACAGGGCAUGCAAAUGUGGGGGAUAAUUAUUUAAAAAGUCUCAAACCUAUUGUACAUGAUAUAAUUCAAUUCUAAACUUUUCAAUUUGAUCAAUUUAGUCUCAAAUAUUUUAAUGAUUUGCCGAUAUAGUCAUUUUAACCAAUUUAAACUAUCAAUCUCCGAAGUAAAUGCCAACCUUCCUACAUGAUAAAACCGUUAAGAUAGUUGGUGCUAACAUAGACAAAUUUUAUAAAUUUUUCUACUUCUCUUUUUUUUUUCCCCCUUUUUGUCUUUUUUUCCUUUUUUUUUUUUCUAUUUUCCUUUGUCGAUCCGGCCUAGGCGAUGGUUGACAAAGAUUGUUGGCCACAGGCGAGGGUUGGAAUGCCCUUGUCAACCCUCCCAGGCCUUUGCCGGACACACUCGUCAACCCUCCCAGGCCUUUGCCGGACACAGUGAAGGUUAAAAAAGUACCAAAAAAGUCAUAAACUUAUUGAAUUGUUAUCAAUAUAAUUAUAAACAUUUCAAUCAAACUAAUUUAGUCGUAAAUAUCUUCACAUGAAUACCAAUUAAGUCUAUCUUGCCAAUUUAAAUCGGAAAUUGCUCACGUGGACACCCGUCCUACGUUGCACGGAUAACACUAAGUGGACUUUUUUUUUAAUUUUUAAUAAUUUUUUGAAUUUAUUUAUUUAUUUUUCCUUUCUUUUUUUCUCAAUUUUUUUUUUAAAAUCUACAUUAGUGCUAUUCGUGUCACAUCGAACAACCGGUGUUCACGUCAACAAUUUCUUACCUAAAUUAAUCGAAUGAACUCAAUUGAUAUCGAUGUGAAAAUGUUUAAAAUUUUGGUCCAACUAAAUUUUUUUUAAAUGAAUUAAUAUUAAUGCGAUAGGUUUAGAACUUUUUUUCAUACUUUUAUGAUUAAUUCAAUUGAUAUCAAUGUGAAAAUGUUUAAGACCUUGCUCCAAUUAAAAAAAAAUUAAAAUGAACUAAUAUUAAUGUAAUAGGUUUAGAAAUUUUUUUAUACUUUUCUCAUACUCAAGAGACGAAUAUUUUCUCCAAAAUUAGACCUGAAGAGAUCGGCAUUUAACAACUGGAGUAAGCCUCAUUCCUUCCUUCAGAAACCGGCGACCGUUACUCGAUAAGCCCGUAAAGUGGGGACCCUCAAAGAUCUUUUCUUGUGCAGGACAGAACAAAAAAGCCCUCUUCUUGGCUCGCGGAGAAAGGUCUUUUCUUGUGUCUUUACGUGAAAAGGAAGAUUGGCAACCAGCAAUGGAUCGUGUGGCCCUCCGACGAGGGCCGACAAGGGCAUCACAACCUUAGCCUGUGGCCAGCCACCUCCGCCAACCAUUCUCGAGCCCCAACUACUAACGGAGAUUAGCUAAUAUUCAUAUCCUUACAGAAAUUGACUUAUGGCUAGACCCGUUAAACAAGUGAGUUGGGUCGGGUUUGGAUCGGGUCAUAAAUGGUCCGACCCAAAUAGACUCAUUUAACUCGUUUAUGACCCAUUUAUUACAGUGCAAAAUUUUUUACUCAUACCCAACCCGACCUAUACUUAACCCAUAUCUGACCUAUUUAAUUAAACUUAAGAAAGUUUAUUUCUUAUAUAUAUAUAUAUAUUAGAAAUUGUAUUACUAAAAUAGUUUUAUACAACACAAAUUUAAUGGAAAAUUUUUAUAAUUUUUAAAAUAAUUAUUUUAAAAAAUUCGAAUUUUAAUUAUUUUUAUAUUUAUUUUUUAAGUAUAUAAUUUUUCUUUUUCUUUUUUUUUUCUUUUUUGUUCUUCUUCUUCUUUGGCCGGUCUCUGGCCAUUGCCGUGCCAGCCACCAAAAGGAGGAAGAAAAAAGAAAAAAAAAAGGAAAAGAAAAAAGAAAAAAGAAAAUAAAAUUAAAAUAAUUAUAAUUAUAAUUUUGAUUUUUAUAAAAAAAAAUAUUUUUGUAAAGUUAAAGAGGGAAGAAAGAGAUUCUGAGGUUUUGGUUGAAAAUGGAUUCUAAAUCUAACCCAUUUAAGACCCACUUAAGACCCACCUAUCUUAAGUUUUUAAUUGUUAAACCUAUUUAACAAGUUUCUUCAAAUAAAUAAGUGACCCAUAUAUGACCCAUUUAUGAUUUAAAUGGGUCAUGUAUGGAUCUAAAACCCAUUUUUCCACCUCUACUUAUGGCAAAAUAUCGGGUUAAAGUCCGUACAUGAAUAUUCUUUGUGAUAUCUUCUCCCAUUCAACAAUAGGUAAGGGUGUAAUGGUCCUGUUUUUUUUUUUUUUUUUUUUUGGUAAAGGUAAUAAUAUAAAGAGGAAAUGUCAAAAGUAUAAAAAAUCAUGGCACCGAAACUUACACUCAAGAUGAAUAAACAUAAUGAGUGGAAGUAUGCCAUGAUGUAAAACACAAUGCAACGCCUAAAAUAAGGCAAACAACAAACUAGAAGGUGUAAUAGUCCUGUUGGUGUGUGCAAACCUCGAAAGCUCUCAAAUCGCUAUCUUCAUAGUUAUCUUUUCAUCUGUUAUAUCAUAUUCCACUUGAUCGAUCGAUCAAAAUAAAUUACAGCUCGGGAGUAGAGAGAGAGACUGGUGAAAUAUGCCUCAUUCUUUUACCAAGGAAAAAGAAUUGUACCAAACCUUUGCUAAUUUAAUAACUUCCUAGAGUGAUAUAAAAUGUAGUCAACAAAAGAAUAUAAAUUGUUGGAUCCUUUCCCUUCUAGCUUACGAUGAAACAUAACCCAAAAAUCGAUCCCUUCUCUCGACCUUGCUAAAAUUUCUCCUCCUUUGCAUAUUAAUGGGCGGCCAACAAAUUAUUUCGGAUGAUAAAAAACAGCGGAUAUUUACAUUUAAAAUGAGCAGAGGAUUGAGGGAUCUGGAAAGCUAAUGACCCAUUAAGACCUCGCAAUAGCAGCUGCGUUUCAUUUUUCCUGAGGGCAUUGUUCAUUACUGAUCAUCUCACUCUUUAGUGAUGCAUAAGCCAGAGACUUUCGACUUGGAUGCUAGAAGUCUCCAUUUUGGACUUCUGAUCCAUGGGGACAUCUAGAUAGCUAUCAAAAUCUCUCUACUAUACACGAAACAACUGUCUCCAGCUCUCUGCAUAAUUGAGCUGUGAUGCCAGGUAUUACCUCCCGAGUCAUGAUAUUGCUGUACUGGAUGUGCAUAAGCUCUUCACAACAUCAAAACACUUUUCAUGCCCCAGGACAGAUUGAGCUGCCUCCCAACCUGAGAACCAACAAAGAUGAAAACAAAGUCGGUAAGCACGUCCACUCAAAAAAACUGAUGGGACAUUCUUCUGCAAAUCCUACUGUGCAUUUCAUUCUUCAUAAAAAAAAAAAAAAAAGGUGUGCAAUCAUCGACACAAUAAGUAUAGACAUUAUUUUCUAGACAAAGAAAAAACAUCAGCACCUUAAUACCGAUAAACAUCCCCAAAAAUAACCGCGAAGCGGCGAACAGAGGUUCCCUGGGUCACCCAAAAAAAAAAAACAUCCCAAAAAAAAAAAAAAAACGACUCUCCAAGCUUAGUCGGUAGUUUGCUAAUUGAAUCAUUCAUACUAUCUGUUGGAGAAAACUUUUAUAUUUGUUUUGAAGUUGACAAAAUGUUUCCAUCAGUCUAGUAUGAAGACUUGUAAACUCAAGUAUUAAAGUCUGACAAGUUCUAGACUCUGUCAUCAAAGUCUGAAGACCUCAAGACUCAAGACUCAAGACUUAAGUCUACCCUCACUGAUAGUUUCUAGACCGACGAAGGAAAGAUUUAUCCGAUGAAGAAGACUUGUCCAGAUGAGAGUAUAUCUUUAAGAAUUUGGUUCGUACGGUUGAAGAAAAUCUCACGGCUAGAGAUAGCAUCUCAUGAUCAACUAUUCUAAUUGAUAUCAAUUCGGAUAAUUGGAUCUGUUGAUUGACGAAGUAUACUUGGAAAAUUCUACUUAUGGAAAACUAGAUCCUGAUUGUUUGGGCGAGUAAGAUUGGUGGGCUAUCAUCACAUUCCUUAAAUAACUUAAGAUCUUCCUAAUUGAUUCUGUCCAACGGAUAGAUUGAAAGAACUCAUUUGGAAGGUGCUAACGGUUAUGAAGGCAUGGAAGAGUAUAUAAGGAAUAUGCUCAAGUUAUUCGAGUGUGUGCGUGAAAGAAAAAUUCUAAAGUUUGAAGCUCUUAAUUCUUUGUUGUUUCAUUUGUCGAGCUCAAAUUGUACUAAAAAAAGAGAUUAAAUACUUGUGAGACCUUGAGAAAAUGUAGUAGAGUUUUUACACUGUAAAAUCAAGAACGUAAGACUGUAAAAUCUCUUUUAGUUCUUAGUGGAAUCCGUGCAGGAGAGUGGACAUAUGCUUGGUCUAAACUGAACCACUAUAAACCUCGUGUUUCAAUUCUCUUUCCCUAAUAUCUUUACUUUAAUUCGUAGCAUUAUAUAACUAUUUAUAGACUUUUACAUCUUUAGUCUAUUAUUCUCAGAAGUCAAAUUAGUUUGUUAAAUUUUGCAAAAACUUCUUUGAUCACCUAUUCACCCCCCUCUAUGUGCUCUUACUAGCCUUAUCAAUUGGUAUAAGAGUUUGUGUGCUCAUUUAAUUGAAGUAUUUUUACUUCUGAGUUAAAGAUCUAUGGCUAGUAUGUUGGCUCCAGGUUUGGUUGAAGGCCAGAACAACACCAAACCACCUUACUUCGAUAGAAAUGAAUAUAGCAUAUGGAUAAACAAGAUAAAGACAUUACUAAGAUCGAAAGAUCCUCUAGAAUGGGAUGUGGUAGAAAAAGGAAUCAUUCAUAAAGUUACAUCUGUUUCAGAAAGGGGAAAAGAAGUUGUAGACACUAGCGAGAUGACUCAAGAAAAAAUAACCAAGAGACAAGCUCUUGAUGCUAAAGCAAUUUACUCAUUAUAUUGUGCAUUAUCUCCUACUGAGUAUAGCAUAAUAUCUUAUUGUGAAACAGCCAAUGAAGUCUGGGAUAGGCUGCACAUUACAUAUGAAGGAAUUGAUCGAGUAAAAGAAACAAUGAUCAAUAUUCUACUCAGAUAGUAUGAAGCCUUCAAGAUGAAGCCAGUAAAAUCUAUUACUAACAUGUUUAGUCGUUUUACAGAAAUUGUAAAUGGUCUAGAGUAUUAGAGACAACCAAUCUUAGAAUCAAUAAAGGUCAACAAAUUGCGGCAUGGACUUUCCAAAGACUGGAAUCACGUAAAAACUUCAAUAAGGGAAACACAAAGAAUCGUGCCACUUUCGAUAGAUGAACUGGUUGGGACACUUCAGUCUUAUGAAGUAGAGCAAAUCAACGAGGAAGAAGAUCCCAAAGAUAAGAAGUUAAUUGCCUUAAAGUCUAACGAUGAUUCUGAUGUUACAGACUCUGAAGAGGACAUAGACGAUGAAGAGCUAGUACUUAUGAUAAAAAGGUUCAGGAAAUUGAACAAAAAGAGAAGAAGGUUCAAUUGGAAGAAACAAAGCAUUUAAAAGUUUCAUAACAAAUCAAUUGAGGAUGAUAAAAUCAACAAAGAUGUGAUCUACUUUGAAUGCAAGAAAAAUGGACACAUUAGACCUAAUUAUCCUCUGUUGAAGAAAAAGAAGGGAAAAGCUUAGAAAUAUAGAAAAGCUCUCAAAGUAGAAACAUGGAGCGAUACUGAAUGCGAAAAAAGUGAUGAAGAUUAUGUCAAUAUUUGUUUGAUAGCAAAAUCAGAAUCGGACUCAGACUCUGAGACAGACACAGACUCAAACUCAGACUUAGAUAGCGAAUUCGAGGUAAGUAAUUUAAAAAUUCCUACUAAAGUCUUAAAAUACAUUGAUGAGCUUUGUCUUAGUCUCAAAACCUCUCUUGAGAAUAUUUCCGAGCUAAAAAGGGAGAAUUCUACACUGAAGUAACAGGAAAUUUCUUAGAAAAGUUUGAAAAUUUAGACAAAAGUUUUGCUUUUUAAAAAGAAAAUGCAGAUUUUCUUUCAAAAGAAAAUUCAUUUUUGAAAAAUGACAUCUCAAACAUUUCAAAAAGGUUUUCAAUAGGAUCUGAAAAGUUGGAAAAGAUUCUUUCUAUACAAAGAUCUUAUUUCAACAAGUUAGGCUUCGGAAUAACUUUAGAAACUAUUCAUUUAAUUCAUUUUCCAAAAGUGAAGGAAAGAAUCAAACAAAGGCCUACAAAAACUUUUUACAGAAAUCAUUUUCAAAAAGUAUUUGUAAAACCUAUUGGGCGAAGUGCUCUCAAAUGUUCCAAGUGCAACAACUCAGAACACUUUGAAAAAGAAUGUCCUAUGGUUUGGAAACCUGUUGAGAAAGAUUGGGCAAAGAUAGUAUAUUGCACUAACUCCACUGGACCCAAGAAAAUGUGGGUACCAAAGAAAGCUUGAGUUUCUUUUUUAAUUGCAGGUUACUAUCAAGAAAAAUGUUAAAUGGUAUUUGGAUAAUGACUGUUCAAGACACAUGACUAGAGAUUCAAAUUGUUUUGUAAAGUUUGUUCAAAUAAAUGGUGGAAAAGUCUCUUUUGGUGGAAAUAGCAAAGAAAGAAUUGUUGGGUGUGGAACUAUAAAGAUUAGAAAUCUCACAAUCAACAAUGUUUCCUUGGUGGAAGGACUAAAUUACAAUCUACUCAGUAUAAGUCAACUGUGCGACACUGGAUUCAAAGUUAAUUUCCAAGAAAGAGUAUGCUCGGGAACCAAUAAAGAUCUUUUUCAAUCUUUUACUAGAUGAAGACAUGGGAACAUUUAUCUUCUAGAUAUCAAACCAGAAAGGCCUCGAUGUCUAAUUUCUAUUCAAGAUGAAGUGAAUCCUUGGCAUCGUAAGCUUGGCCACAUCAACAUAAAGCAAAUUCCCAAGAUCUCUUCCAAGAAACUUGUUCGCGGACUAUCCAACCUGAAGUUUAAAAAAUCUGACUUAUGCAUGCCAUGUGUGUUGGGAAAACAGGUGAGAAGUUCUUUUAAACCAAUAAAUCAAGUUACUACUAAUCGUAUUCUGCAGCUUCUGCAUAUAGAUCUCUUUGGACCAACCAGAACUCAAAGCAUUGGUGGAAAGAGAUAUUGCCUAGUGAUUGUAGAUGAUUAUUCAUGAUUUACUUGGGUUCACUUUUUGGCAAGUAAGUCUGAAACAUUUUCUUACUUUUCAAAGUUUGCCAAAAAAGUACAGAAUGAGAAAGGAUAUGUCAUCUCAAGCAUACGAACAUAUCAUGAAAGUGAGUUUGAAAAUCAAGACUUUGCCAAAUUCUGUGAUGAAUCUGGAUUUCAGCAUGUUUUCUCCUCUCCAUACACUCUAGAACAGAUGAAGUUGUGGAAAGAAAUAAUAGAUCUUUGCAGGAAAUGGUAAGAACCCUUUUAAUUGAAAAUAAUAUUUCUUCUCGUUUUUGGGCUGAAGCAAUUUCUACAGGUUGUUAUAUUUUUAAGAGAGUAUUUUUAAGGCAUAUUCUAGAGAAAACUCCUUAUGAGUUGUUCAAAGGAAAUACGCCAAUUGUUUCUUACUUUCUUUUAUUUGGUUGCAAAUGUUUUGUUUUGAAAAAUGCAAAUGAUCAAACUGGUAAGUUUGAGGAGAAAUCAAACAAAUGAAUCUUUCUUGGAUAUUCAACCACCAGCAAAGCUUACAGAGUAUUCAACAAAAAGACUCAGUCUGUAGAAGAAUCCAUGAAUGUCAAAUUUCAAGACUCUUUGUAGAAUCAACUGAUUCAGACUUAGCCUGAAGAAUCUUAAGUUACUCUAGACUUUACAAAGCCUAACUCCCCUGAAGUGACUCAAACUUCUGGAUAAAAUCAACGAACGGAAGUUGAAGAAUCAAUUGAAGUAGAAGAACAACAUUCUGUCAGACCAACCAGCAACUGGAAGCACAAGUCUAGUCAUCCUAAUGAACUCAUCAUCGGUAACAUUAAUGAAGGGAUUCAUAUCAGAUCCAAAAAGCAAGAAGAGUCUAGCGUUGUGGCACUUAUUUCUGAAGUAGAACCCAAAAGCAUAGAAGAAGCUUUAACUGACAAAAGCUGGAUUGAAGUUAUGCAAAAAGAGCUCAGAUAGCUCAGCAUCAAUGAUGUUUGGGAAUUAACUCCUAAACCUAAAGGUAAAUCCAUUAUUGGAGCUAAAUGGGUUUUCAAGAACAAGAUGGAUGAGAAAGGAAAAGUGAUCAGGAACAAAGUAAAACUCGUGGCCAAAUGAUAUACACAAGAAGAAGGGAUAGACUAAGAUGAGACCUAUGCACUAGUAGCAAGAUUAGAAGCUAUUAGAUUAUUACUUUAUUUUGCCUGUUAUAAAAAUUUCAGGUUAUUCCAAAUGGAAUCAAAAGUGCAUUCCUAAAUGAAUUUAUUCAAGAAGAAGUUUAUGUGGAACAAUCUCCCAGAUUUGAAGACCUAAAAAGACCAAACUCAAUAUUCAGACUGAAAAAUACUCUAUAUGGUUUAAAGCAAGCACCUCGAGUAUGGUACAACAAGUUGAGUACGUUUUUAAUUCAAAAUAGUUUUGUCAAAGGAAAAGUGGAUAUUACUUUGUUUAUUAAAAGAGAAGGUAAAAAUUUUAUACUUGUUCAAAUUUAUGUUGAUAAUAUCAUAUUUGGAUCACCUAACGAAAACCUGUGCAAGAAAUUUUCUAAGUUUAUGUAGGAUGAAUUUGAGAUAAGCAUGAUGGGUGAAAUAUCCUUCUUUCUCAGUAAAACAAUUGAAUGAAGGAAUUUUCAUUCACCAGGAAAAAUAUGCAAAAGAACUUGUUAAAAAGUUCGGAUUAGAGAAUUGCAAAAAGACUGAGAUACCAAUAUCUAGUUCUUCGAAGCUGGACAAAGAUGAAGGAGGAAAGAAAGUUGACCAGAAGCUCUACAGGAGUAUUAUUGGUUCACUUCUUUAUCUUACUGCUUCUAAACCUGACAUUUUGUUUAGUGUUUGCAUUUGUGCUAGAUUUCAAUCUAAUCCCAAAGAAUCUCAUCUAAGUGCUGCAAAACGCAUCACCAAAUACGUUGCAACUACCUCAAAGUUAGGUCCGUGGUAUCCCAAGGAAGAAGACUUUACUCUCCUUGGAUAUUCAGACACAGAUCUAGUAGGUUGCAAAAUUAAUAGAAAGAAUACUUCCGGUACUUGUCAAUUGCUGGGAAACAGGACAAUAUCGUUACUCUCAUGGAAGCAAAGCACUACAGCUCUUUCAACAGCAGAAACAGAGUAUGUGGCUCUUGGAAGUUGUUGUUCUCAAAUCCUAUGGAUAAAACAACAACUGAGAGACUUUGAGAUCGAAAACUCAUGCACUGAGAUCAAAUGUGACAACACCAGCGCAAUUAAUCUCACAAAGAAUCAAAUUUUUCACUCAAGAGCAAAGCAUAUGGAAAUUCAACAUCAAUUUAUUAGAGAUCAUAUUCAAAAUGGAGAAGUUAUUAUUCAAUUCAUUGACUCAAAGAAUCAACUGGCGGACAUAUUUACAAAGCCUCUAGAGAAAAGUCUAUUUGAGUCUAUUCGCACCAGACUGAACAUCAUAUCUUUUAUCUAGUAAAGUCUGGAAAUGCUCCAGACUUAGAGGUAAAGUCUGAAGUUGUUCAAACUCAGAAUAACUAAGAAAUUAUGACUAUAAGUUAUUUUUAUUUCAGUAUUUUAAUUUGAAAAGGUACGAUUACUUUUAAUCGCUAAUUGAUUAUUAUAUUUAGAAGUUAUCUUUUCCAAGUUUUUAAAUUUAUGGAAGUUAUUCUUUUUCAAAAAGGCAAUUAUUCAAAAAGGCGAUUAUUCUUUUUUGAAAAGGUAUUUUUAUUUUUCCUAUUAUGUCAUUUCGAUUACCUCACUUCACUUACUUUAUAUACAGCCGAGAUUCGUCUUCUUCGUUUUUACUUUGAAACCCUAGAAUACAAAAUUCACAUUUGCUUUCACUUUCACUCUCGUUUUGUCCAAAAGUUUUCACCUUUUUCGAGCAAACUUGUGAAUUUCUCCCUUGAAGCGACAAUGUCUUCAAGAAAGUCUUCAAGGAUUGCAAGCAAGGGACCACGACAUAUGCCUGAGGGUUCUAUGCAUUUUGACUUGAUCGAGGAAGAAGAUUCUUCUCCACCACUGCGUCCAAGUCAGCAACAACCCUCUCAGUAGCAUCCAUCUUUUACACCAACUCAACCAGAAAAAGAAGUUAUCAAAGAGGCUGAACCUGUAAGAACACUAAAUCCAAAGGUUGCUUUCAAACUUUAUUCUAAUUUGAAGGAAGGAGGAACAUCGAUGUCUUUGAUCGACGAGUUCUUAAGAGAUAGGGGAUACAAGAACAAAACCUUAUUCUUGCGAGAGUUGGAAAGGUUAGGAGUUCUAGAGAGAGAAACGGCUGAAAGGACUUUCGCAAAUUUCCCGAGUGACCCUUUAUAUGGCACUGCAACACAACCUCAAGGACUGGACAACGAUGAAAGGAUGUUUACCCAUUUUCAACCUAGAACGGGAGUGGCUGCUAAUAUUGCUGAUGGUUCCAAUCUUUUAGAUCGAAAAAUCAUAAGAGGGUUUAUUCAAAUCUGCUAAAGAGAAGGGUUAUGCACCCUAUGAAUGUCAAUUUUGAUUUCCUUGAUUCGGUAAAAGUCAAUCUGCGAGAGAAGCUUGCUCUACUAUAAUUGGAGUGCUUUUGUUUUGAAUCCACUACUGUUUAUCCGAAACUCACAGCUUACUUUUACUCGAACUUAUCUUUCGUGGAUGCAAACAGCUUUUCUUUCACAGUGAGAGAUGAGGAGUUCUUGGUGAAUAUGGACACAUUGGCUGACAUAAUUGGGGUAGAAAGAGUGAGUUUCCAACCAAUUAGCGUGUCUAUUGCUCAUGCUACUCUGUCAUUGGUGAAAGAUCGGGAUAUUAAAGACAAGAUUUCCUACUCCAUGAUGAAUGCCUCAAACAUCUUGCUGCACAAGAUCAUAAUCAACUGCAUUCGUCCCAAGUCGACAUCCAAGACGGAUGUCUCUCAAUCUGAAGCGAAAUUGAUGUAUGCCAUCAAUGCUGGCUUUAAACUCUCUCUGCCUCACACCAUAUUGUUUCACAUGUACCGAUCAGUGGUGAAAGAUAAGGAACAACUCUCUUAUUCUGCUCUUAUCACGCACCUUUUUAGACAUUUUAAAAUUCCAAUCUUUGCACCAUUAUGUUUGUCAAAUAUUUCCCCAAUGGUAAUUGGAUUUAAAAUGAUCACAAAGAUGUGUUUAAAAUAGCUUAACAAUGUGUUAAAGGGCAUGAAGGAGAAGUCUCAUGUCAAAGCAAAACAAGACUCUGCUGCAACCAAGAGAAAAGGUAAGGAGCCCAUGGAUGCUCCAGUGAAGAAGAAGAGAGUUCUCAUCUUGUAGGAUGAAGAGGAUGAGGACGCACUGACUCUUUCAGCCUUACGAAAUUUGAAAGGUUUUGUCAGCUUUGAAGAGACUCAAGAAGAGCCACGGGAAGGAGAAAAGAAGAGAGACGAGACAGAGAAAGAAAUUGAAGAACAAAGGUGGACAGAGGAAGAAAGAGAAGAAGAGGAAGAAGAGGAAAGAAGAGGAGAAAGAUAAGAAGAGGAAGAAGAGGAAAGAAGAGGAGAGACAAAAGAAGCAAGAAGAAGAGAAGAAAGAGACCAGGGUCAAGAAGACUCUUUUGAGCCAACUUUAGCUAUCUCUUUGUCCAGUGAAUUUGAAAUGGCUGACACUAGGAUUGCUGGAGCACUUGACAUAGCUAAACAUCACUCUGAAGUUGAAGCUGCAGUUGAAGAAGUUGUUUCUACUCCUCUUAAAAGCAAACAAAUAGAGGAAGCUGUUGAACAAAAAGGUACUUCUUCACCUUUAUUUACUAGUGAUGUGAGUCGCUCCGCUGUAGAUCCAGAAGAUGUAUAUGCUUCACAGUACCCAAAAGAUAGUCAUGGUGGACAAUCUGCUGAAGAUCCUUCCACUCUCAAAGUCCAUGGAAAUGACUCAGCUAGACCUAGUGCUGCGACAGAAUAAACAGUAGACUUUUUGAGGCUGUUAAAAAUUCUAUUGGAUGUAAGAAAGCAACAAUAUGCUAUGGGAUAUGAGAUGUAGGAUCUCAAAAAUGCUUUCAUGGCUACUUCAGUAUCUUUGCACGAUCAGUUGAACGCCCUGAAGAAUCAAGUGUAAUCUGCAGUGCAAGGUGCAGAUUUCCAGUCACUGAAGCAGAGUUUUGCAAGGCUUGAGAAGACUGUAGAUUCUAUGGGAGAAUUCGAGCUUGUUCGCCUUCCAAAACAGCCAUGAUUCUGACUCUAUUUUCAACAACUCUUUUUAUUCAUUCUCCACUUUUUGCUAUUAACAAAAAGGGGGAGAAGUUUAGAUGCAGAUUUGAUUUAACUUUUGUUUGAUUUGUUGGACUUAUUGUCGGACUUAUCUUUUGAUUAGUUGUGAUUUGGACUGUUUAAUUUGAUGCUUUGACUUGCAGUAACUUAAGCUAUGAUAAUGAUUAUGGAAAGGGUAGUUGUUUGGCAAGACUAACACAUUUCUGUGGUUGCAGAAUCGCUACUAUAUCCAUAUUUUAAUCUACUUAUCUCUUUUAAGAUAUCUAGUUUUGUUUAAGUAUUGUUUUAUAGGACAAUAGUGUUCAAAUCUGCAUGAAAGUUUUAUAACCAUAAAAAAGGGGAGAUUGUUGGAGAAAACUUCCGUAUUUGUUUUGAAGUUGACAAAACGUUUCCAUCAAUCUAGUCUGAAGACUUGUAGACUCAAGUAUUAAAGUCUGACAAGCUCUAAACUCUAUCGUUAAAGUCUGAAGAUCUCAAGACUCAAGACUCAAGACUCAAGACUCAAGACCCUCACUGAUAGUCUCUAGACCGACGAAAGAAAGAUUUAUCCGAUGAAGAAGACUUGUCCAGAUGAGAGUAUAUCUUUAAGGAUUUGGUUCGUACGGUUGAAGAAGAUCUCACGACUAGAGAUAACAUCUCGUGAUCAACUAUUCUAAUUGAUAUCAAUUCGGAUAAUUGGAUCUGUUUAUUGGCGAAGCAUACUUUGAAGGUUCUAUUUAUGGAAACCUAAAUCCUGAUUGUAUGGGCGACAGGAUUGGUGGGCUAUCAUCACAUUCCUUAAAUAACUCGAGAUCUCCCUAAUUAAUUAUGUCUAACGGGUAGAUUGAAAGAACUUAUUUGGAAGGGGGCAACGGUUAUGAAGGCAUGGAGGAGUAUAUAAAGAAGACGCUCUAAUUAUUCGAGUGUGUACGUGAAAGAAAAAUUCCAAAAUCUGAAGCUCUUAGUUUUUUGCUGUUUCAUUUAUCGAGCUCAAAUUGUACUCAAAAGAGAGAUUAAAUACUUGUGAGACCUUGAUGAAAUGUAGCAGAGUUUCUACACUAUGAAAUCAAUGACGUGAGACUAUAAAAUCUCUUUUGGUUUUUAGUGGAAUCCAGCCAGUGGGCUGUCAGUGCGGGAGAGUGGACGUAGGCUUGGUCUAAGCCAAACCAAUAUAAAUCUUGUGUUUCAAUUCUAUUUCCCUAAUCUAUUUACUUUUAUCCAUAGCAUUAUAUAACUAUUUAUAGUCUUUUACAUCUUCAGUCUAUUAUUCUUAGAAGUCAAAUUAGUUUGUUAAGUAUUGCAAAAACUUCUUUGAUCAGCUAUUCACCCCUAUGUAGAUGCUCUUACUAGCCCUAUCACUAUCAAAAUCACAAGGAUCAUUAAUCCAGUAGGAGGUGAUGGCACCAGUUUCUUAUUGCCAAUUUAUGUGAAGACUUUGGCAAGAUCGAUGAUGUGAUGGAGCAACUGACCGUUGAAUGCUAAGUAAGAGAGAAAAAAUAGUAAGAUUGCAAUGAGGUGGGUUCAACCAAGCAAGGAAUGAGAUCGUGUGCACCAUGGUUUUAAGAGCAUGGAAAGUGAAACUAAACGUGUCCAAAUCUUUAAUCAGGACAGCACAUGAUUGGAGGCAAGCAGGACAGAUAGUAGCAUCCGCUGUCAUGCAUCCAUUAAUGCAAAUAAGAAACCGCAAUAUCCUCUAACUGUAGCACCAGCAAAGCAGAAUAAUCAUAAUGACGACAACGACAAUGAUGAACAUUCGGUAGCUUUCGCAAAUAGCACAACAAGAAUUAUUAUAUUACUAAUUUCAAAUAACAAGUCGGCCAGAUUACUUACAGCUUCAUAACUGAUUCGUGCGAGAAGCUAUACACCUGCGAGGAUGUACGAUGGUGGAAAGACAUUACUCAAUCACUCGAGCCGCAAAAUAUUGAAGCCCAGCACAUGGCAACCUUCCAUCAAACAGCCACAAGAAUGUCUGCAUUCAUUGUAGCAGGAACAGCCCUAUUCAAAGAGGAUAGACCCAAAUUCAGGCCCUCCAAGGCAAUUUGCCUUAUGUGAAAGGCUUCAUUAGCCAUCCCAGCCUUUAAAAGGCAACAGACAAACAGAAUUAACUGUGAUGCCGUCAGGAGCACAACCAACCGACACCAUCUUAUUGUAAAUUCUCAUUGCUUCCAUCAUUCUCCCCUUCAUACAAUGCCCAAUGAUGAGAAUUGUAAAUGUCAAUUUAUCAGGUCUGCAUCCCUUCUCCUCCAUCUCCGCCAAUAUUAUGUUUGCCUCAUCUACGUUACCUGUUUUGCAGAACCCAUCCAGUACUGGACUGUAAAUAAAUGGUUUAGGGACAAUAUCCGUCCACCUCAACUCUCUUAAACAUUCACGAGCAUCAUGCAACCUAUUAUCCUUACAUAAUGCGUUGAUAAGUACUGAAAAGGUAUAAGCAUUGGGUGAUAUGUUCCUAGCAGACAUCAGCCGCCAAAGCUUCAAGCCCUCAUUCACCUGCCCCACUCGACAAUGCCCAUCAAUUAAGGAAGUAAAGGUAACAUCAGGGUAGCAACCAACAGAGAGCAUCUUGUCAUACACGGUUCAGUUAUAGCACCAAAAAUCCAUUAGCUCCAUCCGUGAUGUCGACUGGACUUUUUUGUUCACUUGUUUGCCAAAUGAAAAUGCUUGCUGAAACGAUCAUUCCCCAGCUCAGGGUUUCAACGCUUCCCAUGAGACCUAGGAAUAGAUUGCUGAUUGCUGUAGAAUCUAUUAGCUAAUCAUUGAAGAUUAAGACCUAUGUCGGUAUUAGAUAUUCAUUUUCUUCCAAUCCUUCAUAUGUGCAGAAAGACUGGAGAGAAAAGGGCAUUGUAAGCCCAAUUAAAGAUCAGGGGCACUGUGGAUCUUGCUGGACUUUCAGGUUUUUCUUUAUUUCCUUUUUAGAUUUAUAUUUGUCUCUCCGUAGUAUAUGACACGGUUAUAGCUCUGGAACUCAUUGAAAUGUCAUUAUGCUAGACUGCUGGUGACCUCUAAUUUGAACUUUUGCAGUACCACUGGAGCUCUUGAGGCUGCUUAUCACCAAGCAUUCGGGAAACAAAUCUCUCUGUCUGAGGCUGAGCAGCAGCUCAUGGACUGCGCUGGGGCUUUCAACAACUUUGGAUGUAGUGGUGGACUGCCAUCCCAAGCCUUCGAGUACAUCAAGUACAAGGGUGGCCUUGAUACCGAGGAAGCAUAUCCUUAUACCACAGAGGAUGGUACCUGCAAAUUCUCGGCUGAUAAUGUUGAUGUCCAAGUGCUUGACUCUGUUAACAUCACCUUGG
rnacentral:lncRNA from 1 species